rnacentral:lncRNA from 1 species
GAUCCUUGUAGCAUAUUUCAUGACAGAUAAACAUGCUGGAGGUCUGAAGAGUUAAAGAAAGAUGGUAAGGUUCCAGAGAUGUUGUAAACACCCAAAUGAAAAUAUAUAUAUGUCUAUGUAAACACCCAAACGAAAAUAUAUAUAUGUCUAUAUAUAUAUAUAUAUAUAUAUUUAAAGAGAAAGAGAGAGAGAAAGAUGGUGAUGAAUGCAGUUUUCGCUGCCGAUGCAGAAAUCGGCAGCGACGCAGUUUUCGCUGCCGAUGCAGAAAUCGGCAGCGACGCAGAUUUCGCUGCCGAUGCAGAAAUCGGCAGCGACGCAGAUUUCGCUGCCGAUGCAGAAAUCGGCAGCGACGCAGUUUUCGCUGCCGAUGCAGAAAUCGGCAGCGACGCAGUUUUCGCUGCCGAUGCAGAAAUCGGCAGCGACGCAGAUUUCGCUGCCGAUUCUGGUUUUGGCAGCGACGCAAUUUUCGCUGCCGAUUCUGGAUUGGGCAGCGACGCAGUUUUCGCUGCCGAUGCAGAAAUCGGCAGCGACGCAGAUUUCGCUGCCGAUGCAGAAAUCGGCAGCGACGCAGUUUUCGCUGCUGAUGCAGAAAUCGGCAGCGACGCAGUUUUCGGCUGCCGAAUUCUCAAUCAACAGUGACGCACAGCUGGGAGGGAGGGGUAAAACUGGUUUUAGAUAAACCAAACAAGGAUAAGGACACACCUAAACCCACCCCCAAACAAGCCAAUUCAUUUGAUGGGUAGUAUAAAUACAAAGAGGGGAGAGAGAAGGACCCAUCUUCUUCCCAAACCAGCAGCUGCAUGUCAUUCUUCCCUUCCCCUUUGACAUCAAAAACGUGAAUCAAACUAGUAGAGUGUCUUGUGAGCUUGUGAGGGAGAGAUGAGAACUUGAGAGAGGAGUGGGCAGCUGCAUAGAGGAGAGGAAAAAGAGAGCUGGAAAACGUGAGAGGAAGAAGAAGGAGGAGAACCAGCAGCUGAAGAGAAAAGAAUAGUGUCAAACCUUCCUCAAACUUGGUUAAAAUCAGAAGGUAUGGGUCAUGGAACUCCCUUUCCUCUCCCCCUUAAGAUCAAAAACGAAAAUGAAGAAGAAAAACCCUAAGAAAAAUUGAUCUAAGACCUAAGCCAACUAUGGGGGAAACUGAAAUUAACUAGAAGAUCUAGAAAACAGAAGUGAAAUAAAGUCAAUUUCAGAACAUCUAACAAUUAUGGUAGAAGCUGGCUUUAACUAUGGGGUAAGCCAGCAUGCAUGUGUGUGUGUUUCUGCUGGAAUGAAUGUGUUUCUGCUGUGAUGAUUGUUGCUGCAAUUAAUGUGUUCUGUUGAGAUGUUGCUGCUGGAAUUAAUGUGUACUGUUAUGAUGAUUGUUGCUGCAAUUAAUGUGUUCUGCUGUGAUGUUCUUGCUGGAAUUUAAUGUGUUCUGCUGUGAUGUUCUUGCUGGAAUUUAAUGUGUUCUGCUGUGAUGUUAGUGCUGGAAUUUAAUGUGUUCUGCUGUGAAGUUCUUGCUGAAAUUUAAUGUGUUCUGCUGUGAUGUUAUUGCUGGAAUUUUGUUGAAGAACUAUGUGCCGAUUUGUGUGUUGCGCAGCGAAAUUCUAUUUCUCUGCCGCAACUGAACCUGCUGCAGCGAAUUGAUAUUCGCUGCCGAUUUGUGUGUUGCGCAGCGAAAUUCUGUUUCGCUGCCGCAACUGAACGUGCUGCAGCGAAUUGAUAUUCGCUGCCGAUUUGUGUGUUGCGCAGCGAAAUUCUGUUUCGCUGCCGCAACUGAACCUGCUGCAGCGAAUUGAUAUUCGCUGCCGAUUUGUGUGUUGCGCAGCGAAAUUCUGUUUCGCUGCCGCAACUGAACCUGCUGCAGCGAAUUGAUAUUCGCUGCCGAUUUGUGUGUUGCGCAGCGAAAUUCUGUUUCGCUGCCGCAACUGAACCUGCUGCAGCGAAUUGAUAUUCGCUGCCGAUUUGUGUGUUGCGCAGCGAAAUUCUGUUUCGCUGCCGCAACUGAACCUGCUGCAGCGAAUUGAUAUUCGCUGCCGAUUUGUGUGUUGCGCAGCGAAAUUCUGUUUCGCUGCCGCAACUGAACCUGCUGCAGCGAAUUGAUAUUCGCUGCCGAUUUGUGUGUUGCGCAGCGAAAUUCUGUUUCGCUGCCGCAACUGAACCUGCUGCAGCGAAUUGAUAUUCGCUGCCGAUUUGUGUGUUGCGCAGCGAAAUUCUGUUUCGCUGCCGCAACUGAACCUGCUGCAGCGAAUUGAUAUUCGCUGCCGAUUUGUGUGUUGCGCAGCGAAAUUCUGUUUCGCUGCCGCAACUGAACCUGCUGCAGCGAAUUGAUAUUCGCUGCCGAUUUGUGCGUUGUGCAGCGAAAUUCUGUUUCGCUGCCGCAACUGAACCUGCUGCAGCGAAUUGAUAUUCGCUGCCGAUUUGUGCGUUGCGCAGCGAAAUUCUGUUUCGCUGCCGCAACUGAACCUGCUGCAGCGAAUUUAUAUUCGCUGCCGAUUUGUGCGUUGCGCAGCGAAAUUCUGUUUCGCUGCCGCAACUGAACCUCCUGCAGUGAAUUGAUAUUUGCUGCCGAUUUGUGCGUUGCGCAGCGAAACUGUGGCGCCAACAGCGAUGCAGUUUUCGCUGCCGAACUGGCUGCCGGCAGCGAAACAGGUGUCGCUGCCGAACUGGCAGCCCGCAGCGAACCAGUUCUCGCUGCCGAAUUCCUACAAUAAGCCUCCUAGGCAGGAAUGACUUAAAUGCUAGUAACAAUUUCAUGUUAUGAUGAUGUAAAAUAGGGAACACUUGAAUGUGAACAUAUGAACUCUUGAAAUAAGUGUGAUGAUGAGUAUGAUUCAAGAAUAAAAUAAAUACAACUGUGCUGAUUUGUGACCAUUGAUGUCUUAGGUGGUGCGGUCGGGAUUGGACCAUCAUCAAGACAGGAUCGACCCACAGGUGGAGCAGGUAGGUGACUUGCACCUUCCUUUUUCUUACGUUGAAUCUUGAAAUAUUUUAACUUGAGUACUAUCAUAUUGUUAGAACCGAUAUUAGAUUGUUGAACGCUUGAAUGUUGACAAAAGAUUGAUUAGCUUCGGCUAAUGGCAUCCGAAUGGAUGGCCGGGACAAAAGAGUGAUUAGCUUCGGCUAAUGGCAUCCGAAGGGAUGGCCGGGACAAAGAAUGAUUAGCUUCGGCUAAUGGCAUCCGAAAGGAUGGCCGGGACAAAGGAGUGAUUAGCUUCGGCUAAUGGCAUCCAAACGGAUGGCCGGGACAAAGAAUGAUUAGCUUUGGCUAAUGGCGUCCGAAUGGAUGGCCGGGAUGAAGGACUGAUUAGCUUCGGCUAAUGGCAUCCAAACGGAUGGAUGGCCGGGAUAAAAGAGUGACUUCGCUGCCGAUUCUGGAUCGGCAGCGACGCAGAUUUCCGCUGCCGAUUCUGGAUCGGCAGCGACGCAGAUUUCCGCUGCCGAUUCUGGAUCGGCAGCGACGCAGAUUUCGCUGCCGAUUCUGGAUCGGCAGCGACGCAGAUUUCGCUGUCGAUUCUGAAUCGGCAGCGACGCAGAUUUCCGCUGCGGAUUCUGGAUCGGCAGCGACACAGAUUUUCGCUGCUGAUUCUGGAUCGGCAGCGACCCAGAUUUCUGCUGUCGAUUCUGAAUCGGCAGCGACGCAGAUUCUGCUGCCGAUACAGAAAUCGGCAGCGAUGAAGAUUCCGCUGCCGAUACAGAAAUCGGCAGCGACGCAGAUUCCACUGCCGAUUCUAGAUCGACAGCAACACAGUUUUCGCUGCCGAUUCCUUGAUCGGCAGCAAUGCAGAUUCUGCUGCCGAUUUUGGAUCGGCAGUGACGCAGUUUUCACCAUGGAUGGCCGACACAAAUGAAUGACUAGUUUUGGCGAAUGGCAUCCGAAAACUUGUGUAUCUAUAUGUACUACUAGUUGUUGUAGCAAAUACAUGAAGAAAUUAUAAUUGUUAAUGUUUUAUUUAAUUGCCAAACCGUGAGUUACCAUUCUUAUUAUUAUUAAAUAUUUGCAUUCUCUUAAAUGUUUGUACUGCUGCAGGGACUUCACACCAACGAGAUGUCUAGGAAACCCGAUACACAGGAACCUAUUUUGCAAGGAAUUAUGUAGAUGUAUCUUAAAUCACAAUGUAUUUUGUAUGGAUCAAUGUACUGAAUGUAUAACUUUUAUUAGAUCCUUUUUGUUUAAAAUUGUGAUGACUAUUAGUAGGAGAAGACUGUAAACUCAUGUCUAUGUAUAUAUUUUUAAUAUGAACUUCAAAUCAAGCAACCUUAAUAUUAAGUGUUUGUGUAAGAUUCACUUUGAAAUGAAAUGUUGAUUGUAUGGAUUGUAUUUCGAUGAUGUGAGGAAUUAGAUUCAUUGAUUGCCGGCACCAUGUGGAUUGAAUGCAUAAAAAAAAAAAAAAAAAAAUUUACUGUUUGUGUUGGGCUUGGAAAGCCGGGUUAUUACAGAUGUUGUUAUUUGAGAGGUCCAAAACUUGAAGAUUUAACAGAAAGUCAAAUGAAGAGGGAACGCAACCACUGAAGUGGUUAUCAGACAUGGAUAAAAAUGUUAAACUUGGAAAAUAUGAUCCUAUUUCUCUAGGAAUGUGGCUUUCGAAGUUAUUGUUAGAAAUAUCUAAUUCAGACAAAGUCUGAUGAGGAUGAAUUGGCAAUUGAAAAGUCCCUGAAAGAGAAUUGUUGACCAAAUAGAGAUAAUUUAGGUUUGUGUUGUUCUCUAACAACCAAAUAGGAAACCCUCCCCUCAAUUUCAAGUUAGAAAAAUCAAUUUCUUAGAGGCUGUAUUGAUGGAGGAGGAAUUUGGGAAAGGAAAAUGCUCCACCAUAUCCAUUGCUAGAUAAAUCAAGAAGCUCUAAUUGGAACUUUGGGGCCAAAUUAUGCUCCUCUAAUUCUUCAACAUAUAUUGCGUUAUUGCUACCAUCGAAAUACUUGAGUUGUGAAUGGUUGAGAAAUGAGCUAAAUGAGACGGGGAUCUGAAAGUGGUUGUCUGAAAGUGAUAACUCUCGGAUGGAUGUGAGACUUGUAAGAGGAGAGAAGGAAAUGUCUCCAAUAAAGCUAUUGUAAGACAAAUAUAAUCCUUGAAGGGAUGUCAAAUUUGCCAAACACCAAGGCAAAGCACCACUGAGAUCAUUCCUAUCUAGAUUUUAGAGAUGCUUUAACUGACAUAGGCCUGAGAAUUUAUUGAUUUAUAAAAAAUAAUUUUUACUAAAUGAAUACAUUUUCCACCAGUGCCUUUUUCUACACAUUUAUUUUAAUUUUUAUAUGAAUAAAUUUCGCAAAGUGCUCUUCAUCUUUAAUAAAUUUUAAUUUCGCAAAUUUAUAUGAAUAAAUUUUUAUAUUAAUUUAAUGGCCUGCUUGGGCUAUCUUUAAUGAUCAUAUAAUUACUCUAGAGCUCUUCAUCUCACGCUGAAGGCCUUGUGUAGUUUAUAUAAACAAGGAAGCAAUGGAGAUUAAUGCAGCACCAGAAAGGACGCGGCCAAAAGGUAAUGGAACUAUUUAUAGAUAGAGAUCACAGAAUUACCAGAAACAUGGUGCUGCUAUAUAUAGGGAUUGAUAUACUUGAGUAUCAUGGAAGCUUUGGCCCCCUUUUUUUUUAAUUUUUUUUAAUCAAUUAAGAUUUAUAAUUAACAUAAUACUAGAUGAUGAUUUAUUAAAUAAAAUCUUUUUCAUAAAAAAAAAUACUAGAAAUUUAUUUAUUUUUUAAAUUAUUUUUAAGACCACUACAUGUUAGGUGUUACAUAUUGUGUAAAUUAUUAAUUAAGUUUUUUUAAUUACUAUAAAAAGCCUUUAAUCAACAUGGAAAUUAUAUUUUCUUUAUCUUUAAGUUUUAUUAAGUAGAAUAAAACUACAAAAAAUAUGAUUGAUUGUAAUAUUUUUAUUUUUGAAGACUAUAUUAAGAUUCUCAAUAAAUAUUUCAAUAUAAUUCUAUUAACAAUUAAAAAAUAAUACCAUUACUUCUUUUAAUAUUUUGAAAGAAUAAAAAGAGCAUGAGGAAAAAAAAAAGGAUAAAGAAGAAUGAAAAAAAAAAUUAUGGAUGAGGAGGCGAGCUUGGUUUGCGUGCUGAGAAUGCAAGUGUAGAGUCACCAGUGCCUGAGCUUUCAACGAUAGCAAACUCCUCUAGUUUUAGUUUUAUAAAAUUACAUGAAUAUUGCAUCCCACGUUGUUUUUCUUUAUAAUAUUUUAGGGUCAUCUAUAUUGUAGUCCUUGUAGUUUAUUGAAACUAAUUAAUUAGUCCUUGUAUUAUAGGACAAAAAUGAGUAUUUAGUUCAUUGACAAACAUUAACCAUUUCAAUUUUUUAGUGUUUUUUUUUGUUGUUUUAGAAAAUAUCUUUUUUUUAUCAACUCUUUCUACCUUAUUUGGAUCUCUGUUUCUUCUUUAUUUGUUUAUCUAUAAAAAAACAAAAAAAAAUAUAGGAAAUUAAAAAUAAGAUUAAACUAUAAAUGAAUUUAAGAAAAUAUAAAAAAUAAUAUAUAAUUUCUGAAAAGUGUGUACUUUUCUUAUCUGUCCAUAGAUUGCAGAUGCGUCCACUUUUUUUGAUCUUCUCCAAAUUAUUUUAUAUAUAAAUAGGACUUUUCUUUUAUCAAUAUCAUAACUUUUUUUUUAAUCAUCAAUAUUCAGAGCUUGUUUAAAAGUAAAUAUUGUAUUUUAUCUUUUUAAUAAAUUAUAUUAAAAUAAAAUUUAUUUUUUAUUUUUUAAAAAUUUAUUUUUAACACAACUGAUCAAAACAAUAAUUUUUUUUUUAAAAAAAAUCAAAUUUAAAACAAAUAAUAUUCUACCACGUACUGACAAACACAAUUGACGAAGAUACUCUCAUUAUUGUUAUUGUUAUGUCAACUUGCCGAGGAACACUUGACAAGUUGAGUUAGAUAAGGUUUCUAUAGUUCCUUGAGAUCUUUUUUUAUUGAGGACAAGCUACAAAUACAUCCUCCAUUUAUUUGUUGGGUUUCGAUUAUGUUGUUCUCCUCCUAAUUGCACCAAUUUUACCCUUGACCUACCCAAAGCAAUCCCAUUUCUUCCCUUAUAUCACAUAUGAAACUCAUGCAUGUGAACUUUUCUUGUAGUGUCAACUUCAUUACUUCAUAACCUUGAAAGGAUUACUCUUGUGAUUAAAAAAGUUAACUUAUUAAUUUUUUUUGACGAUUUAGGUUUGAAUAUUAAGAUCAACAUCUAAAAAAAUUUAUUAAAUUUAUCUUAAUAUAUUAAAUUGAUAUGAGAAAUAUAAAUCUAAAAUUUCAAUGAGAAUAACUUACUUCUUUUUUUUAACUCAUAAGUUGAUCUAAAACACCUUUUAUAAUCAAAUAAAAAUUCACAAUAAAAUUUAUUUGUAUAAAACUUAUUUAUUUCUGUUUUAUAAUCAUAAGUUUUAUGAGUUUUAAUUUUAGAUGAUCGUGACAAAUAUGAAUUUUAAGAUGAGGAUGGUGUGACGAAGAAGUUGGUGUUAAGAAUAUAUAGAUGGGGGGGGGGGGGGGGGGGUUAUGGGAUAAAUAUUGAUUUAAGGGAAGAAACGAUGAACACUAUGCGGACUGGUUGAGGGUAGCAUUGGCUCAAUUACAAGAAGAAGCCCGUCAGAUAAAUGAAGGACACAUUUGUAGUUUGUCGCUUGACUAAAAAGAAGCUCAGCUGUAGAAAAAGGAAUUCCUUUCGCCUCCUUUUCCAUGCUGUUUCAGAGCCAUUUCUUCGUGACUUCCUCUCUGUAGCCAAACAUUUUCCCAGCUCGAGGUAAGUCCCCUUGAGAUAUGUUGAUCAUUAAGCUAUAUUGCUACCGGGUCAUCUUUUCUGAUUACAAAAUACAUGCUUUUGGGUUGUUUUUCUUGGGCUGAUCAAGACCUUGUAAUUGGGAAACAUGGCAGCAGUGGAGAUUACAGAUGACAUUAACAUUAAUGCAGCUAUAGAUAGUGUCCAGAAUGGACGGCAUCACCAUAAUAUCGAGCUCGUAGUAGUCCCUCAACAACUACCUCCUACUGGUGAUGGAGGUAAUUUAUUAAGCUGGAUGUUUAAUUAUAGUUCUUGUUAACUUUAUAUUUUGGGAGUCUGCAUUUUGCAAUGGCCCAGUAGGGAGAAAAAAAAGUUUCUCCUGUAACGUUUUCAAUGAUUGAAAACAUUGGUGGGAAUUUCAUGUGAUUUUAACAAAAGAAGGGAAAAAACAAGAAUUGUAAUCAUAAUGACCUAAAAGGGUAUGAUGCAGUGAAAAUUUCAUUUCUCCAUUUCUACUGUUCGAUUUCCUGCAUCUGACUGUAUGAAAUCUAGAAGUUCUAUUCAAUAAUUGAAGUUCAUGAUGUUUAAUGUAAACCAUUAGUCUUCUAUAAAAUCAAUGCUUUUUUUAAUUAUUUCUUCUCGACAGUGGAAAGAAGAAGACACUUGCAGUUGUAUCAAGCCGCUCUGAGUGGUGAUUGGGACACAGCAGAAGGCAUUUACGAGUCAUUUCCAGGAGAAGUUAAUGCUAGAAUAACUAAGCGAGGGGAGACUGCUCUCCAUAUUGCAGCAGCAGCGGAGCACACUCAUUUUGUGAAACAUCUUGUUGGAAAGAUGAGCAUGGAGGCUUUAACUUAUAAAAACGAGGCGGGCAAUACAGCAUUUUGCUUUGCUGCUAUAUCUGGAGUUGAGGCACUUGCCAAAGUCAUGAUGGAGACAGGACGUGAUUUGGCAAUGACUCGAGGUAGAGAAAACCUGUUACCAAUUUAUAUGGCAGCUCUGUUGGGGCAUAGAGGGAUGGUAUCAUAUCUUUAUGAUGAAACAAACGAGCAGUUAACCGAUGAUGAUCGCAUAAAAUUACUUGUUGCUUUGAUCAACAGUGACAUAUAUGGUGAGCAAUCUUUUCUAUGUUUGAUAGUUUGCUAUCAUUUAGAUAGUAAGUUUAUUUUCGUAAAUGAAAUCAUCUGUUUUAGUUUGUGAUUGCUACUACCCAGAAGAGAAAUUCAACAUUCAACCCUCAGACAACUUAUUCGCAAGCCUUUGAAAAUCCAACUUGUUUUCAUAUUUUUGAAUCCUUUUGUUCCCAGAUGUAGCAUGGAAAAUGCUAAGAGAACAUCGCGGGUUGGCCUAUGCUCGUGAUGAACAUCAGCUGACGGCAUUGCAUGCAUUUGCCCAAAAGUCUUGUAUGCCUUCAAACGUUGUCGAUCAAAGUCCUCCAGGAUUUUGGAACAAAUGCCUCAACCCCUGUUAGUUCUCUGAUGCUCCAAAUCUCUGUUUCCUUAGAAAGAAAACCAGUCCAAAAAUUUCAGCUAGUUAUAGAAUGCAAAAGAUUAACUUUAUAUCUUUAUCAUCAUAUUCAUGAGCACUUUAUACAUCUUUUCAUGGAUGCAUAUAUUCAAGCUUGCAAACUUGUGUGUUGCAAGGAAUUAGCACUUGUCAUUUUAUCUUCAAUAUUUUUUUUAAAAAUAUCCAACAAUCCUAUAUAGAAUGCACUAAGAAAUUUAUAGCAUUUAACAUUUUAAAACACCAACAUUCUUGCAGAAGUGAUAUAUUGUACACCUCAAUACACAAAAUAUUUCGAAAUGUUACUGAUUUAUCAGAUCUGUUCACUCGUUGGCUAACUACAUUUAUGUUUUGCAUCUUUGAUUUAGAACAUUAACCCCAUUUCCCACAAUUCAAUUUUGUUAUAUUUAAUCCUCAGUUUCGGGUUUCAAAUUGGCUCGGAUGAAGAAACUCAUGCACAAAGAAGCACGUGACAUAAUCCAGGACCUUUGGGAACAAGUUGUAUUGUUGGAUGAUGCAACAAUUUCUCGUCAGAUUGGAGAACCCUGGCCAUUGAUAUUCACUGCUGCAGAAAGAGGGAAUCUUGACUUUCUAACAAUACUCAUUCGCUUGUAUCCUGAGUUGAUCUUCAAAGUUGAGCACAAUACGUAUAGCAUAUUUCAUAUUUCUAUCUUGAAUCGUCACAAGGACAUCUUCAAGAUUAUAUACCAGAUUGGUUCUAUCAAGAAUUUGAUAACAACAUACAAAGAUAGAGAUGGAAAUAAUAUGUUGCAUUUGGCUGCAAAAGUACUGGAAUCACCAAGUCGACUUAAUGUUAUACCAGGAGCAGCUUUACAACUGCAACGCGAAUUGCUGUGGUUUGAGGUGACCAUUCUCACUCUUUCCAUCAUCAAAACACAUUUGAUUGUAGGUCAUAUGCGUUAAGCCAACCUGAUUCUUCCAUAAAAUGUGGAUCACGUUUAGAUAGGCGGAUAAGGUGUUCAUAUGCACAUGCGAUUAACUAAUGCUAUAUUCUCCUUCUAUAUAUGAAUCUCACAGUCUCUCAACAUGAUCAUGAUUUCUAGGAAGUGAAAAAAGUCGUUCAACCACGGCACAUUGAAGAGAAAAAUAUUCACGGGAAAACUCCAGGAGCUUUAUUUAUAGAACAGCACAAGGACUUGAUGAAAGAAGGGGAGCAAUGGAUGAGAGAAACUGCCGAUUCAUGCAUGCUUGUAGCAACACUUAUUGCUACUGUGGUUUUUGCAGCAGCUUUUACCGUACCCGGAGGUAAUUUACAAGAUAAAGGGACUCCUGUUUUCCUUCAUGAAAUUGCAUUCAAAUUCUUUGCCAUAUCAGAUGCAAUUUCUCUAGUAAGCUCUGCCUCAUCCUUGUUAACCUUCUUGUCAAUUCGCACUUCUCGGUACGCAGAACAAAAUUUUCUUUGGUCAUUGCCUAACAGGUUGAUUAUCGGACUCACAACACUUUUCAUAUCAAUUGGGGCAAUGAUGGUAGCCUUUAUGGCAACAUUUUUCCUUGUUUUCGGCAAUAAAUUACUUCCAUAUUCUAUCCCCAUUGCUGUCGUUGCUUCUUUGCCAGUCAUGUUCUUCAUUUGGCAGCAUUUCCGCUUAUUCGUUGACAUGAUUCAUUCAGCUUAUACGUCUCGGUCACUUUUCAAGCCAAAUAAAUCUCCUCUCUUUUCCAAGAAACUCAAGACAAAGGUUGCUUAGCAUCCAUGUAUUAUAAUUCUACAGAAUGCUUUCACAUCUGUAAGAAAAUGCUGGUGCUAUAGAAGUCAUCCAUUGUUUAACCUGUAAUAUCCUUUAUGCUAUCAAUGAACCUGCCCUGAAAAAGUAGAACUUCUGCUGCUAGUGCAGGUAUUCGGCCUUUCCUUCUUUUUUUACUGUUUUCUUCUUUCAUUUUUCAAUUGAUCAUGAUUAAGUCUAAAGCUCCGCGUGUUAAGUAAUUUCAUUUUCUUGGUGAUAAAUUACAAUAAUUUUCUUUAAACCUGAAUCGAAAUCUACAUGAAACAAGGACUAAAUCACGGAAUAGGAAAGUAAAUCCAAGUUAACCUAAAUUGAAAAUAAAAAUAAAAAUCAAAGUAUCAUUGUUUUGACCAAAAACAAUUCAAAAAAAAUCAAUGGAUUUUUAACUUGUAUUUUGUCAUGGGUAGGCCAGGUCGCAAGGUUAACCCAAGUUUUUGAUUGUGUUAGGUCAGAUCAAUCCCUCUUUUUUCUUUUCUUUUAACUCGACUUGGUCAAAGCAUUGAGUUGGUCGGAUCCCAUCUAUUAUCUUUCAAACACAUAAUAAGAUAAAUUGUUCAGUCUAGUUCAGAGCAUGCUACACACAAGACAAGAUAAUUGUUUGUUUAGUCAUGUCCUAUCCACUCUAGUCUAAUUAAUAAUGUCCAACAUACCAAACACUACCUAAUAGAACAUGGCCUAUAAAAUGUGCUUGCAAAAUUUCAACUAGAUUCAAUGAUUAAAUUAAAAACUAUAUAUAUAUAUAUAUAUAUAUAUAUAUUAUAUAUUUAGCAAGCUCAUUUGACUCGUCCUAAUUUGUUUUCAAGUCCAAACCCUAUAGAAAAAAAGAGUUUAGAAAUCAUAAAGCUCAACUUUCAACAAAUACAUAAUUAAAAGAUAAAAUUAUGACCUGAGUAAAAAAAUUCAUGUAAAAAAAAACUAAGAAAACCGAUGUCAAACUAGGUUAGCCUUUCAAAUUUAUGACCUGAGUCAUGAUACCAGGACCACCCCAUCCAAAAAAUUAUGAAGCCUAACUUACAACAAAUUCAAUGUUUGAGGAUGAAAUUGAUUUAAAAAAAAAACCCAAAAUAAAAAAUUACAAUUAAAAAAAUGAGGAUCAAAUUUGAUACAAAAAUAAAAUGACAAGACACCUAAUAAUUUUGGUAAACCAAAAAUAAAAUCACAGCAUCCAUACUAAAUAGAUAUUAAAACUUGAACAUUGGAAAUAUAUGAGUGGCUUGGGAAUCAUGAAACCAAUGAUGAGUAAUCUAUUUGGCCUUUCAAUUUAAUAUUUUUAAAUAUUUGCCCUUCCUUAAACAAAGUUAUAAUGCUGUAAAUUAUGAUAGUAUUUAAAAGUGUAUUAAUGAUUAUUUUUUAAAAAUAUUUUUCAUUUUAAAAUAUAUUAUAAUAAUAUAUAUUUUUUAUAUCAGCAUAUCAAAAUAAUAUGAAAAUACAAAAAAUACUUUCUUUCUUUAUUGUAUCUCGUAGAAUGCUUCAUAUAUAAUCCUUAUAAUGUGCAUAUCUCUAAUUAUAUUUCUGAAAAAUUGGAUUUCAAUAAAUAUCUUCCCUUAUAUAGUAAUAACAACAACUAAAACAUAUUUGACAUUCACUAUUUUAAAAAAUAGUUAUUAUGGAUUGCGUUGUUUAUUUUGAACAAUGAUUCUUUUCCAUCAUCAAACUUUUAAUAUUUUCAAUUUCAUCCUUGCCAUAUUAUUUUCUGUUUACAUUUCUUUUAAUUUGCCGUAACAAGCAUGUUUUGAGUUUUGAGAGGAACUUAAUGAUCAAUUAGUCAAUUGGGGCUGAAAAUUAAAAUUAAAAGAACAAGGACCAUAUUUAACAAAAAAAACUUUAGUCUACCUAAUUUGAAGUACAUACGGAUCGUUUCAAAGCUUCAGUCCAACUAACAAUUCCAGAGCAUUCACACAAAAUAAAUUCUAGAGCUACUCUGUUCUAGUUGACAUUUCCUCGAAUUAUAACACGGGGUAAAUGAAAACUUUACCAUUUUCUGCCUUAUUCAACAGAUAAUCCUACAAAUAAACUACACUGAGUUGCAUGCCUUGGGUUUGUCUUAGGUAAUAUCCAUUACUCGUUCUUACGAUUUGAAGGAAGAUAUAUGAGAAAGAACUUGCUGAAUGCUGAAAGCAAAAUUGUGAAGAAAUGAUUUUCUAUUACAUUGCUAUAAGGAACACAGCUUUUCAGACAUUAUUUAUACUACUGAGAUGAGAUAAGAUUGACCAUCUAAAUCUUCCCUUUGAAAUGUAGAAACAAUGCAAAGUUGAGAUUUAUUCAUACCAAAGGCUUCCAAACUCUGAUUCUUAAUGGCUUAAGAAGAUUGUCCGCAACAAAGUAAUAGCAAGUGUUGAUGCUCUUCUCAAUGAAAUAAAACCAUGCUCGCCGCCAGUCUGGGUUUAUGUACAAAACUACAGUUAUUCCCAACAGCACCAUGAUGUACGUCACAACAAAGCUCACACAGAAAACUUGUGCAUCAAUGAAGACGUUACUCUCUUCUUUCUCAUCAGUAGAAGGCCCAGGUGGUGGUGGUGGUACUUCUUUAGUGCAAUUGUUAAGCAGUGGUGGUCCACAAAGUAAGGAAUUUCCCUCAUAGCUGCUCUUAUUGAAUGUUGAGAAUUGUGCAACCAUCUCAGGAGUCUUACCAGAUAGGUUAUUGUUGGCUACACUAAAAUAGGCAAGAGAAUGCAGUUGUACAAGUUGAGGAGGGAUUUCCCCAUUCAAGCUGUUAUUGGAAAGGUCCAUGCUCUCAACUUCACUCAAAUUUGAAAGAGUUUGUGGGAUUGGGCCUAUUAAAUGAUUGUUGGACAUGUUCAAUACAUGAAUGUGGUUGAGAUUCCCAAUUUCAGGAGGAAUCGCACCUGACAAACUGUUGCAGGAGAGAUCCAAUCCGGUCAUGUAGUACAAAAUACUUGGCGAAUAAGAAUAAGACAGACUCUUUGUUGCAAUAACCAAUGGUUCUCGAAGAUUUGACUCAAAAACAUCUCUUGUGAUGAAGUAGCCUUGAAUAAUGCUUUUUAAUCUUAGGCAAGGUAGAAUAUGACCAGAAAAAUUAUUAUGAGAAAGAUCAAUGAAGCUUAAUUUGUUCAACUUGCACAAUUGCAAGGGUAUACUGCCAUCAAGAUUAUUAUAACCCAAGAGAAGAAAGCUCAAUUGGGAAAACUCACCAAUCCAUUUUGGAAUGCUACCAGUCAAAUGAUUAUGGCUAAGAUCCAACGUUAUUAGCUCAAAGGAUUUCUGAAAUGCAUGUUCUAGGGAUCCUUGUAGCAUAUUUUGUGACAGAUAAACAUGCUGGAGGUUUGAAGAGUUAAAGAAAGAUGGUAAGGUUCCAGAGAUGUUGUUAUUUGAGAGGUCCAAAACAUGAAGAUGCAACAGAAAGCCAAAUGAAGAGGGAACGCAACCACUGAAGUUGUUAUCAGACAUGGAUAAAAAUGUUAAACUUGGAAAAUAUGAUCCUAUUUCUCUAGGAAUGUGGCUUUCGAAGUUAUUGUUAGAAAUAUCUAAUUCAGACAAAUUCUGAUGAGGAUGAAUUGGCAAUUGAAAAGUCCCUGAAAGAGAAUUGUUGACCAAAUGGAGUUCAUUUAGGUUUGUGUUGUUCUCUAACAACCAAAUAGGAAACCCUCCCCUCAAUUUCAGGUUAGAAAAAUCAAUUUUUUGGAGGUUGUAUUGAUGGAGGAGGAAUUUGGGAAAGGAAAAUGCUCCACCAUAUACAUUGCCGGAUAAAUCAAGAUGCUCUAAUUGGAACUUUGGGGCCAAAUUAUGCUCCUCCAAUUCUUCAACAUAUAUUUCGUUAUUGUACCAUCGAAAUACUUGAGUUGUGAAUGGUUGAGAAAUGAGCUCAAUGAGACGGGGAUUUUAAAGUGGUUGUCUGAAAGUGAUAACUCUUGGAUGGAUGUGAGACUUGUAAGAGGAGAGGAGGAAAUGUCUCCAAUAAAGUUAUUGUAAGACAAAUAUAAUCGUUGAAGGGAUGUCAAAUUUGCCAAACACCAAGGCAAAGAACCAUUGAGAUCAUUCUGCCUGAUAUCUAGAUUUUGGAGAUGCUUUAACUGACAUAGGCCUGAGAAUUUAUUGAUUCAUAAAAAUUUUAGUCAGAGAAGAAGCAGAACGCCUAAGGAGGGGAAAGGUGGUCAGACUUACCUUGGGCUUUAGGGAUGGAGCCAUUGAGUCGACAACCACAAGCGUAAACUCUUUAGAGUAGUAAUCUUCCCGACUGUUUGCAGAAAGCUAUUAUCGACAGUGGAGGAACUCAAAUCCAACUCUUCUAAAUUCUUUAGAGAAGCCAAGCCUACAAUAAUCAAACCCACAAGAAAUUAUGCUCGGUAUUCAAGAGCCGAAUAAUGAAAAGGAAACAAGAUGAUGAAACCAACAAGAAGCUCCAUCAUAAGCACGUUUACAAAGAAACAAAGAACAAUUAACAGAUAUUCAGGAUCGUUUUUAGGCAUCAAUACCACAAAUUACCUUUAUCUAAUGGUGUUCCGAAACUUCCUUCAAGAUUAUUGUCUUCCAAAUAAAGGGUCCUGAGGUUUGGGAAUUUCGUCAACGAUUGCAGCAAUGUAAAUGGAAGAGCUCUUCCAUUUGAGGUGCUAUUAGAUAAUGAAAUGCUGCUUAUAUUUCCAAAACCUCUAGUAUCUGCAGGGGACAUCAGAAGUGAAACAAGUUUUAAAACCUUUUGAGCUUUUAUUCUAGAGCAAAAUCAUCCUCGAAAAUACAAUUCAAUUAAUGAGAUUUUAGGUUGAUCAAGAGGUAAAGCUACCAUCAAUCAGUGUGGAAAGCAAUCAAUACCUUUGGAUAACACAAAUUUGUCAAUCUCGUUUCCAUCUAGAUACACUACCUCUAAGUUGAUCAAAGCAUCCAGCUCUAGGUUGUCGAAAAACAGAAAUUUAAUAUUACGUCACAGAAAAAAUCACAGAUUGGCUUCUAGGAAUCGAAAAAGGUGAGGUUACCCGUCACAUUAAAUGAUCCUUUUAGUUGGUUGUACCCUAUAUCCAUGUAUUUGAGAGAUGAAAGACCCUUGAGGGAUGAUAAAGCACUGUCAUUGAAGCGAUUACCACUCAAACCAAGGUCUUCCAGAUUUCUUAACCUCGGUAAGUCGUCACCAGCACCUAUAAAAAUACAAUAAGCUUUUAUGUAACCUGAAAGGAUAAUGGAGUACUUAUGUGUGAAAACAAAUGCUCAAUCAACUCACAACUCUUUCAUACCAUGAAUGGAUUUAAAGCUUUCAAUUUCAUUGCCACGAAACUCCAACGACCGCAAGCUUGUUAGAUUAUUCAGUUCUGGCCAAAUAUAAUUGUACCAAGUACAACAAUUAAAAAAAGGGCAGUAAUUACCAUGGUUUUAUUUGGGGGAAAGAAAAGGAGAGAAGUGAUCAAGCUUAAUUACCAUCAACACUAAUUGCUCCUUUGAGUUGGUUGUCGUCUAGAGACAGGAUUAGCAAAGAGGAAAGCCCACCAAGGGAUGAAAGGAUGCUGUUGUCGAAUUUGUUUUCGGCUAAAUCGAGAACCUCCAAGCUGUCAAGUCCGGAUAGUCUUUCAAAACCUGCAUGGGCAUUUCAAUCAGUAGCUUGAAAAAUAUAGAAUCUAUUCUUUUCUUUUUUUUGCUGUUGAAAUUACAGUAGCAUGCAAACAAGAGAUAAACCUUCAUUCUCAACACAACCAACUAUAGAAUUUCCCCAUAAAUAAAGAGAUUGCAGUUCUUGGAAGGGACGAAACAAAGAGACAUUUAGGUACAAAUCUCCCGAUCCCUCUUCCGUUAUGCCUGGAAGAAAAAGUGCGACAACUCGUCCUGUAGUGAGAUUGCAGUCAACGCGUUCCCAAGAACAACAGUCGGCUACUUUUCCCCAAGAUUGAAGGGAUGUGCCGCUUGAGUAAUUAAAGGAGCUUUGAAUCCUUAAGAGAGCACUUCUCUCUUCGUCUAAACAGCCGUGACAUGACCACCAGCUUUCUGACAAAACCAUAGCAUAAAUCAUCAGUGUCCCUGCUAAAGAAGAGAACCUGUUUAAACCCAUUUGGACUCCUCGAUGAAAUUAUGUAUCGAAAAACAACGGUCAGAGGCUCUUUAUAAAUAAGAUCGUUGGACUGCAAUUUGCAAUAUCACAAUCAAAUGUCAUAUUUUCCACCGGCCAUAGACAAAGUCCUCUCUUUCGGCUUAUUUUCCAAAUUCAUAUUCUUCGUGGAAAGUGCUAGGCUGUUAGACAAAGUCCUCUCUUUUGGCUUAUUUUCCAAAUUCAUAUUCUCUUUUGGCUUAUUUCCACGGGCCAUAGACAAAGUCCUCUCUUUCGCUCUUUUUUUUUUUUUUUAAGUUGUUUUUUUAUGCUUUUGGAAAAUUAUUUUUUGCUUCUUUCUUUGUUUUUUUUAUUUUAACAAAUUUUUUUUUAAUUUAGUUUAUUAAUGUUUUAUUAAUGUUAAAUUUUUUUAUUUAGUUAUCAGACUUUUAUGACACGUUUUCCGGAUUUAACGAGUUAACCUAGUUUGACAAGUUAACCUAGUUUGUAUUAUAAUUAUAUUGUAUUAUAUUAUAUUAUAUUAUAUAACUGUUUUUUUCUUUUUUUUUCUUUUUAAUUUUUUUUAAUGAAUUUUUUUUAUUUAAUUUAGUUUGUUAAUGUUAAAAAAAAAAUUUAUUUAGUUAUCAGAUUUUCAUGAUAUGAAUUUCGGGUUUGAUGGGUUAACCUGAUUUGACGUGUUAUUUUUUUUCAUUUAGUUUAGUUUGUUAAAGUUAAUUUUCUUUUUAUUUAAUUAUCAGAUUUCCAUACUUUCAUGACACGUAUCUUGGGCUUGAGGGGUUAACUUGGUUUAAUUAGUUAACUCGGUUAAUUCUGGGUAACGUCAUUUUUUUUUAUUUAGUUAUCAAACUUUCAUGACGCGAAUCUCAAGUUUUACGGGAUAACCUGGUUUAAAGGGUUAACCUAAUUAAUUCAAUUUUUUUUCUUUUUCUUCAUUGGUUUUUUCCUUCCUGUUGAUUUUUUUUCUUUGUUUUUUUUAAUUAAUCUAUUUGAUUAUCACACUUUUAUGACACGAUCUUAUAGCCAGACUCACAUCCAAUAUUCUUGGGUCCGGUGUUGCAGUCAGACUCAUUUAAACUUGGGUCAUGCAAGUUUAAUUUUAUUAUUAAUAUUAUAAAUAUUAUUUUUAGGUCAGGUGUUAUAGCCAAACCUAAAAUUCUUGAGUAUAACUUUACAGAAAAACUUAAAAUUUUUAAAUUAUUAUUUUUUAUAAUAUUUUUUAUGUAAAAAAAUGACCCGCGGCAUCGCGCGGGUUAAGAGUCUAGUAAAUGAUAAAUAUGAUGGGUACAAAGGGUUUUUCUACAAUAAUAGAGAAAUAGACAAAUGAAAUGGUCAUCGCAUGCAAUGUCUUCCCUACGGCAAAAACAGUGCCAUCAGUGUCAGUCUUGUUAAUGGUAGUAGAAAAUUCAAAGAGUCUUGCAGUGAAGAUUUUUAAUCAUUUAGGUUUCACUAAUCGUUUCUUUAAUUUUAUAUAUAUAUAUAUAUUUUAUAAACGUGCAGUCUGAAAUAGGUAUUAAAAUAAUAUGAUGUUGAGCCAAAUUGAAUUUAAUAAUAAUAAUAAUAAUAAUAAUAAUAUAAUCAGCUAGUUAAUAUUGUAUUUUAAUAUAAAAUGCAUGUUUGAUAUUAUGAUGUAAAUGUUUUUUACUUAAAAGUAUAUUAAAAUAUUUUUUUAAUUUUUUAUAUUUUCAAUAUUAACUUAUCAAAUAAAAAAAACAAUAAAAAUUAAAUUAAUAUGAUCUUGAGUCAAAUUGAAUUUAAUAAUAAUGGUAUAAUUAGUUAAUUAAUAUUGUAUUUUAAUAUAAAAUAAAUGUAUGAUAUUAUGGUGUACAUAUUUUUUACUUAAAAAUAUAUUAAAAUAUUUUUUAAAAUUUUUAAUAUUAACUUAUCAAAUAAAAAAAAUUUCAUUUUAACAAGACUGCAACUUUGUCCUUGCAGCGAAGCUCUGUAUUUUUAUUUUUAUUUUGUUUUAUAUAACGUUUCUACCGAGCAAAGUUGAAACAGAACGAAUCAUUUCUUUUCAUUUAUGCUUUGUAGAUUAGCUCCUUUACUAGUCAUAUAGUCUCAUUAUAUUACUGUUAGAUUUGUUAUUGGACGGUUUGAAACAUUAGAUCUGUCAAACUUGCAACGAUUUAUAAUAAAAAUUUAAAAAAACAUUAACCGCAGCUAUUAAAAACAUGUUUGUUUUUACAUUUAAAACAGAGAGACCAAUUUGCCAACAAGCUAUUAUAAUACAACCCACAGGUUGAUUGAUGAAACCCUGACCCCAAGAUUUGGGGACCGCUGAAGAACACCUUGAAAAAUCUUGCAUUUUACUCCUACUUUUUACAAGAGACAGAUGAACUGGUCAUCGCGCGCGACGUGUUCCCUACGGCCGAGAAUAAUGCAGUGGCUGUCAGUCAUUCAUCGCUUGACCUGACGAAAAUUACACGCUAUGACGAAGAAGAAGAAGGUUGCUGCAUUCAUUCAUCGCUUGACCUGCUAAGACAAAAGAAAAGAAAGCUGUUAACAGUGGUCCAAAUUGCCAGCCACGAUGUGCCCGCAAGCUUUUUUCCUCCUAUGGAAAACACAUUUUACUAUCUUGGCGUUUAUAAACGGAUGAUUGCGUGUUCUUCGUCAUGUGUAUUCCACGCAAUGGAUCCUGUGGUUUGGAUGGAAUUGGUCGUCGUCAUCACAUGAUUUUCCAUAUGUAAUAAAGUCUUCUUUAUUUGGCUUACUGUCCCAUUGAUUCUUCGAGGAAAUUCCCAAGUUUUUGCUUUACAUCAAUAUUAAUUAAAUGGCUGGUAACACACAUGACUCUCGUCUCUCUGUUACGUUCCUUUAACUUUUCACCAUGGUUUUUGAACCCUAUCCAAGGAGCUUAUAUGUCCUAACAACCACCAUUUUGAUGCCUAAUUGAUUUACAUGCUCUACAUUUAAAAGGUUAAAAAAACCAAAUCAUCUAAACCAUGCAAGUCUUGGCUUAGAGCCAGAGACUUUAUAAACAAAAUAUAAAACACAGAAAAACCAAAUCAAAGGAUGCCAAGAUGAUUUUCACUCCAUCUAUUGGACAUUGCGAGCAUCCUCUGAGAGUUAAGUUGCAUCGGUUUUUCUUCUGUUAUAUGCUCCAGAUAUUGAUGCUCGUAGACGGAGAAAACAUAUGCAUAAGAAGCAUAGCUCAUGUUCUGCCAAAAUGUCAUAUAAAAUUCUUUAGUAAUAUUCGACCGGUUGAUUACAUUUAAAAUUAUGUUAAACAAAAUCUUGAAAUUAGCAAGAGUAAUUAUAUUUCAUGACUCUCAGAGGCAUCAAAUGGAUCUGAAAGCAUUUCCGCUUAUUCGUUGACAUGAUUCAUUCAACUUACACGUCUCGGUCACUUUUCAAGCCAAAUAAAUCUCCUCUCUUUUCCAAGAAACUCAAGACAAAGGUUGCUUAGCAUCCAUGUAUUAUAAUUCUACAGAAUGCUUUCACAUCUGUAAGAAAAUGCUGGCGUUCAUGUUAUAGAAGUCAUCCUGUAGCCUGGUGCCAAGACUGGAAGGCAUGUAAGCCAGGCUUGAUUCGAAUGAAUCGCUAUAAAUGUACUUGAUUUGAAGCUACUUGUACUUGGUGCUUUGCCAAACAUAGAAAGGCAUUGCCCUUUCCAUUGUUAAUUUAACCUGUGAAUAUCCUUUAUGCUAUCAAUGAACCUGCCCUGAAAAAGUAGAACUUGAUGCUAGUGCAGGUAUUCGGUCAUUCCUUCUUUUUUUACUGUUUUCUUCUUUCAUUUUUUAAUUAAUCAUGUUUAAGCCUAAAGCGCCGCGUGUUAAGUAAUUUCAUUUUGUUGGUGAUAAAUUACAGUAAUUUUUUUAAAACUUAACUCGGAAUCUACCAGAAACAACGUCUAGAUCAUAGGUUAGGAAAAUACAUCCAAGUUGACCUAAAUUGAAAAAAAAUAAUCAAAGGAUCAUUGUUUUGACCAAAAACAAUUCAAAAAAAGUCAAUGGAUUUUUAACUUGUAUUUUGUUAUGGGUCGGCCAGGUUGCAAGGCUAACCCAAGUUUUUGAUUGUGUUAGGUUGGAUCAAUUCUUCUUUUUUCUUUUCUUUUAACUCGAAUUGGUCAAAGCAUUGAGUUGGUCGGAUCCAUCUAUUAUCUUUGAAACACAUAAUAAAACAAAUUGUUGAGUCUAGUUCAAAGCAUGUUAAACACAAGACAAGAUAAUUAUUUGUUUAGUCAUGUCCUAUCCACUCUAGUCCAAUUAAUAAUGUCCAACAUACCAAAACCUACCUAAUAAAACCUGGCUUAUAAAAUACGCUUGCAAAAUUUCAACUAGAUUCAAUGAUUGAAUUAAAAAUUAUAUAUGUUUUUUUAGCAAGCUCAUUUGACUCGUCCUAAUUUGUUUUUAAGUCCAAACCCUAUAAAAAAAAAAAGGUUAAGAAAUCAUGAAGCUCAACUUUCAACAAAUACAUAAUUGAAAGAUAAAAUUAAAAAGAAAAAUUCAUGUAAAAAGAGAGCUAAGAAAACCGAUAUCAAACUAGGUUAACCUUUUAAAUUUAUAAUAUGGGUCAUGAUACCAAAAUCACCUUAUCCAAAAAAUUAUGAAGCCCAACUUAUAACAAAUCUAAUGUUUAAGAAUGAAAUUGAAUUUUUUUUAAAAAAACACAAAAUAAAAAAUUACAAUUAAAAAAAUGAGGAUCAAAUAUAACAUAAAAAUAAAAUGACAAGACACCUAGUAAUUUUGGUAAACCAACUCGAAUCCCGAGGAGAGGAGAAAGAAAAAAAAAAGGAGAAGAAAGAAAAGGUUGCUAACACCUCUCUCUUGACACACAUCACACCAUUGACAAGAGCUCGUUAUGUUGCUUUAAAUAGAACUGUGGACGACAAUGUUCCAACAUCUGAAGAAGUUGCACUUGCCGCCAGAGCGUGGAGGCUUCACCCCACACGUUGUCAUGUGCAUUUCACACGCCAACCAAAUUAUCUUGCUUGUCCUUUUCAGUUCCUAAAAGUAUUUUUCUGUUUCAAAUUUGAUCAUCUAAGCCUUAAUUAUUUUAGAUGAAUAAAUUAAAUUUUAUCCUGCAAAAUUAAAAAUCAAACACAUAUAAAAUUUUUUCCUCAACACCAUGGAAUCCUAGCAUCUAGGCAAUAACAAAAAAUUAAGUCCAAUCACAAGUAACCUCAAUUUAAAAGGAUCAAUUUUUUAUUUUAAAUGAGGGACAAAAACAAAGGGGUUGAAUUUCUCAUUUGCUCAUGCAAUAUUUUAGUCCUUGAUGUUUGCAAGAAAAAAGAGCUUAAUACUUGUCUAAUGCUCAAAUAUGGUUUAUUAGCUUUAAUUUUUUAAUUCAAUUUAUUUUCAUUUAAUCUUUCCAAAUCAAAGCCAAUACCAAGCCAAACAAAACGAAACAAAUAAUAAAACUCAAUUUCAAAUUAAUCUAAUAUAAAAAAAUCAAAUAAAAAAAUUCAAGUGAUGAAAAAAAAAACUAAAAAGAAAAAGAAAACAUUAAGUGAAUCCAUAAUGUUUUCUCUCAUAAUGCACAUGAAAAGUCCGAUCUUUUUUUUUUCUAUAUGCAUAAACAUUUGAUGAUAAGGAAAAAUUGGUGUUUUGAAUUGAUGACCAAUAGAUUCACUCUAGGAUUUUAAUUUUUGAGUUGGAACUUAUGACUUAUUUUUUUUUUAAGUUAAUAUAAAUUAAUUUUAUGAGCUCGUGACUCAAUAAUCACAACAAGUUUUCAAUUUAAUAACCAUGCCAUUUAAUUCUAGUGAUUUAUUUUAUCACCAAGUAAUUAUUACUUCAUAAAAUUAAUAUUAUUGAUGAAUAUACAUAGAUUUGGAAUUGUAAUUAAUGGAAGUUUACUUUUGCUAAAACAAAAGAAUAAAAAUAAAAGCUUGCUUAGAUAUUUGAAGGAUUUCUCGAUUUCAAGUGGCACUAAAUUAAAGUUUAUUUAAUAAAGAAUUAAAUUGAUUUUUGAAAGUACAUGAUUGUAAAAGAUAUGCAAAUGCAUGUCUACCAUGUUCAAUAGUUUUCAGCAUAAUUGCCAUAUUUCUCCAUAAUAGAAAAAAAACUUGCGAAUGAAUUGCAAAAAAGAAAGCAUGAAAAUGUUGAUUGCCCGCAUGACUGUUUAUCCUCAAUUUAUAUGUUCAUGAUAGCUACUCCAUGGACGCCUUGUUCUUUAAUAUCACAGGAUAAUGAUUGAUUCUUCAACAUUCAUUCUCAUGAAUUCAAGAAAUUAUCUCAUCUAAUCUCUAAGCUUGACGGUAAAAUAAAUAUUAUUGUCUUUUAUCUCAUUUAAUUUCUUAAAAUUGAACCAUAAAAAUUAAAAGAAAUUAUCUAUUCAUAAAAAACGAAAUAAAUAUUAAUAUGAAGUUUGAAAGUGUGGUUGUGAUUGUUUUUUAAAAUGUUUUUCACUCUGAAAUGUAUUAAAAUAAUAUUUAAAAAAAAAUUAUUUUUGAUUUCAACACAUAAAAUGAUUUGAAACACAAAAACAAACAAGGUUUCAACAUAUUACAAUCAAGAUAGUAUUUGUUUAUUUAAAAAUAUAUUAAAAUAAUUUUUUUCUAUAUUUUUUUAAAUUUUUUAUAUCAAAACAUCACAAUCAUAAAAAAUACUAAAAAUAAAGUGAUUUGAUAUUUUUAUAGUAAAAUAUACUUUUAAAAUACAUUAAAAAAAUAAAAGUUACUUCCUUUUCAAAUGAUGACGUGAUUAAAAAAUUAUAAAAAUUUACUCUUAAAAAUCAAAUUAUACCAGUAUACCAAACAUAUAAUAAAAGGUAUCUGACCCAAUCAACAAGAAAGAAAAAAGAUACUUCGGUUGUCUUAUUAAAUUAACGGAAUCCAAACAACCUUUAUUUCAUCCAAUCGUACAUUGGCACCUGAUCUUAAUCCAACGGCCUAAAGUUAUCGUGACUAUAUAUUUACAGAAACGUCACCCACAACUGUCGUGGCAUGGCCUCCGAUUCGAGACGGAAGUUAUAAUGCCCAGGGCAGGUUAGGUGAUGAUGUCGGGAAAUAGGCCCUGUCCAGUUGAAACCUUAAACUGACAAAGGGGCCCACAAGAAUUGCUUAAAUGUCCAAAUUCCAAAAAGGUCCCAAAUCAUACGGGGAUUGUUGCCAUCAACAAGGCUGGUUUCGUACUUUGGAAACUAGAAAUUAACACACGCUUAGAUUUUAGGGAAACCCUCAAAUCAGACCCAUAAUAUAUUAUUCUAUCACUAAUGGAGUCCUAAUAAAAAUACUUUAUCAAUUAAGUCCUCCGUGCUUAAGAAGUUUCUCAUUAGGUGCUUCUUUCCACUGGCCAUAGACAAAGUCCUCUCUUCGUGGAAAGUGCUAGGCUGUUAGCGUUUCCUCCGUAGUUCUGAAAUACGGCCCCACCGCGCGACUUCGAGUUGGGAAUAGGCUGGUAUGAGGUUGACGCGGUUAAAAUUCAAUAGAGAAAUAGACAAAUGAAAUGGUCUUUCCAUGCAAUGUCUUCCCUACGGCAAAGACAGUGCGCCAUCAAUAUCAGUCUUGUUAGUGGUCAUUGAAAAUGACAUCUCAACCACACAUAAACAAGUUGCUAUUUUAACUUUAAUUUGAUAAUAAAUAAUAAAUAUGAUGGGUACAAAGGGGAGAAUAUACAUGAUAAACUUUUUUUGUUUUCUACAAUAAUAGAGAAAUAGACAAAUGAAAUGGUGUCUUCCCUACGGCAAAAACAGUGCAAUCAGUGUCAGUCUUGUUAAUGGUAGUAGAAAAUUCAAAGAGUCUAGCUACGAGUGGAAUCCUUUGCUUUGUGGACCACCACUCCCCAAAAGCUGCAGUGAAGAUUUUUACAAGAGGAAUGUUGAAAAUAUUCCAAAAAAAUUGAAUAAAAAAUUGAAAACUAAUGAAAUAUUUGAAAAACCAGCAUCUUGCCACUUGUUUCAUUGGCUUGGUCAUAGGUUUUACAAAAUGGUUUUUCACUUUUCUUUUUUUAAUAUAUCUUUCAAAGUUCGUUCUACAAAUCUUCUAUAGGGUUCUUAAUGUUUCUAUUUAUGACAUUCAAAAUAUUUAUUUUAAAAAAAUUAAAAUAAUAUAGUUUCAUUUUAAAAAAAAAACUGUCUAAUCAUUUAGGUUUCACUAAUCGUUUCUUUAAUUAUAUAUAUAUAUAUAUAUAUAUAUUUUUAUAAAAGUUCAGUCUGAAAUAGAUAUUAAAAUAAUAUGAUGUUGAGCCAAAUUGAAUUUAAUAAUAAUAAUAAUAUAAUCAGCUAGUUAAUAUUGUAUUUUAAUAUAAAAUGCAUGUUUGAUAUUAUGAUGUAAAUGUUUUUUACUUAAAAAUAUAUUAAAAUAUUUUUUUAAUUUUUUAUAUUUUCAAUAUUAACUUAUCAAAUAAUAAAAAAACAAUAAAAAUUAAAAUAAUAUGAUCUUGAGUCAAAUUGAAUUUAAUAAUUAUGGUAUAAUUAGUUAAUUAACAUUGUAUUUUAAUAUAAAAUAAAUGUAUGAUAUUAUGGUAUAAAUUUUUUUACUUGAAAAUAUAUUAAAAUAUUUUUAACAUUAACUUAUAAAAUAAUAAAAAAGCAAUAAAUUUUUUCAAUUUAACUAGACUGCAACUUUGUCCUUGCAGCGAAGCUCUGCUUUUUUUUUUUAUAACGUUUCUACCGAGCAAAGUUGCAAUACAACGAGUCAUUUCUUUUCAUUUAUGCUUUGUAGAUUAGUUCCUUUACUAGUCAUAUAGUCCCAUUAUAUUACUGUUAGAUUUGUUAUUGGACGGUAUGAAACAUUAGAUCUGUCAAACUUGCAAUGAUUUAUAAUAAAAAUUUAAAAAAGCAUUGACCGCCGCUAUUAAAAACAUGUUUGUUUUUGCAUUUAAAAAAAAAAAAAAAAGACCAAUUUGCCAACAAGCUAUAAUAAUAUAACCCACAAGUUGAUUGAUGAAACCCUGACCCCAAGAUCUGGGGACCGCUGAAGAACACCUUGAAAAAUCUUGCAUUUUACACUUACUUUUUACAAGAGACAGAUGAACUGGUCAUCGUGCGCAACGUGUUCUCUACGGCCGAAAAUAAUGCAGUGGCUGUCAGCCUUGUUAGUGGUUGUGGAAAAUUACACGCUAUGACGAAGAAGAAGGUUGCGAUGACCUGAUGAUGGCUCGAUGGGCCACCUGCUAAAACAAAAGAAAAGAAAGCUGUUAACAGUGGUCAAAAUUGCCAGCCACGAUGUGCCCGCAAGGUUGAAAUAUUAGUAUAUAAUUUUUCAAUAUUCAAUCAUCAGAAAAUCAAUUGUAUAAAACAUUAUGGCUUCCUUCUGAUGAAGAAUUAGAAAAGCUGAAUUAUGAGAAACCAAUUACGCAAAUGAUGCGAGCAUGAGAUGCAAAAGUGUAGCAAUCAUACCACAUAUCCCUCAUCUUUACCAUGCCUAUUACUAAUAUUCCCCUCUCUUCCUUUCAGAAAAUGAAGGCAGUACGAAUAGAAACUUCAACUUCAUUUUACAAAUAUACUGUGAUAUCAGUCAUUAGCACACAAAACAUGUCUGCUGCCUGAUUUUGAAGGCACUGUCAUUCAUAGUUAGCUUGGAAACAAAGAAUAUUCACAACUUGUUACCAGGCUUCUAUUUGUCACCUUAGGUUGAAUAUAUAAACAAAAUACUCAAAGAGCAAUGAUAUUCAUGAAUUUCCUCUUGGCAAAUGCCAACCACCAUUUGUUUGGAGUCCCAUUGGGUCUAUAUGCGACACUCAGUAAUCUCCCACUUGUUUCCUCCCUUGUCUGUUUAAGAUACUUUCUGAAGAGCUCUGCAUUUUAAGAAUUCAAAAGUAUAAAUAAGCAAAAAAAUUUGAAUAAAAAAUAGCAAAGCAGUCACAAUCAUACUGCAAACAAACCAACAUUCAAAACCGAAGAGCUUAAAAGUCCAAGAUUUAAGAAUUAUGGCUCAAAUCAACAAUUCUGUAGAACAGUUAAUAAAGUGAGCCGUAAUGGAGAACUAGCAGCCAACUGAAACUAUUAUUGAAUUUUAUUUACUAUCUAGUGUCUCAAUUCAAAAACUUAUAUAGCUAAAGCCAAUGGAAUAAUACAAUAUCACCAGGCUCGAGGAUAUUAAACUGCCCUAAUGAUAUAGUAUUGAUAUGGCAAAGAACUAUGAGAGUAAAAUGACAAAGUCUCCAUGGUUUGAAAUGUGAAUAACAAAGUCUGUCAGCAAAAUUUUCAUCAGCAGAACAGUAGCGAGGAACAAGAGUAAAAGGCGGUAAUGCCCAUGCCUUAUUGAUAGCUGAAAACAGAAACAAAAUUGAUUUCAUGAUCCCUCUAAUCCAGUCACAAACUGAGACGAGAAGUUAAUUCAGAUUACUAGCAGGGUUAUGGCAAUCUGCUAGAUAAACAUCAGCCUGCAAUCAAGCAUCGAUGCAUUACUCCUCGGACUUGUAAGUCUAGAGGUUGAACAUAAUGCAGUUUGAAGAGAGUGCUAGUGCAUUUCAAUGCUUCAUUGAUAUAAUUAUACUAUAGCAUGCAAAUAAAUUUGCUCAUGGAUCAUUUAGGCUAUCUAAAACUUGGUUCGUAAUUCAUAUAGUUUAACAAAUUUGACCAUGUAAACUUGCUCGUAACAUGACAUCUGUUACACAAAUUUAACUCCAUGACAAAAAAAAACAUAAAAAGGAAGUUUACCUGCUUCCUUCUGAGAUUGAGGAUCGGCAAAAAGACCCGGGAAAGGAAAACCGGACUCUCCAGGCACAGAAACCUUCUCCAAACCCAAGUUAAUUAUUGCCUUAGUACCUUCAGCCAAAGUUCUACAACCCUCAAGCCUCUUCAAAGCCACAUUGAUGUAGAACGUUAAGUAAAUAAGGAGCUUAUCUGCUGGGCUCUGAAUAUUAAAAUUUCUAAAGAAAACAUUGGCACGAAAAAACGUGAUUGCUUCAUCAACUAUAUCAGUUUUAUCUGCAUAAAAACACAUCCCAGUUUCCACACAAUCAAGACCAGGAAAAAAAAAAAAAAAACCAUCUAACAGUCAUUCAAUCAUAGAAACAAAUUAAAAUGCAUGUGUUUAUAUCUUUAUAACCUUGAUCCGAAACUGGAGCAGGACCCUUUAUAUGACUUUUCAACGGAAGCAAAGGACAGCCACAUGCUUUUUUCACUCCCUCCUCGUCCACGAAACUAGAGUGAUGAACCUAAGCAUGAAAAACCAUCUUUCAAACUUCAUCUAUAAACAGAAACUCAAUUCACAUUUGGUUAUUACCAAGUAUAAAUACACGAAAUAAAUAGAGCAAGAAAAAUUCUAAGAACACGGAUACCUUCAUUAGUUUCAAAGCAAACCCAAUUAUGAUGACAACCAAUUUUUUCCCAUUAAAUGACUAAAGCCGCAACCUUUUACCAUAUCUACUCUUUUGAUUUCAACUAAACCUGCCUCUACCCCAAUAGUACAAAUAAAUCUGACAUAUCCAAUCGACAAUUUAUAUCAAUUUUUGAAAGUAAAAAUACAGAGAUGAAAAGUAAUGAGGAAACAAGAUUUCCAGAUUUCAUUCACAUACCAUUUUCAAUCCCAAAGCUCAAACAUUCAAACUUUUGCAGUAUUUCAGUCAAAUAAGAGUAUCCCUGAAAACAAUUAGAAGCAAGAUAUUGAAUUUACAAAUUUUGAGAGCUGAAUUGAUGCAUUAGAGAGUGCUCAAAUGGUAAAUUAUUGUAGAGACUCGGAUAUAAAAACAACCCUGUUUUCACUGGAAAUGAAGACGAAAAGAGAAAAAAAAAAGUCCCAUGAUUUAAAAUCUUAAGAAAAGUACAGGUAAGAUAGAAGUAAAAAAAUUACCUGAAAUUUUUCAGUCUCGCAGGAGAACGUUGUCGGAGUUUGAUUGACGUUGCUGUUGGCCUUCGAUCUGCAAUUUUAAGCAAACGAGGAGAUCAAAACGCGCUGUCGUUUUUGUUUUUCUUUAUUGCGUGGGCUGUCGUUUCUGCUCGGACUCCAAAUGAGAGUUUUGAAUCCCUUUUGGGAAAGCGUUUAAAAGAUAUCUUCUAAAAUUUUGAGUUUUUUUUAUGUUUUUUAAUUUUUUAUGAGAUAAUAUUAAAAAAAAAUUUUAAAAAAUAUAAAAAAAAAUUUAAUAUAUUUUAAAAUUUUUAAAAAAAAAAAAACAAUGUUAUUGCACUUUUAAACUCUCUAAAAAUGGGUUUUCUGCUUUCUUUCUUUCCUCUCCCCCCCCCCCUCUUUUUCAAGUAAAAAGAAAAUAUCAUGCAUGUAUUAUUUAUUUAUUUAGUCUAAAAGUCUGAGAAUUUAUCUUGAUUAUUGAUUCAGCCACGUAGAAUUAUAUAUAAUUUCUUUUAGAACAUGCUUCUCUUUGAAUGCUCUGUCUUCGAGGACACGGAAAGAUACAAUCCGAGGUAGAAAAACAUAUGAAUAUUAUAGACAACUGUCUCUUUUGGCAAAAACAGAAAAGUGAUGUCACAGGUGCCCUGUAAUUAACUUACACUGUAACUUUCUUUCAUGUCGGUGCAAAUUUUUUAUCAUAAUUUUCUUACAUCUCCACCCUCAAAAUAAUAAUCAUCAAUCAUCACGGGUUAUUGUCAUCAUUCCACAGCUACCAUCACUAAUUAUUUUAUUAUAAUCAUUAUCAAUAUCAUCAUUAUCAUAACAACAAUCAUCACCAGUCAAAACUCAUAAUUAAUAUCAAUUAAUAUCAUAAUUAUUAUUAAUUACACAUUAAUUUAAAUGUAUUCUAAAUUUUCAACAAAACUCAUAAAUAACUAAAAUUAAUUGAGGAUUAUCUAAUAUUUUUUAAUUAUUAUCAUUUCAACGCAAAAUCAUUUUUUUAAAAUUCUCCACUCAUCCAUAAAAUUAAAAAAAAAAUUAAUACUUAUUAAAUUACUUAUCAUAAAAAUUAUAUUGUUUUGAAAAAACAUAAAAGGUCAAACCAUGUAUUAUCCAGAUCAACUGAGUUUAAACGAAUCAAAUUUCACAUGAUUUAACAUGAAACUCAAUUGGACUAAAUCCUAAAUAGAUAAGUCAUCAUGUUGACUCGUUAAGCCAGGUUUAAUAAUAUUAGUUGAACUUAGCUCGAUCUAGCAGAUUAAUGUGAAAAACUCGAGAUUUAGAUCUAAUUGAGGUUUUAAAUGAAUUAAAUAAGACAUUAAACUUGCAAAAUUUAGUUGAUUUUAUAAGAUUUUUUAUAACUCAUAUACCUGAUCUAAACCUAACAAGAUUAAGAUCAAGGUCAAAGAAAGAAUAAAAAUAAUUCAUCGGGUUGAUUAGUAACCCAAACAUUUUUUCGGAUCAAUCUUCAAAUCUGAUGUAACCACUAUGGGCCCGCAACCAACAAACACAGCAUACUAAGAAACUUAGAAUUAAUAUUCUAUGCCAGGAAUCUUAACUUGCAAGUUACAACCUGCUUCGUGGCUUAUUCAAGAUUCUCCUCGAUGCUGUCAUCAAUUUCCAAAGAUAUUACGAAAUUCUGUUUUUUUCCUUUAACAGUGUGAGUAUCUUCUGAGCUGUAUACACAGAGAUUAAAGGAUACGUUCAUCUGAGAUCUUAUUUCCGUGACUUUCUUUAAAACUAUAAAGGCAAAAUGACAAGAAAGAAAACAAAACCAGUUACCGUCAGAACCUACCAACCAUUCCUUCAACAGUGUAUAUAGUAUAGGAUCCAUUGUUCAAGCCCUCAAGUCAUCUCUCUUCCUAAGCUAGGAGGGUUAUUUGCUUGAAAGAUGACGAAAAUAUUAAGUUUAAUUUAUGGUCAUGGCUUGCUCUAAUUACCAAUCACUUGUCUGUCCCCCAAUUCACACGUCAAAGGUUGUAAUUGUACACAAUCCACCACUUAACUAUCAGAUCGCUUCAGAUUGAUCGUUGUUCUGUUGGAAACUUUCAGCAACUGUCAAAAACACAGCAGUAAGAUAUAAUAAAAUUGAAAGGACAUCAAACAGGUUGUUUUCAAUCUUUUGCUUGGGGAUCAAUUUUGUUCUUCCAUUCUCCCAAAGUUAUCACAAUGAGGUUAUUUCGUUAGAAAAUUGUAAUUGAAUACUUUAUUCUGUGAAGUUGUAGCAGAGAUUUCUUGGUUUUUUCCAACAUUGACAUGAAGUCAGAGCAACUAGCGUGCCUUAAUUAUUCAGAUUAUCAGUAUCAAUGUACAAGUCGGUCUUCUUCUAUAUUGUUUAAGCUUGAAGUAAAUUUAUAGCAGGGGCUAUAUUCAAAGCCAAGCAAACUAGACUCCUUUGUUGUAAAGAAAAACCAUCCUAGUCAAGCAUAUAUAUAUAGAUUGAAGAUUACAGGACUAAAACUUCAAGCAAUCAAUGCCAGGGUUAAACUGAAGAGGGAAGCAUGAUUCAUAUCCUAAGGAACUAUUAAGAAAAAGAUUAUACAACACAGUCAAGUUUCACCAGACCACUAACUCCUUCCAAAAAAUACCCUAAAAGAAUCACAACCUGUACAAACAUCAGAACAUGUUCUUAGAAGAAUUCACUCUCCCAUUAGUUGGCACUCGUUGACUCUUAAGGACAAAGAAUGGCACUAUUAGAACUAGCUAUAUAUUUCAUUCUAGUACUGACAAACCUUGGUCAUGGUUGAUGGUGCACACAGGACGAUGAUGGUUUCAUUGAUCAGAUUAUGCUUGUGAAAGAUGCUGUCAAUACAUAAGGGAUAUUCACAAGAGGACCGCGUGCUUGUGCGAGUUCAUGAAUGUCCUUUAUGAUGUCAAAUACAGCCUCCGGUUGGGCUAGUUUGAGUGCAUUCUCUGACAUUCUUUCAAGUUCAUCUGUUUUCGUGCAAAACCAUUCUGUCACAAUUUUUGCUGUUUCUUUAGGACUUCUGGUGAAGACACCGGCCCCAUUGUCUACCACAUAAGGAACAUUUCCCUUUUCCUGCGGUUGCCAAAUGAAGAUAAAAAAAUGAGAUGAAAUAAGAACUAAAUCUUGACUGUUAGCUUGUCAAGUUAAGCAAAUGUGCAGAACGCCAUUAAUCGCUUACUUGUCCAGGAAUGUAGUCGUUGAGAAUGAUAGGUAGCGCCCUUAUCAAUGCUUCUGCGAUAGUGCCAGGUCCAGCCUGUGACAUUGAAGCCAGCAAAAUCAAUUUGAUUAAGAAUAAACAAAAAGGAUUCAUUUAGCAUCUAAAGCUAAAAUAUCUCUAGCAUACUUUUGUAAUUAUGCAGUCACAAGCUCCCAUCCAUUUCUCCAUCUGUGUCUCAAAUCCUCUAACCUGCAAUUAGGCAAAUAAAAAGACCAAUAUUCAACAAAUAAUUUUGUGAAUGUAUGAAGUACAUCAUACGCUUCAUAUACUACACGGACGGGAAGUAAAAUCCAAUACCUUAACUGGGAUUGUCCAUUCAUGAGAUUCCAAUGUAGAUUUAAGAACCUUAUUACGGCCACAAAUGAUGAUCAAUUGCCCAAGUGGUUUCCCAAGUUCUUUAUCAAACAAUGAUUCUCCGAGAGCCAACGCAGUUUUCUUAACAGGACCCAUACCUUCACCACCUCCCAUCAGUAAAACCGCAGGCAAACUAGGGUCCAGUUCAAGCUCUUCUCUUAACUCAUCCUUUAUGACAAGAAGCCAAAAAAAACAAGCGCACGGUUAAGUGAGAAAACCAUCCUAGUAGAGCAUAAGUGUGCUCUUAAUUGUGCGAUCACAGUUGUGCACCUUUGAAAGAACUGCACGAGCAAAAGAUGGCCGGAUAGGCAAACCAAAAACACGAAUUUGAGAAUCUUCUAGGCCAUCUAAUGCAGCCCUCUUGGCAACCUCCUCUGAUGGGCAGUAGCAUCUAUUCACCCUAGGAUGAAACCUGAAAAUACUUUCAUUGUUACAAUAGAUAACCAGUUAUGAUAAAGGGAAACAAUGAGUCAUAUAUCUUCAAAAUGACUGAAUUAACUUACCAUGUAGGAUGGCAGCUAUUGAGGUCGGUGAUGACUGUAACAAAAAUCACUUUCUUUUGUAAGCCUUGCCAUUUCAGAACCCACAAAGGAAUAUGCUGCAUCAUGGGAUGAACACUGAUAAUUAUAUCCGGUUUGUACUCCAUUAGACCAGCCUCCACCUCCCUACAAUCACACACACAACAGAAUAAGAUUAAAAAAGUUCCACUAAACUUAUGAACACAAACAUUGGAUUCACUUUCUUUCCGACAUCCAAUCACAUUUCCAGCUCAAGAAACAGAUGAUUUUAGCUUUAACAGUAAUCAACAUUGUGUGCUGAUAAGUGGGGUGAGAAAGAAUCAUUUUCAAGAAGAAACUACAAGUGCAUAAUCAAUAGUGGAAGAGGAGAAAGAAUAAAAAAGGUCCUUAAAAGCUCUGGCAUUUAUUAAUCAAAAGAUUCAAUCUUUAUUAUACUGUGGUGACCAAAUUGAUGUACCCAUCCAUAAAAUUAAAAUGCCAACUGUAAAUUAAAACUAUAAAGUACAAUCCACUUGCCAGCAAUAAAUUAUCAUAAAAUGAAGAAAUAUCUCCAAGGAAAAAACUGAAAGAUUGAGGGAAUUAAAUUACUUGGCAUAGUAGGCAGCGAUAGCGGCAAGAUAGCAGGAGUGUAUCCAUCUUGGAGAAGUACUGUGAAAUGCCACCUUCCAUAGCUGUACGUGUUUCACCAUGAAUUUGUAUUGCCUCUCCAUAUCAUUCAAUGGCCAGCCUGUGUACUCUUUCCAAACAUCCUUCACAAUUAUCUGAAAGCAAUGACAUGCAGUAGAGGCCUUGUUUAGCAGAUGAAUUCUUCAAGUCCAGAAACAAAAUUUCACCAGUAAAACAGAGGAGGAGAGAUGGGGAAAAGGCCUUGAAAAGAGGAGGGAUUGAUUGAAUGUGAAAAUAACAGAAUUGAUUAUUUGCCGUGAAAAAAAAGGUUUAGCAAAUUAGAGAAGAAAACAGCAAACAAAUAAAUCCAAGAAGAACAAAAUGGCUACUACCAUAUUGACAAAAUCGGCACUUUCCUUAUCCACCUUACAUGUAUAGAAAAACAAAACAAAACACCUCUAACAAGAUAAUCAGAAGAUCAAAAUCAGAGGCAACAAAAAACAAAAAAAAAGAUCAUGUUCUACACAGAAGGAAACUCAAAGCCUAAAUCACACACCCUGUAUUCAUCACCAUAUUCAAGCUUGAAAGCAUCACGAAUGGCUUCAGCAGAAGCACGAUGACCACCACCUGUAUCACUCAUAAGGAUCAAAACAUUCUUGGCUCUCUCAGCACCAAUUUGAACAAGUUCCAUGGUCCCAUCUUCCUCUUCAAAAUCAUCGUCACUCUCUUGGAUAUAAUACUUAAGCUUUUGUAGAUUGCUGCAAUUAUAGCUGUCGCUGCUGCUGCUGCUAUCACUAUUACUGCUAACGGACCCAAGAUUACUAUAAACUCUUUGUAAGACCUCAGUAAAUGACGCUUUCCUCGGAGGAGCCUGCACCUUCAUCAUUAUAACCAACUUUCAAGUAUUUGAAAAGUCGGUAAAAGAAAAGGCAAGAAAAACCAAGUAAAACCGAACGGUCAAACUUCCUUCCCGCCACCGGAAAAUGGGGUUUUCCUGGCUGAGAGAGGGAGAGAAAGUGGUGGUUUUGAGAGAGACCGAGGGAGGGGCAAAGGAGAGAGGGAGUGGAGAGGGGGAUGAAGGUUAUAUUGUUGGUGUUUAAGGUUGUGUGUGUUGGCAAGAAAAUGUUUUUGUAAGUUUUAAAAUUGUAGUGAAAGGUUGCUAAUAAUGUGCUUAGCUGCUAAAGAAUUAUGCCUUUUUUGCAUUAGGAUUAGUGGCUUUUUGUGGGGGGUUAUUCAGAGAGUUUAUUAGCCGUCGGAUUCGCAUUUUAUUUUGGAAUGUUCGUCUGGGGAGAUUUAGAUUCGAAUCUUCUAAAAUAGUGCUUGCCGCUUGGAUGGUCAUGGUUAGUUUUGGGUUUUGCUUUUGUGCCCUUUUCUUUUUGGGAAUUUGCUCGUGUCGGCCAAGAAAAAGGGAAGAAGAUGGUGUUGUUAACGAGGGUGGAAGGGGAAGACAAGUUCGGCCCUUGAUGAUGGUUCCAAUUGGCUGUUGUGUUGAAUUAUGAGUGUAGGAUGGCGUAAUUAAUUUAUGAUAAUUGAAAAUGGUGAUGUGAUUAAGUAGAGGAGAGGGACAAGAAAGAAAGAAAAAACAAACGAUUGGGUUUUACUUGAAUUAAUCAAAUCUUGCCAUGAUUUUAAGAUGUUCUUGGCAUCAUUCCACUAAGUUAGGCUCUCAUAACGAAUUGAAAACGAUUCAUGCAUGAAUUUCUUUUUCAUAGACUUCGUUUUUGCCUUCUCAUCAAUGUAAUGAUUUUUUUGUUUUGUUUGUUUCUCAUCAUUAUCUCAUCUCUUAAUUACUUGGUAUUUUGCAUUCAUUAUCCAUAAUCAUUCCUAUUUCACCAAGUUUUUAUAAUUCAUUUCUUAACAGUAUCAUAUAUAUAUAUAUAUAUAUAUGAAUUAAUUAAUUUUUCUAAAUAUUAUUUUUCUUAAGAAAAAAAAAACCCAAUUCUUCUCUUGAAGUUAAUGUAGCCCCUCUCGAUAAUCAUUAAUCCACAAUGAUUUGUUUUUGUACUUUGGUGUUUUACAUUUUGAUUCUUUAAUAUUUUUUAUUUGAUUUUUUAACAUUGCAGUAAUAUAGGUUUGGGCUUGUCCAAUUGUUUUGUUUGUCUGCUGAUAAGGAUGUUAAAGUAUCAAGAAAAUAUUUCGUUACUUGAUUAAUAUUUAAUUUGAAAAGCUAAAAUUUAAUUUUAUUAGCUUAGAACAAUUAAGGUUUUAAAGACCGAAUUUUAAGCUUUGAAGAAUAUUGAACGUCUUUAAUUUUUUCCUAUUAGGGAUUGGGUUGCAUGAUUAAAGAAAGAUUAUUAUGAGUAUUUCCUUUUGUUAGUGAUUAUAUGUUAGUUAAGGAUUAAACUUUUUUUUUUUUUUUUGAAAAAUGUUCUUUUUGCACAGAUUAUCAUGACCACUUCUUUUGAUUUAAUUAGAUUGCUUUAUUGUUGAUACUUAUUUUUUAUCAUAUAAUUAAAUAAAAUAAAAUUAUUUUACUUAGUCAAGUCUAUGAACUGAGUCGUAAUUUUUUUUUACUUUUUUAAAACAUGCUUGCAGAGCCUAGACAUUCUUUAUACGUUAUUUUUUUUGUCCAACUUGUAGUGUAGUGCAUGCCACCAAUUUAUUUAUUAUUAUUUUUUUUGGCAAGCAUUCUUUUUGUGCAAAAUAUUAUGAUCAUUCCUUUUGAUUUAAUUUGGUUGACUUAUUGUUGUUGUUUUAUUUUUUAAGAACAUUUUGAUGUAAUGAUAUAAAAAAUAACCUUUAAAAAUAAAUAUAUAUAUAUAUAUAUAUAUAUUAUUUUGAUGCAAUUUUAAGUAAAAAAUACUUUAAAAAACAAUAACUACCACAUUCACAAAUACCAAAAAAUAAAUAAUGAAUAUUUUUUUGUUCCAAGUAUUAAAUUUAUAGGUGAUUACUAAAAAUCGUUGAUCUUUUUUUAUCACCUUGAGUUUGAGCAUCCAAUUAUAUAGAAAGUUACACUUGAUUCCAAAAGAAAUAUGCUUAUGGUGUGAUCUAAUUGUGAAUAAAAUGACACCAAAAAUUAAAAUGUAGUUACUUAAAUCUUACUAGAUUAUAGGCAUGUGCUACGUUGCAUAUUAAAUUAAAUUUUUUAAUAUAAAAAAUAUUAAGAUGUUGUUAAUAUAUUUUUCUAAUAAAAAAAAUUAAAUUAUAUGGGGAUUGAUCUAAUAUAACUUGGUCAACUUGAUAAAUCAAAAGACAACUUAGAUUGAUAUAGUAAAUAUUAAAAAAUUAAAAAAAAAUAAUCUUUUUUGUUGACAUCAAACACGCUUUAUGCAUUUAUGUUCAAAUACAAUCAUUUGAUAUAAUUUAUAGCUUUUUUAUUUAUACAGUUGUUUCUUAAUGUGAUGAAAAUUAUUAAAUGAUGCUGCUUUUCUUCUCAUGUUAUUACUAUUAUUAUUGGAUGGCCAAAAAGAAGCUUUACAGUGAUUGGAUUUUGCAGCAGCAAAAAACAAGUGUGUGAGAAAAAGUAUGGACCAUGGGGGUGAUAAAUUGAUUUCAUGAUAAGGAUCUUGAUUAUUUUUAUAAUAAUAAUAGUAGUAGUAAUUUUAAAAAAAAUCAUUGCUAGGAAUAUAUUGUUGAAAAAGCCAAGUCUGGAAUGAGGUACAAUCUCAGCGACCACAGUGGGAGUCGAACCCACGACCUUUUGAUCCGAAGUCAAACGCGCUAAUCCACUGCGCUAUGCGGUCAACAUGUUAUGCGUUCGCUAAUAUUUAUAUAUAACUUAUUUCACUGUUUUUUAAAUAGCCAACAUUAAUUUAUAUGGUAUGGCUGAUAGCAUUACUUCAACAUCUUUUUUAAUUGGUGGUCGGACCGCAUCUCCCCUUGACUUGACCUAUCAACUUUAGCCAAUCAGGCCAUAUAGAGAUCGACAAUUAGGAAUGGUGCCAUGGGGGGUUUGUGGAGCUUAAGGAACAUAAGAGCAGCGACUAUUGAUCACCAUGAGAGCAGAUAUAAAGAGGUAUCGCUAUGUGUGUAUGCGUGUAUUUGAGUUUAAAUAUGAAUGUGUGUAUGCGUGUAUUUGAGUUUAAAUAUGAAUGUGUGUGUGUGUCUAUAUAUAUAUAUAUAUAUAGAGAGAGAGAGAGAGAGAGGUGUUAUUUUAAACUAGUGAAAAAACAUUUCUAGAAAUUUUGUUUGAAAUCAUGAUUGAUGAGAAUAUUUAAAGUAAACUUAAAAGCAGAAUCUAUUUAUUUUUAGAAUUGAAAUUUUAUUGUAAUUUAUUCUUCAACAAAAAAUUUUUUAACAUGGAGCUUUGAUAUCAUUAAAACAAAUUAUAAAUAAAAAAAUUUAAUCUCAAAAAACCUUUGAUUAAUAUACUUUUAUAAAACUUCAAAACUCUUUAUCUCACAUAAAAAAAGAUUUAUUGUGGUUGAAAGUUGAAAAAUUAAAAUUAUAUCUAAAGGAUAUCAAAGUUUUUAGAGAUGAGAUUAUUUAAGCAUCUAUUUGAAAUUCAGGUUGAACUUACUUUUCGUUAAAAUUUUAAAAAAUUUUGCUUCAAAUUAUUUUUUUUUUAGUAUUUUUAUAUUGUUUUAAUACACUAAUAUCAAAAUUAAUUUUUUAAAAAUAAAAAAAUAUAUAUUAUUUUAAUACAUUUUCAAAUAAAAAUAUUUUAAAAAACAAUAUCUACCACACUCUCAAACAUUUUCUAAAUCCUAAAGCAUUUCUAUUAUCCAAAACUAGGGUUGAACUUUAUGGUAAAGGAAGAAAAAGAUUAGAAGAAGGUAAAUAAGGGUAUUGCUGAUGGCCUAUGGGCAUGGCCCUAGCAAAGUUUUGGAAAAAUUAAUAUAUCUCACAAUUUGAUACUUAAAGUUUCAAGAAACAUCAGUGCCUCAAAAAGUAUUCAAAGCUUAACUCUACAUCCUCCCAUUUUAUUUCUUCAUAAUUAUUUGGAUAAUAUUUAGUUAAUAUCUCAAGAUAAAAAAAAAUAAAACCAAAAAUAUAUUUGAUGAAAGAGACAGUGAUAAAGAUAUAAAAAUAAAUUUUUUACCAAGAUAAUUUUAAAGUAAAUAUUUGUAAUUAUAAAAUAGAAGGUAAAAAAAAAAACAUGUUUAUUAACUAUUUUCUUAUACCUAAAAUAUUAUUUUAUAAAACUUAUACUUCCAAAAUUAUUUAAUUAAGACAUAUAAAAAAACAAGUGGUUAUUAUCAUGGUUUUGAGAUUUAAGCCGAGGGUUGACGUGGGGCAAAACCUAAGUUAUAGGUUGUGAGAGUGGAUUGACGUGAAUCUCUAAAACGAUUAAAAUAAUAUUAUUUUAAUAUUAUUUUUAAAAACAUGUCAACAAGUUCUUGAUUUCAAGUUUUGCCCCGAGUUAACUGGGUUGCAUGUCGACCUGAGUUUUUUAUCGGGUUAAGAUGUGUAAAUCAUUUAUGUAUUUUUAUCUUAAACUAGAAUUGAUUAAGGCCCUUGGUUGGUCAAAUAUUAGGUUGAUUUGUCACGUCGGUUCGAGUUUUAUAACUAGAAAUAUUAUAUUAUUAUUAAUUUCAAUACUCAAUAUAAACUAAAGUAAAAUAAAUAUAUUUGAUUAUUAUUUUAAUCAUGUAAAUUUGAUAAUACUAGAUAUUAAAGGUAAAUUAGACUUUUUAUAUUCUAUCAUGUCUUAUCCAUAAUAUCUAAAUAAGGGUUUUUUCUUCUUAUCCAGCAUAUUAAACUUAAAAGUUUGAGGGAAAGACAUUGUUUAAAUGACGUGCUUGUGAAGAGUGAUAACUUAAUAUGUUGCUCUUCACAAGCGUGAUAUUAAUUAAAAUUUAAACAGAUAAAACAUUAGCAACACACAGACAAUUCCCUUCUCUCGAGGAAAAAAAACACAUUGUCUCCCUUAGAUCUCUCUUAAAAAACUCAUCACUAGAUUUUGCUCUUAAAACAACUAAAAAUCAAACUCAUCCUAGUCUUUAAGCAUCAUUUGAUGUUUUUGUGUUGAAAAUUCAUCAUUCCCUUUGCUGCUGCCAGCACUACCUUUAUUUCAACUGUUACCCCAACCAUUCUUGUAGUCCUAUAAAUAAGGUAAACAUUCUACAUUGUUAUUAAUUUGUAUUUAGUUUGGUUAAAAUCAAAUAAUUAUUUAGAUUGAUUUUAGAGUUUAUGGUGAAUUUAGGGUUUAUUGGAUCAAUGAUAAAUUUUGACAGGUUACAUUUAAUUAGAGUUUAUUUGAUAUAGUUGAACAUAAAAAUAAGUUGAAUUAAUUGUUUCAAUUAAUUAUAUGUUGCGUUUAAUUUAAGUUAAGUUGUCCAAAUAGGAAUUAUGUGUAUACUGUUGAAAUUGGCUAAUAAUGAAGUUAAAUACACAUAAACAUUCAUGCAAUAAAGCAUAAAUAUGGUUGAAUUAUGAUGAAUUACAUGUUUUAUUGAAUUGUUGAUAAGUUGACGAAUUUAGUAUUUUUAUAUGAAAUUAAUUUGCUAUAAAUUUGCAUUUGAUUUAAUACAAUCAAGCAUGAAAAAUAUCAAUUGAUAAUGUAUCAUGAAUUAUGUUUAUUAUUUGCUAAGUUGCAUUAACGUUAAAUUUUAAAAUUAAAUUAAAUUUGCUAUGAAUUUUGCCAAUUAGAGUUGAGGAAAUGCAAUUUAGUUAAAUUAACUAAAAUCUUUCUUUUCACAUAAUAUCUAAUAACAUAUUUAUGAUAUGUCAUUACAAUAGUAAUAUUAUUUAUGAAGUGAACAGUAAUAUCACAUACAAUGGUAAAAAUAAUUUGUUGUUAAUUGAUAAUUUUUGUAGAUAACGAAGCCACCCAGAUAGGAGUAGAAGCUAAAUAAAAUGGUGAUACUGAUGAACUCGGAUCACCCAAUAGAUGAUGUAGACAUAGAUAAAUAGAUAAGUCAUGUUUAUAUACUUGGGAUUCCUUGAAUAUUAUAUUAUUGGAUUAUGUUAUAUUCAUUUUGCAUAUAUAUAUAUAUUGUAUUAUUGUGGCUACUUGUGAUUAUAGAAUAUGAUAAUAUGUUGAGUUUAGUUAAAAUUUGUUGAUUGCGGUUAUUGUUAAAUUUUACAGGUUUUUUGAAGUAAGAUAAAAUUUUGGAUAUAGUUCUUAUAUAUAGGAAAUUAUAUCCAAAUUUUGAUAAAAUUGUAAAUAUUUCAACUAUCUAAAAUCAUAAAGUGAAUAAAAUUUUAGAUUAAUGAAAACUAUAGUUUUAUAAACUUGUUCAUGCUUAAAAUAUGAAAAUGACCCAAAACCUUAUAAUAGCUAAAACGAUCCGACUAUUUUGCUAAUUAUUUUAUCAAAUAUUUAGUCGUUUCUCAAAACAAUCUCUUUAAAAAUAUCAUGGCUUUAAUCUUCAAUAUUGAAUCAAAUGUCGCGGUUUAGAAACGCAAUAUCUCAUUAAUGUCGUAGCUAUGAACCACAACAUUAAUUAUCACGAUUCUAAAACGUGAUAUGUAUCAAAUGUCACGAUUCUGAACUGUAACAUUAUUGAAAUAUCCGAUAUAAACCAUGAUAUCUUUAAAUUGUGUUAUUUUACCAAAAGUUUUUUAUCAUAUGUUAUUUCAGUAUUUAAUUAUAUUUUAGGUACUAAUUACCUAAUUUAUCCCAAAUAAGAUAUAAAAACUCACUCAAUCACUAUUAAAUAUAAUUUUAUUUUUGUCUUUUAUUAUAUUUUGUUUACUUUAUCCUUUUUAUCCUUACUAUCUUCAUCCCUUCUAUUCUAAAACAAUAAUCGAACGAGAUUGCAUCCUUCAUUUCAUCUCAUUCUUGUAUCAUUCUCAACAAAAAUCCCGGGGAAAAAAUGUAUAAAAUAUACCCUGCAAACGACAUCGUAUAGGCAACUGGAUGGUAAAAACAAGCAAAUACAGUCCUUGCACACCUCUUGUUCUUUUCUUAAAUUUCCAAAACAGCCCCUAUAAAUUCCACUCUCUUCCAAAUUCAGCCCAACGUUUAUAAUUUAGUUUUCCAAUACACCCUUCCCCCACCUUGCUUCGAUAAUUCACUCAAAUUCCACAAAGCCCCCAAUUCUAGGGUUUCCAUCUAUCACAAAUCCCUGCCUCUCAUCCUCUGGUAAAAUCCGUUCUUUUUUACUCUUUGUAAAUCAAAGAUUUUAUCUCUCUCUAAAUAUCAAUAAAAGUUUCACCUCUAUAGUCUUCUUGUGCGUUUUUUUUAUUAGUGACAAUAUUAAGCUCACGUGGCAUGCUAAUGUGGUGUCUUUCUUUCUGAUUUUGUUUCUACAAUCUUGAUUAUCUGAGAUUUGGGUUAUUGGGUUUUUGUUAAAUAGUGUUGGUUUUGUAGAUUUUUCGUCGAGUUGAUCAUAGACUAUGGUUUGGUUGACCUUUUUUUGUGUGAGCUGUUUGGUUUGUUUGUGUUUUGACAUUGCUGUUUAGUGAUAGUUUUUGUGCUGUUUCGUUGCUGGGAGUUGUAAAGUCUUGUGCUUUUUUGCUGUUUUACUUGUAAUGUGGUUGUGUAAUUGUUGGUUUUUGACAGUUCAGGUUGUUUUGUGUCUGUUAGUGGUUUAUCCCUUGGAUAGUUAGCUUGGGUGCAGUGAUUGGGCAGUUUGUGACAUUGUUAUGCUAUGUUUGAAAGGCAAUGACUGUGUUAGUAACCAAAAUGGAUUAGUUUCCUGUUGUGGUGGAAGUGGCUGAUGGGGCUGGACCAAUAAGUCGGGGGCUAAUUGAAAGUUUGCUCUUAAAGUGUCUUGUAAGUUGGGACAAGGAUAUGGAGAGAACAUCUGAUUCGCUGGCCUAUCAGUCUUUUCAGGAGUUAGUUUCGUGUGUUUUAGUGUUUACUCGUGAUUUGCUUUCAGUGGCUGGUUUGUUCAUAUGUUUGAGCUUUGCUUUGCAUGUCCCUUGAAAAUGGAAACUUUAAUAACUGUAUUCAAGUUGUAAAAUUCAAGCCAAUUUGGUUUUGAUUUGCCCUUAACCUUGAUUUACGGCACAUGCUAUGCAGCACUGUGUGCACUCAUGUACUUGAUCUGCUAAGAUCUAACGAUGUCUCUGCAUAUUAUCACCAACUUGUGUUUCGUUGUGCUGUAUUGAAAAGAUAUUCAGUAAUCCAACUUUUACAGGCAUGCUCCUUAACUGCCUUAUAGAUUGUAAAUCAGAGCAUUGUUCCAUCAAGAUAUACCAGGGAAACUUCUUCGCAAAUUGGUUGUAACCAGAUGUGCUUGCAUUCUUCUAAAACUAUGAUCAGUGCCCCUGUAACAUGUUUUUGUAUGCUUUUACAGUUGAUAGCUUUUGAACAUACUUGCUAAUUGUAAACAUAUGAAACAAUCUUUUAUCUCAGAAUUUGUUUGUCAUACAGAAGUAUAGACUGUUUUGGAGAUUAAAAAGAUGCAUGAGAUGUGUGUGUGUGUGUGUGUGUGUCUCGGUAUAAUAACAUGUUUUGAUUGUCAAUUUGAACCACAGAAGUGAUUUCUGAUGCCAAGGGAAAAGCUUAUACUAAUCUGCCAGUCUGGUGGUGGAUUUGUGACGAAUGAUGAUGGGAGUUUAUCAUAUAAUGGAGGAGAGGCACAUGCCCUAGAUAUCAAUAUUGAAACUGUGUUUGAUGAUCUGAAAUUAAAAUUGGCAGAAAUGUGUAACUUGGAAUAUGAAUCUUUGUCAAUGAAGUAUUUUAUCCCUGGAAACAAGCGAACUCUAAUUACUGUAUCUAGUGACAAAGACCUGAAAAGGGUGUUUGAUUUCCAUGGGAACUCGAUCACAGCAGAUGUAUUUGUCAUGGGAAGAGAAGGUUUUAAACAUGAAGACUACAUGCAUACUAGCAGGUAUAUUUUUCUGCCUUUCAGCUGCCUCAUGUCUCUAAGAGCAUGGAUUAUUGAUUUUCGUUUUUGAACAAGUCUUAUAAUUCUUACUUUACUAAAAAUCAGUAAUUGUCAAGUUGUUGUAUUAAGAGAUUUCAAUGCCAUAGCAUUGUUCCCCAAACAGGGUUCUUUGAUGAAUGACCUCAUGUUCUUCCAUAGUAACCCUUAGUUUUUAAUUUGGUACAUUGUGAUUGGUGGAAUUUUUUUGGUUGCAGCAGUCAUGGGGUUUUCUCUCUUUCUGACAUUGAUUAAUAGUAGUUUUAAAAAUUACAGAGGAAGUGGGAUCCAACUAGCUGAAACUGUGCUGUCCCCAGUUCCUAUCACAGUCGCUCCUGCUGCAGCCGCCUAUGGCGGCUGUCGUGUAUUGUCAUCUAAAUCGAAAAGAGCUGCCAAGGAUAAAGCCCAAAGCCGUGCACCAUCCUGUCUUGCUGUCACUACUCCAACAGUCACUCCUGCUACUGUUGCCUCUGGUAGUCGUCGCGUAUUGUCUUCUAAAACCGCAAAUGCUGCCAAUGCAGAAGCUAAAAGCCCUGCUAGUGUGGCACUGGCCAUUAUCUCAAAACAAUCUCCCGCCACCAUUACCAAGGAUCCUGGUGUUGCUAGUUUGAUUCCAACAGAUCUUGUCACUGUUCCUGUUGAUACAACUGUCCAUGACUCAGUUACAGUUGAUAUGAAUACUUCCCCUGCUGACACUGUUAAGAAGCGAAGGCGCAUUGCAUCCUGGAAUAUCAGUGCCAAUGGUCCCAGCAUUGUUCUUGAUGACAAUAACGACAACAAUGACAAUACUGAUGAUUUUAAUGGAGAGACCAGAAGCACGUCACGAAAGACGAACACGAGGACAAGAAAAAGUACAUCAAGGAAGAAGAACGCUUGGGACCAUGAUAAUGCCUUUGUAGAUGUCGAAAUAGAAUGGCAAUCAGACAAUGAAGAUAGUGAACUAUGUGUACAUGGUGUGAACUCUAAGGAUGUUUCAGUGGAAAGGAUGGUUGCCUCUUGGAAAAAGAGAAUUACUGGGGUAGGCCAGGACUUCAAAGAUGUAGCUGAAUUUCGUGAUGCCCUGCAGAAAUAUUCCAUUGCACGCCGUUUUGCGUACAGAUUGAAAAAGAAUGACACUAAUCGAGCAAGUGGCAGAUGUGUGGUUGAAGGCUGUUCUUGGAGGAUUCAUGCAUCUUGGGUCGAAUCUGAACAAGUAUUUAGGAUAAAAAAGAUGAAUAAGUCACAUACUUGUGAAGGAGAAUCAUGGAAGCGUGCUACUCCAAAUAAAAAUUGGCUGGUCAGUAUCAUAAAAGACAGGUUAAGACAGACACCGCAGCAAAAACCAAAGGACAUUGCCAAUGGCCUUUUCCAAGAUUUUGGGGUGGCGUUGAACUAUUCUCAAGUGUGGCGUGGAAUUGAGGAUGCAAAGGAGCAACUUCAGGGUUCCAAGAAAGAGGCAUAUAACAUGUUGCCUUGGUUUUGUGAUAAGAUAGUGGAGGCAAAUCCUGGCAGUUUUGUGAAGCUUUCUGUUGAUGAUGACAGCAAAUUUCAGUGUCUUUUUGUAUCCUUUCAUGCCUCAAUAUAUGGUUUUCAGAAUGGUUGUCGUCCAAUUCUCUUUCUUGACUCUACAACUUUAAAAUCAAAAUACCAUGAGAUUUUGCUGACAGCUACUGCAUUAGAUGGAGAUGACGGGCUUUUUCCAGUUUCCAUUGCUAUAGUGGACAUUGAAAAUGGUGAUAAUUGGAAAUGGUUUUUGAAGCAGUUGAAAGCAGCAAUUUCAACUUCACAAUCAGUAACUUUUGUCUCUGAUAAAGAGAAGGGGUUGAUGAAAUCAGUGCUUGAAGUAUUUGAGAAUGCUCACCAUGGUUACUCUAUAUACCAUCUGCUGGAAAACUUGAGGAGAAAUUGGAAGGGGCCAUUCCAUGGAGACGGGAAAGUUUCUUUGCCUGGAAGUUUAGUGGCAGCUGCCCACGCAGUCCGACUUGAUGGUUUUAGAAUGCACACGGAGCAAAUUAAACAGAUUUCUUCAAAAGUUUAUGAUUGGCUUAUGCAGAUCGAACCAGAAUGUUGGACGAAUGCACUAUUCAAGGGAGAGCGUUAUAAUCAUAUUACAGUUGAUGUUGCAGCAACAUACACUGACUGGAUUGAAGAAGUGCGGGAGCUACCUAUAAUACGGAAGCUGGAAGCACUUACAUGCAAGAUAAUGGGGUUGAUCCGCACAUGUCAAAUGGAUUCAAAUGGCUGGACUGCAAAACUUACUCCAUCCAAGGAGAAAAGGCUACAAGAAGAUGCUCUGAGAGCUCAAUUUUUAAAAGUAUUAUUCUCAUCCGAUACCUUAUUUGAGGUUCAUGAUGACUCUAUUCAUGUCGUGGAUACUGAAAAAAGGGACUGCACUUGUCUCGAGUGGAAACUGACUGGGCUCCCUUGUCGCCAUGCUAUUGCUGUCUUUAAAUGCAAAGGCAGUAGCAUGUAUGAUUAUUGUUCAAAAUACUACACUGUUGAUAGCUUUCGCAUGACGUAUUCAAAGUCAAUACACCCUGUUUUAGACAAUUUCAAGGAUCUGGCUGAAGAAAAAGAAGUCUCCGGGUCGGUGCAGGUGCUUCCUCCUAAUACCCCAAGGCCUCCAAUCCAGCCGGAGGAAAAACGAUAUUACUACAGAAAGGGAGAACCCACAAGGGUAAUGUCUUGCAGCAGAUGCAAGGGAGAAGGGCACAAUAAGGCUACAUGCAAGCAACCCACCCUACCCCUGGAACAUGCCCCAGCACUAGCCCUUGAUGCCCCAACUCCAGCUCCAGCUCUAGCUCUUGAUGCCCCAGCCCUAGCCCUUGAUGCCCCAACUCCAGCUCUAGCUCUGGCUCUUGAUGCCUCAGCUCCAGCUCUAGCUCUUGAUGCCCCAGCUCCAGUUCUAGCUCUUGAUGCCCCUGCUCCAGUUCUAGCUCUUGAUGCUCCAGCUCUAGCCUUUGAUGCCCCAGCCCCUGGUGGCAGAGAGCUGGCAUUCAUAGCCCAGCCCUUGGAACAUGCUACCGCCCCAGGUGGUGAAGAGCUGACAUUGAUAGAGCCCUGUCCUGGUAGUCCAAGCCCAGCUCAAGUUUCUUAAUGUGCUCAAUUUAGUACUGGUUCAAAACGGGACCUUGAUGAGUCUGCCUUUCCUGUAUCAACAAUAAUGUACAGUUAUAUGAGCAAUAAUGCUACGGAAGUGUUCUGCACUUGAUAUAAAGAAUGAAAUAGUGCUGUGUCGGUGUGACACUACCUUACUUUUUGUGCCUGAACAGCAUGAAUUCUUGUAAGAUUUGAGUUUGCACUUUCCAAGAAUCAUUUUUGCAAAAAUUGGAUUGUAAGAUGCUGAAAGUUCUACAUUAUCUGGUUGUGGAAACGUAAUCAAUUUGGAACUCCUAACAAGUGAGAAAAAAUUUUCCUUCGGUGAGCUGAUGAGAUCUUUAAUUUUCCUUUCCUAUGCCUUACAGUUGAAGUAGGGCAGCUUCCAUAAACGUAGGGCAUCGGGGAAUUUCCCACCUACAGCCGAACUGCAGUUUACUUUCCAAGUACCAUUUCACUUUAUUCCACAAGGAAUUGAUUCUUUUGACAUUUCUUCAUGAAGCUACAUUUCCUUUCAAAACAGAAAUUCAUGUUAUGAAUUUUAGCAGGUCAAUCUUUGCAAGGAUUGAAGUUUGCUUUGUUUGCGUAGAGCUUAACUGAUGAUACAGGAAAAUUUAGGAGCAAAGGUUCUUGUAGGUAUAUAGUGCAGCAGGUAUUUCAGACGUCGUUGUGUAACUGUUCCUCUACCAACAGGGAAGUAGCGGCCAUCCUCAAAGCUGAAUUGAGUAACCAAUCCGAGCGGUCAUUUUUGCUGGCCCUCUAAAAUCCGAUUACAAAUGCACAAUCUUCCCUUGUUAGCAACGUCUUAAGCAGCAAGAGGUAGGGUGAACAUGGUUUUUCAUCUUUUCUGGCAGAGGAUUUUAUGACCUUUUGGCUCAUACUUGACAAUAGCAUGUUCCUUGAAGCUCCUGUCCUAGUUUUUGAACUACCAGCAUUAUGGAAUUUAUAACACGAAGGGAAACAGAUUAUACGUUACUCUGGGCAAUCAGUCGUCCAAAUCCCUGUUCAAAGCUUCCAAGCAGGAACAAAUUAAAACAUUUUCAUAUAUGAACGUGUACUGCCACUUCUUACACCAAUACAAUUACAAUAUUGUCAGCUCAUACCAAAAUACUAAGAUAGUCAUUUACUGAUAUUUUGAAUUUGUUGUACCGCCACUUCAUACACCAAUACAAACGUGUGUACAAUAUUGUCAACUCGUACAACAAAACUAAAAUUGUCAUUUACUAAUAUAUUCUCCUAAAUAUGCCACCUUAACUGGUGUCCAUAUCUUGACAAAAACUGCGGUGUCUCUCUCUAGGCCUAGCAAUAAUGAGAGAUGACUGCAGUUCAUACUUCUUUUCAACAUUCUCGACAGCAAUGAGACUGUGAAGAACUGCCGAUCAAAAUCCUUUAGUCCUAAUGACACCUCGCUAAGUCUAUUUCAACCACCUAUACUUCUUUCCAUGUUCCCUGUCUUAAGUAUGUUACGUCUGUCCUAGAUAAUCAAUAGCAUAGAUGUAAGUCAACAUCACAUUACUCUUCUUCUCUAGAGGCAUCUGCUUCAGAGAGCAAGCCCGAGCACAAUGGGCAGGGAGGGUCACGCAUAUCUUCAAUACUUGUUUUCUGCUCCAAACAUUCUGAAUGAUAAACAUGACCGCAAACUAGAAUGGCCACAACAGAGAAUUCACCAGUAGUUAAUGCAUUUCCUAGAAAAUAAUUUUUCCUUCUCACUAGUUUCUGACAGAUUCCACAUACCAUCUUCACUGCAUCAGAUGAAACUGCAUUCAUUACCAAGGAACUGAAUCUAACCCUGUCUGGCCUGCUAAAUUCUAUUUCCUUGUUUUCUGAAAAAGUGGAAACAAAUUAAAGUCAAUGCAAGUAAAUGUAAAUAGCUGAUGUGUUGAAUCUUAAAGAUGCAUUGAAAAACUCUUUCAUCUUGUGUGCAGAAGAAUUUUAGCCCUGAACUUGUAGAAAAUGAUACUACCUCUGAUAUUUUCGGAAAUAAUAUAGAAAUUAUUAGGUACCCAUUUGUAUACAAGCGUGAAUGAAGCAGCUAGAUGCUAGAUUAUUUCCAUGGGGAAGGGAAAAACAUUGUCUUCAACACCAUGCAACUACGAAUAUCUCACCUGUAUGGCACCCAGGCUUGGAGCCUGGUUGGCUGAUAAGCUUGAAGGUAAGCCUCUCAUUACGUGAAAGGGCAGUCUUCCCAUGAGAAGUUGAUGCAUCAGCAUGGCUCCCCAAGUUUCUCCGGGAGUACUGAUGACCAUAGUAGUGUCGUGAUCGUUUCAAGACUAUUGAACGGCCAAGGUUGUGAUUCUGAUGUGCAUGAGAAUGUUGUGCAUUCAAUACCUUUACAGUGUUAUCUGAAGUAUCCACCAUGGGUAUGAGAGGCCUUGAUUCACUAGACUCUAGCAAAUAAGAUUUCUGCAAAAGGAAAAUUAAAAACAAUUAUUUUUUUCUUUUUUCUUUUUUCUUUUUUUGUUCAUCGUGAAGACAUUUAAAUUCUAUUUGGUCACAAUGUGAAUAAAAAGAAAUAUGAAAAAAUGUCUCAUCCUGCACCAAGUAUUCUGAUCCAGACAUAAGUUUUCAAGUUUUCGGUUUAACCCCUCAUCAUCAUCCAUGUAGGAAAGAUAAAGUGAGAGCAAAGCAGCACACACAAGAAGAAAUUACAGUAUCUCAUAAUUAAGGAAAAAACAUGACUAACCUCUCUAGACAACAAUUCUGUUCCAGAAGAGCAUGGCAAGUCAUCUGCAACAUAAGAUACAACGAUCAUUUUCAGCCCAAUCAUUUCCUCUUAGAGUAAGAAUGAGCUAAAACAGAACUAUUUCUAACCAUUUACUUGACACAAAAGAUCCCAAUCCUUUUUCUCUAACCAGGACUCAUGCACUUUCAAUGUCACUACUUUUUUAUUUACCACAUUGUAGGAACCACUGUUAAGCAGACAUGACUAUAAAGUUGAUGCGAAGGAAGAAAGUGCAACUAAUGAAUCACCACAGAGCAGGGCAAUAAACAUGACAGAAAAGGUUCAACAGCUAUGAAAGCAGGUCAGCAGCCACAAAUGUGAAGGAUGUAGAAUAGGCAAAUGUGGAAAUCCGUUAACUCAAGGAUUCCAAAGAUCAGCAAUCAAGAAUCUCUGGGAGUAAAUACAAUGACAUUUACAUUGAUGGAUAAGAGGAUAGAUUCGAAGAUUAAGAAAAAAAACCCAUAUCGUUGCAUCGACUUCUUCUCAGUAUUAAAUAGCUACAAAGGCAUGUGGCGAAAUAAUGAUCGUGAGUUAAAUUCCUGGGAUGACAAAUAAAGAAUGCAGGAUGUAAAUGAGUGGACAAUGUUGAUAAAGGCAAUCCAUCAAAUAAAUUUAUCAAUCAAGAAAUUAAAAUAAUCCAAAGUUCAAUUGCCAAUAAAGAUGUAUUGCAAGUCGUUCCAUUAGCUAGAAAAAAUAUUUCAUUGAGGCAAAUUUGAAAAUCCUAAAACAAUAAUAAUAAAAAAAAAAAAAAAAAACAUGCUGGAAUGUAAAAGGUAACAAUCACUGGGAAUGGCAUCCAUGAUCAUCAAUGUGAACACAUGAUAAUGAUCCCUGCAGGGCUCAGAAAGCCAUGCACAGCAAAUUAUUAUAAGCCAAAUUAAGAACUUGACACAGUUUUCUUUCCUUUAUCUUGCGCUUGGCCAAUUAAUUUUCACAAACCCACACUCGAAAUCCAACUCCACAGACUUAAUCCCAGAUAAAUCAAUCACUUUUCUCCUCGGAAUUCAUGUUGCAGCUGCGCACAUUCUCUGCUAGGAUCCCAAAGACCCCAUUUUCCAUCAGAUCAAAUAAUAAUCAAAUUACUUUAUCAGACAAAAGGUAGCCCUGAUCAUUCAAUCCAGCCUUGAUCAAGGAGCAAAAAGUAACCCCAACGCAUUUCACAGUGAGAAAAUCAGAAAGAUCAGGAACUAGUAGCAACUAGAGCAACAAACAAUUUAAAGAAAACGGAAGACAAUUAAACCCUAACAAUCAAUUUUACUGUUAAGAAUUCAAAAAAGAAAGAGGAAAAGACUCCUUUUUUAAGAAAUAAAGAAAAUCAAGUCUUCAAUCUUUAUAGCUUCAUCCGUAAUAGAUUAUCAUAAAACACAAAAUCCCACCAUAAUCGCUUCUCUUCACUAAAGUAAAAUCCCAUUUCCAUUCAAUCAUCAAGAUUCAAAACUCCCUUCAUCUCCCACCAUUUUCUCAACAACCCCAAAAUCAUUUAAAGAAGCAAGAGAACUGAUACAUUACCCGAAGAAGAAGUGCACUUGGUCUUGUUAUGAUCACCACUACUUCUCUUUCUCUUCCCCAUAACAAAAAAAAAAAAAAACUUUGAAGUCCCUUUGGUGGUUGCUGAUGGUUUACUGUUAAAAGGGUCUGAAUUUGCGGUGAUAAGAACUUUUAUGUGUUCCGAAGUGAACCUACGGUCAUCAAAACACAUAGGAAGGGAAAGAGAAGUGCUUUUAAUUAAAAAGUUUCGAGAUAGUUUAUGUCUGAAAAAAAACAAAAAGAAAGAAAAAACGUGCGAAACGGUGGGUGAGGGAAUUUGGAGUGGCUGUUUUUCUUGUUAAAAAAAAAAAAGAAUUAACGUAUCGAUAAUAAGAAUGAGUUUAAAAAAAAUAGAAAAUAUAUUUUUUAAUAUUUUUUAAAAAAAAAACUUUAAAAAAUAAAAUUAACGCAAUCUUAAACGCUACUUCUUCUUCAACUUCCCUCCAUGUCUUUGUUAUUUCUCCAUUUAUUCUUGCCCCUACACGUGCAAACCGCCUCAAAUCAUCCAUUUCUUUUGAUACAAGCGGCUUCUCUCUCCUUCUCCCAAUGGCUAGUAGUUAGAUAUUUUCUCGUCUACUCACAGCCAUUUUUAACUCCAAGAUUGGUUUUGGUAAUUGAAGAGAUUUGUUCUUUUUUUAAUUUUUAUUUUAAUAUUAAAGUUGGUAUUUAAAAGAAAUUAUUAAACUUGCAUCCCAACAUAUAAGGGUGUUAAUAAAAUUAAAAAAAAAAAACUUGAUAAUCAUUUUUUUAGAAAAUCAUGAAGCUGUUAUGAAGGUUUACAAAAUAGAUGCUUAAUUUAAUUAAUUUUUUUAUUAUCUAUUUUUUUUAUAAAAUUUAAUUUUACAUAAUACAGAAGAUUGAUAUCAUCAUCAGAAGGAGUGCCUUUCAAUUCCAAUGUUAGAAAUAAUAAAAGUUUCACAAUGUGAUAGUAAUUGUUUUUUAAGAUAUUUUUUAUUUUAAAAUAUAUUAAAAUAAUAUUUUUAUUAUUUUUAAAAGAUUAUUUUUAACAUUAACACAUUAAAAUAAUCUAAAUAUAUAUAUAUAUAAUUAAUUUAAAUUAAAAAAUAUAUAUAUUAAUUUUUAAAAUACAGCAUACUUUAGUAAUGUUCACCUUCCUCUAGAUUUUACAAUUUAAUAAAGGGAGGCUGUCUUUUAGAUAUCUAGGUCAUGUAUGUUCGCUGGAAAAUAAUUUUUUUUUUAAUUAUUUUUUAAUAUUUGAUAGUGUAAUAAAAUAUAAAUUAGAAAAUAUUUUUUAAUAUUUGGUUAUGUCAUGAAAAAUGAGCUGGAAAAUAAAUUAUUAAUAUUUUAUUUUUUUCAAGUUUAUUAAAAUAAUAAGAAACAAAUCUUACAAAUCAAAACCUUCAAUGAAAAUAAAAUUGAAAAAAAUAUAUAAUUUCAUAAAUUAUCUCAAAAAAAUAAAUAAUAAUCAAAAUAAUAGAGAUCAAAUCUAAAAAAUAAUAAAAUAAUAAAAGAUGAAGAAAUUAAAAUAAUAAUAAUUAACAUUUCAUAAAUUAUUUCAAAUAAAAUAAGUAACAAUCAAAAGAAUAAAAAUCAAAUUUGAUAGAUAAAAAAUUUAAUUAAAAAAUGAUAAGGGAAAAGCAAAUAACAAUUAUAAAAAUAAAAACCAAAAUUAAUAUAAAAAUUAAAUUCUAAGGGAUGAAAUUGAAAAGAAAAUAUUCAAAAAAAAAAAAAAAAAUAUAUAUAUAUAUAUAUAACAUUCAAAAUUUUGACGAUCAAAUUUGAUAUAAUCAACAAAUAAUAUGACAUUUCUAAAAAAAAUUCACAAUUUCCGAAAAGUGUUUUCCGCCCAAAAUAAAAGGAAAACACUUUCCUGGAAACCAAGCAAAAUUUUUCUUUGACUAGAAAGUGUUUUUCGUUGACCGGAAAGUAUUUUUCAUUGACCAACUUUCCUAACGACAAACAAACACAUAAAAGUUUGAAAAGUGAUUUUUCGGAAACUAGUUUCCGGGAAACAAACGCGGCCUUGUUUUGUGUUUAAAAAAUAUAUUUAAUUUUUUUAAUAUUUAUUGGAUUGAUAUCAAAAAUAUUUUUUAAAAAAUAUUUUAAUACAUUUCAAAGCAAAAAAUAUUUUAAAAAGUAAUUGUUUAUAUAAUUUUAAACACUACCUUAGACCUUGUUUGUUUUUGUGGUAUAAAUGUUGUUUUCAAAAAAAUUAAAAGUUUUUUUGCUUAAAAUUAAUUUCUUUAGAGAUUUUGGAUAGUUUUGAUGUAUUGAUAUUAAAAAUAAAUUUUAAAAAUAAAAAAUAUUAUCUUAAUGUAUUUUCAAGCGAAAAACACUUUGAAAACAUAAUCGCUACUGCAUUGUAAAACACGUUUUUAGACAGAGUUUGUGAUUAUGAUAAAAAUUGUUUUUUAAAGUGAUUUUCACUUGAAAAUGCAUUAAAAUAAUAUUUUUAUUUUUAAAUUUAUUUCUUAUAUCAACACAUCAAAACAAUUCAAAAACACUAAAAUAUUAUUAAUUUAAAACAAGUAAAAAUCAAAACAAUUUAAAAGUGUGGCUGAACCACAAAAACAAAUAUUACCUGUUUAUUUCUCCUCUUUUUUUUACUAUUCAUUCCAAUAAUACAUGUAAAAUAAUAGAUUGAUCAAGUUCAAACAACAUAACCUUUAUAAAGAUUACAAUCAUCAAUGGAAAAAAAUAUAAAAAAAUAUCUCUUUAUUUUUAUUAUUUUGUUUUGUUUUGAAAAUGAUAUUUUAAUUAUACAUGAGUGAUUACAAUGCAAGAGUUUAAUUUUAGAAAAUAAAUAUUUUUCUUAGUUAAUUUUAUUUUUUAAUAUUUUUAUUUUAUUAUCCUCUUUUUUUCUUGUUUUUUAAAGAAAUGGUUUUCUUGAUUUAUUUUUCUUAUUCCGUAUUAUUAAGAUUUUUAAGUUUUUUUCUAUAUAAAGGGUUGCAAUAGUCUAUUAGCAAGUGAGAUGUUAAUGAAUAAAAAGUUGAUAUUUUAGGUGUCUCUAUAUGAUUAUGGUAUUUUUGUCUUAGAGGGUUUUAACUUAUAAUAAAUUAUGUAGUCUUUCGCUUCCUGACUACUUCUUUAGUAUCAGAAACCAAUGAUUCCUAGUGAUUUUUGUUAUAUGUUAUUGAAUCACUAGUUAAACGUCUUAGAGAAUGCGUAUCAGAGUUCAACAAUUCUUGGUGGUUAAUUGUUGUGUGAUGUUGAAUGUUCAUGGUUGAAAAAGAUUCUAGAACGUGAUGUACUCGUGUGAAGAUGUUCCUUCUUAGAAAAAAAAAACAUCAAUUAGCGUGUUGUUUUCAUUUACAUGGUUGAUGUUAUUAGAAAUUCUUAUGGUAGCACCCAUGAUGGGGCGGUGCACAUAAAAGUGUCAUGUCAAGGACCUAUAAUAGAAUGAUUCACAUAAAGGUAUUAUGUUCAUAACCUAUAAUGGGACAGUCCAUAUAAAAGUAUUAGGAACCCAAUUGGGGCAGCCCACACAUGGAAUGAUGUUUGUGGUAGAGGAUAGUUUUUUACUGUGGUCUGAACUCGAUGAAGAGUUAAUUCCACCCCGCAUAGACUUAUGCAUGAGAUUUUUGAAAAAAAUAGAUAUUUUGCUUAAUUAAUUUUCUAUUUUCACUUUUAUAUCAUUUAUUAUUAUAUUUUUCUGGUUUUUUAUUUUUAUUUGAAGGGAAUAGUUUUUCUAUUUAUUUUUGUAUUCAUUAUUAUUAGGUUUUCUAGUUUUUUCUAUAUAAAGGAUUGCAAUAGUAUUUUGGCAAGUAAGACAUGGGUGAAUAAAAAUUUAAUAUUUUGGAUAUCUGCUAUAAUUAUGGUAUUCUUGUUUUUUAUGACUUUUGACCUAUAAGAAUCCCUAUUUUUGUUCACUUUCCAUAUGCCUUAGAUUACCACUAGAUGUGGGCCCGCAUAACACCAUGAGUUCACCUUUUUUUUCUGUAAAAAUUGAUGUAUAGGUAUCAUAAUUGUGUUUUAAUUAAAGAAAAAAAUCAAUGAUUUGGGUUAUAGAUCCUACCGGAUCUAAUAAAUUGAUUUUAUUUUAAUUAUAUGAAAAAAAAAGCAUUGACAAUAAAAAAAAUGAUCACAACAACUUGGAAAAACACUGAAAUGAUGAAAUUGGAUAAAAACAAUAUCCUAGGUCAACUCAAUGUAGCAUGACAAACAUAUGACCUAAGUAAUAAAAGCCGAGUCAACCCGGGUUAACCCGUUAAAUUUACGAUUAAAGUCAUGAAAUCAAGAUAAUCAAAUAUAGAAAAACAGAAGGAAACCACGAAGACAAUAUUUUUUUUAAAAAAUGAUUGAUAAUGUCAAAUUAGAUGUUCAUCGACAACACACGUCGCCCAUUAACUAAGAAAAUGCUAAGAUAAAUUAGACAAUAUCUUGAAAUUUAUUGUUUGGCUAUCAAGCGAUGCCAUAUGAGCCUCACGAUGACCAAGAAUCAUAUUAUUUUUUUUAAUAUUUAUUAUAAUAUUAAAGACGAACCUUCCCCCUUGACACACAUAAUAUUGACAAAAGAAUUAAGAUGAAAAAAUGAAAUUAACCUUGGACCAAAGGAAAGAGUUUGUUGACUUUAAGAAUAAAUAAGUAAUUUAAAUAUGCUUGACAAAGUGAAAACCCGAAACUGUCACUACAAGUCAUGUCCAAGGUUUUUUGAGCCCGGAUGUAUUUUUAUUUUUAUUUUUAGUGUUCAUUAAAAAAUGGUCAUGUCCCCUCCAGCCAGCCUAAUUAUAAUUCAGUCUCUUUAAAAUUAAAAUUGAUAAUUGUGAUUAUUUUUUACUUAAAAAUAUAUUAAAAUAAUUUUUUUAUUUUUAAAAAAUUAAUUUUAAAAUCAGCUUAUCAAAAUAAUUUAAAAAUAUAUAUAAAAAAUUAAUUUGAAUUAAAAAAUAAGAAAAUAAAAAAGGUAAAAUUGCAAAUCCUCUGCUACUAUAAUCUACAGUGGAUUUGAGUCUAUAGCUACAGUGAGGACAUUAUUCCUACUCUUUUUAUUUUAGUUUAUUUUGCUAUUGUUAUGUGAAACAGCACACCGAUAAAACAAUACAACCUUUCUAAGAUGUAUAAUGGUUCGUGAAAAAAAAUAAAAAGUUUUUUUAUUUUAAUUUUUGUUUUGACAUGCUAUUUUAAUUAAACAUCUCAAGCAUUUCUUUAAUUAUGAUGAAACAACACAAUUUUUAACUAAAUAUGAUUGAUUACCACGUGAAAUAAUACAACUGAACAAAACAAACUUUCUAGGAGCAUAAUGAUUCAGGAAAAAUAAAAUGUAAAAGAUAUCUUCUUUAUUUUUUGUUUUGGCAUGACAUUUUAAUUAAACAUAAUUGUUACUCCGUAGCGAAACAACACAUUGAUCAAGAUGAAACAACACGACUAUUUCAAUGGGCAAUGGUGGUUUUUAAAAAUAAAAAUAAAUUAAAUUUGCUUUUACUAUGUGAAAAAAACACAUAGAAAAAGUGUUCAUUAUAUUUUGAAAGAAAAUAGAUAUAGGGUGUGUUUGUUUUUUAAAAAAUAAUUUUUGAAAAUAUUCAAAACAAAAUAGAUAUAGCAAUCAAAAGCGAUGAAAAUGUUCAUUAUAUUUUGAAAGAAAAUGUUAGGGUGUGUUUGUUUUUUAAAAAAUAGUUUUUGAAAAAUCAUUUUUAAAAUUUUAUUGAAUUUGUUUACUAUUAAAAAAGUUGAUCAACGAAAAACACUUUUUGAUAAAUGAAAAAUUUAAUUUGACUUCUAGAAAAGUGUUUUCCUUUUAUUUUGAGAGGAAAACACUUUCUAAAAGCAGUAAAAAAUUUAGAAAUGUCAUAUUAUUUGCUGAUUAUAUCAAAUUUGAUCCUCAAACUUUUGAUUGCUAUAUCUAUUUUGUUUUGAAUAUUUGUUUUUCAAUUUUAUCCCUUAUAAUUUAAUUUUUAUAUUAACUUUGGUCCUCAUUUUUAUAUUUGUUAUUUGCUUUUUUCUUUUUAUUUUUUAAUUGAAAUUUUUUAUCUAUCAAAUUUGGUCCUCAUUCUUUUUAUUGUUACUUAUUUUAUUUGAAAUAAUUUAUGAAAUGUUAAUUAUUAUUAUUUUAAUUUCUUCAUCUUUCAACUUUUUAUUUUUUAGAUUUGAUCUCUAUUAUUUGAUUAUUAUUUAUUUUAUUUGAGAUAAUUUAUAAAAUUAUAUAUUUUUUUAAUUUCAUUCUCAUUCAACUUUUUAUUUUGUAAGAUUUAUUUCUCAUUAUUUUAAUAAACUUGAAAAAACUAAAACAUCAUUAAGUUAUUUUCCAGUUUAUUUCUCAUGACAUAACCAAACACUAGAAAGUAUUUUUCAAUUUAUUUUUUAUUAAACUACUAAAUAUCAGAAAAUAAUUUACUUUUCAUGAAUUUAUUUUUUUAAAAUUUAUUUUAAAAAAUAAAAUAUUUUCUAGUAAAUAAUUGGUGCUUAAUUGAAUCUCUAAUUAGAUUUACUGUUAAUUCCGGAAAAGUUUUGGUCGAGGCCAAGGGAAUUUAUUGCAUAGAGCACUUACCGUUGAAAGAUUCUCUUUCAGAUAAAUAUCUCAAAGUGCAAUGAAUGGGAAACAUGGCAUGCUGUACCAUGAUAAGGUGCGUGUACGAUUCAAGUUAAUAUUCAAUGUAAGAAAAGAAGAUAACAGCAUUAUAUAUAACUGAGUAAAAAUAUGUUAAUUAAUAUAUCAUAAAAUAUAAUCGUUACUUUUAAAAGCGGUAAUAGUGAUUAUGCUGGUUCUAGUCAUCAUUGAGAGAUUGUUGAAUUUUUUUUUUUAAAAGGGAGAAGAUGAGAGGUAGAGACUUUUUUAAUGAAAUCACCAUAAAUUUAUAGAUAUAACAUCUUAAAUUAAACAAAUGUAUAUAUAUAAAAAUUUGAUUUUAUUAAAUUAUAUGAUCAGAUAUAAUCUUUAUUUAAAAUAUUAUUACAAAACAAUAAAUAAUCAUUUGGUUUCCCUCUUAGAUUUGAUAUGUGAUGACUUGAUUUAUUUGUAAAAUCAAGUCAAAAUCCAUGCUUUGCAAGAACAUGAUUUGGAUGUUUAUUGUAAAGCGAGAUUUGAUGAUAUGCAGAGUACAUUUAAUUUUUUUGAAAGUAUUGUUAAAGAACUAUUAUAAUACGGUGUCUAAACAUGAUUCAAUAGAAUUUAGUUUUUUAUAGACUUAAAGUGUAGAUAAAAAAGGUUUUAAAUCUUUUGAAAGAUCUUCUUUACUUAAAGAGUCUGUCUUGAAAAAAUUUUGUCUCCAAUAAUUUUUUUUUUCUAUCUAGUAUGAGACCUUUUAUUUAUAGAGAUUUGCAAGGGUAUCCGGGGUUUUUUUUCAAUGCCACAUAAUAUUAUUUUAUUGGUUUAUAUUUAUUUUAUAAAAUCUUAUAUUUAUGAUAAAAUAUUUUAAAUAUCUCAUCUCAUGUAUCAACCUUUCAUUAAUCAAGUAUAUAGAAAUACACAUUCCACAAAUAUUUCUCUUUCCACGACCUCAUACAAAAUAAACCUUUAAUUAAUACCAUUAAUUAAUUUGUUUUUUUGGUUAAUUCCAAAAAAAUAUUUGGAGGUUUUAAAAAUAAAAUUUACUUAAUAGAUAAAAUUUUUCAAUUAAAAAAAUAACAAGAAAAAAUCAUAUGACAAUAAAAAAGAGGAUUAAAGUUAAUAUAAAAAUCAAAUUAAAUCAAAUUCUAAGAGAAAAAAUUGAAAACAAAUAUUCAAAAAAAAUAUAUAACAAUCAAACUAUUAAGUAAUAAAUCUGAUAUAAUCAACAAAUAACAAAGUAUUUAUGAAUUUUCCACAACUUUUAGAAAGCAUUUUUCUUGUAAAAUAAAAGAAAAAUACUUUUUUUAAAAUCAAAUUAAAUAUUUAUUUACUAGAAAGUGUUUUUGUUAAUUAAUUUUUUUAAUGAUAAAAAAUUUUAAAAAUGAUUUUUUAAAAACCAACUUUACAAGAGACAAACAAAUCCUACCCUACAUGACAUAUCAUAACUCUUGGUUUAUUCUAGCAAAAUUAUAGGAAUAUCGGAAGGAAAGAAAGAUAUUGACAAAAAAUGUCAUAAGAAUUGGAUCAAGAGAAGGCUCAACAUUGCACUUGAGGUCUUGGCCCAGCGGUGGAAGGGGCUUGUUCCCUUUCUCUGCAUCCUGGAUUCAAACCUCACCGUGCAUGUUUGUUACUCUCGCGGUGCCUUACAUGCUCAUUGAGUUUGCAGGAUGUUCAGUGAGCCGUGGGAUUAGUCGUGAUGCGUGCAAGCUGGUCCGAACACCCACGUAAAUAAAACAAAAAAAAAAGAGAAGGCCCAACACAUGAACCCAGUGAUAAGAAAAGAAUUGGUCGGGGAGAAGUCCCCAUCCAGAGCUUCUAGACAAACCAAUUUUUCAUUGCUAAAGUCACUUUUCACCUCAAAUUAUUGGUUACAAGACACGAUCACCUCCAAAGUGUCGUUGCAUGUAUAUAGUUAAUUAUUUUUUUAAAUGAUUUUUGUAUUUAAAAAUAUAUUUAAAUAAAUUUUUUAUUUUUAAAAAAUUAUUAUUGAUAUCAAUACAUUAAAAUAAUUUUAAAAUAUAAACAAAUUAUUUAUUUUUAAAAAUUUAAAGAAACAGUGUUGCACCGACUAGCGGAACACUGUAAAAUGUUAGAAAGCAACUGAUGUUCUUGUAGUAUUUUGUGCAGCACGAAAGUAAAUGCCCAAUAACUCCCUGUCUCUGUCUGUCCUGGUUUUAAGACAGCACAAGGGCAUGAUGACCUCCUUGCCCUUUUUUAUUUAUUGAGAGGAAUUAUUUUCUCCUGUCCUCUCAUGGAAAAGAAAAUAUUCAUGUGUCUCUGUAGAAUUAAUCAAGAUGUAUAAUAAACUAGAUUAAUAAUAAUAAUAAUAAAAAGCCGGUGAUGAUAAACCACACAAAACACAUGGAAGAAGCAUUGUUGAGUAGAUUCAUGAACAAGGACUGUAGAGACAUGAAUAAAUUUGCAUAUCAUUAUUAUAUUGGAAUCGUUCAUUUUUAUUUCUUUUUUAAUGAUUAUGAUAUCUUUAGUUGUUUUUAUGCACUAUUUUUUUUCCUGAUCGUCAUUAACAGGUCAUCCAGAUUCAGAUUGUAGAUUUAUGAAAGUUGUUUUCUUAAAUCUCAUAUAAAAUUCGAGUCGUAUAUAAUUAAUAAUAUGAAAGACAAACAACAUUUACCAACCAGACUAAACUCCGAUUUUAUAUAUAUGCUUGCGUGCAUUUAAAGCUGGCCAUGCCUUUCUGAAAUGUCAAUAAACAAGCUGGCUUUGCCCAGUCAUGUGCCCUAGCCCAUAAACUACCAACCUGGUCCAUAAAAAUCCAACUCAGCUUCUGUCACCUCCACUCAUUUUGCGUGUAGAUCAGGCGCAGGCGCUGGCGCUGGCGCUGGGAAUAAGUAAAAAAAUAAAAAAUCUGAAUUGAAAAAAUUAAAUUGUAAAUAAAAAGUAAUUAAACUGAUUAAAAUUUUAAAAAAAUCAACCGGUUCGGUUUGAUUUUUUAAGCCUGAAACUGAAAAAUCGAACCGAAUCCAAACCUGAAAAAAACCGAGCCAAACCGGUUUGAACUAUUUUUUGUCAUAAAAAACCGAAACAGGUCGGUUUAAACCGGUUUCGGUUUUUUUAAAAAAAAAUUGGUUUGGUUACUUUUUUUAUUAUAAAAUCGAACCGAACUGAAAAUGAUCACUCCUAGUUGGCGCCAUGGGUAUAUAUUUUUUAAAUUGUAAAUAAUAUUAACAUUUAAAAAUAAAUGAUUUUGAUCAUUGAAAAUAAAAAAUUUGAUAACAAUAACAAAUAAAGUUUUAAAAAAUAAAAAUAAUUCAAUAUAAUAGAUGAAUUUUUGUUAAUAUUAUAAAAAUAUAUCUUUAUAAUAUUUCUAAAACGUAUUAAUAAUCUUAUAUGUUAAUAAAUUUAAAAUUAAAUUAAAAUGAUAUAAUUACAUGGAAAGAAAAAUGAAGAAAAUAUAAAUUUUAAUUUUUAAAAAAUAAAAUGAUGAAUAACGAAAAAAAAACAAGAAACAAAAUAAAAUAUUGACAUGAGUUUGUAUAAGCUAUGACAGAUGAAUUCCGAAAAAAGCUUAAAAAAUAAAAAAAAUUCUUGACCCAAGAAAAACGGUUUUUUUUCCUUCCUUCGAGGGUGCUUAAAUAUUGACAUUGUGGCUAAACAUUUUAAAAAUAUCGAUUAAACCCCUCCUUUCAUAUCAUGAUUAACGAGUCCAUAGAAAAUGCUUGCCUACCUCUAAACCCAAGCUUUGUGAGUUUGCAAGUUAAAGGUAAAAUGGUAGUUUUAGGCAUUGUUUUUUUUAAAAAAAAUAAAUUUUGAAAAAAUUUGAAAAAUUUUAAUUUUUAAUUAAUAUAUUUUUAGUAUUUUUAUAUCAUUUUGAUGCGUUGAUAUUAAAAAUAAAAUAAAUAAAAUAUUUUAACAAAUUUAUAAAUAAAAAGUAUUUCGUAACCACAUUUUCAAAUAUAUUUUUAUUAUGAAAUUUCAUAUUGAAAUGAAACUAUGUGCACGGUAAAUAUUUAAACUCUUUUAAUUUAUUUAUUUUAUAAUUAGCAUCAGGGUGAGCAAGUAGUAAUUCGGUUUUUUUUUUAUAGAAAAACCAAGCAAUCAAUGUGAAUUUAUAAAAAAACUAAAUUGUGUGAACCAAAUAUUUUGGUUUGGUUGCUUGGUUUUUAAUUUUUUUAGAUUUUUUUUUUUUGUAAAUUUCAUUUUUUUUUUAUUUCUUGAAAAUAAUAAUUAAAAAAAAAUUGAUUGUUAGGUUUUCAAACCAAACCGAAUCUGAUAAAUAAAAAAACAAACCGAACUGAAUGAACUGAAUUAUAAAUGUUUGGUAUUUUUACCUGGUUCGGUUUUUCUCACCCCAAAUUAGAGCACCAUCAAAAUGUAUAGAAGGUGAGAUCUAGCAAAUGGGCUUAGGGUCCCACGUGACUACCAUACCUUACCUCACACAACAAAAGUCCCAGUACUUUCUGUUUCUCUAUGUUGUUUGUCGACGUGGCAAAGGACAUGCGAUGUUUUGCUAAUUGUAAUUGGUUUGAAGUGUAAAAUAAUACACGAUGCCCCAACUGUACAUUCUUGUCUCUGUGCUCUUCAGGAGUAUCAGGACAGAACUCGGAUUUGCAAUAAAUCAAAACAUGUAUGGCCCAUACAAGGAAGGAAAGAGAAAUAGGUGUCCGAGUUUGGUAUAAGUAGUUUAUUUUUUCUGUAAUUUUAAAUUUAAAUAUGUUAUUGUUAAUAUAAUAAUCAGUAAAAAUUUAUAUAUUUGUUAAUUUUAAAAUCUGUAAAAUUAGUUGAGGUACAUAUAAAUUAGACUAGACACCUAAAUUAAUAAUAAUUAAAAAAAAUUAAAUCCAAGAGCAGCACAUAUUUCACUAAAAAUUUAUAUAUUUGUGAAUUUUAGAACCCGUGGAGUUAGUUCAGGUACGUAUAAAUUAGACCAGACAUCUAAAUUAAUAAUAAUUAAAAAAAUUGAAUCCAAGAGCAGCACAUAUUUCACUAAAAACUUAUAUAUUUAUUAAUUUUAGAAUCCAUAAAAUUAAUUGAGAUAUGUAUAAAUUAGACCAAACACCUAAAUUAAUAAUAAUUAAAAAAAAUUGAAUCCAAGAGCAGCACAUAUUUUAUUCAGCAACAGAACAAAAAUCAAAACAAAAAAUUGACCAUUUAUCCAUAACCAAGCCAUGCACACCAUUUAAUUUCAUUCCCAUCAACCAUUUCCUAGCUGUUAGUGGGUAUUUUUUUAUUGUUUUAAUAUUUUAAUAUUAAUAUUAAAAUUUUUUAAAAUAAAAAAUAUUAUUUCAAUAUAUAAUUAAACUGCAUAACCACUGCCAUAAAAUAAUUAAAGGUUAAGAGAUUGUUUGGGAACGCGGUGCAAACCGCGUUCCCAAAAAAAUUAUUUUUUGUUUUGUUAAAAUUUAAUAUAGUUUAUAUUUUUUGGAUCGUUUUGAUAUGUUAAUAUUAAAAAUAAUUUUUAAAAAAUAAAAAAAUAUCAUUAAUAUACAUUUCGAUAUAAAAAGUUAUUUAAAAAACAACCGUUACAGCCAAAGAUCUUGACGGUGCUCGAGGAGACCCGGUCUUGCUCUGUAAAUCUGGACUGAACCUCAACUCAAAAUAAUAAUAAAUUUUUUUUUUUAGGAAAAAUAGGAAAGACAAGUGUGUAUGAUCGAGCCUGGUAUCCGAUGUUUAAAGGCAAAGGGUAAAUGAUGAUGCUUCCUUGGAGCCAUCACCAUUUUUAUAGGAUUCUAAUUCUAAAGAGAAUAAUAAAGAAUUUAUCCGUUAUGCUCUCCGAUUACUUUAUUCUGAUGCUUCCAGGUGGCAUGUCUUGAUCAGGCAACAAAUAACGUGGAUCGGAUUAUAAAACAAGGAACUUGUAAUAAAAUAAUCAUUAUUGAUUUAACAAAGAAGGUGGUCCAAUAUUGAAGGAGAUAUGGUAUCGUUAUGAUAUAGUAUAGAUUCCAUCCGUGGGUCCACGUGUCUUGCUUGUUGGCUGCUGGGCUCUUGUCAGAUUCUGGGUAAAUGGUCCUCCUCUCUCGACGGGCCAAUCUAGGCACACCCAUGAUUAGGUGCCUCACGCGGUCAGUUGACAAUGACAAGGAAACCCUCUCAAUUGCUUGUGGUUCGAGGGUGUUUUCGUCUCGCCGUAAAUUUCUCUCUUCGUUUUAUAAUUCUUGAUCCAUACUUAAAAAUUAAUCAUCGUUUAAUCACCUGUAUUAUCAUCAAUAUUUCAACAAAUAUCAUUAAUUUGCUGCCGUCACAUCAUAAUUACUCAUCCUAAUUACCAUUAAAAUCAUAAGUUAUGUUAUCAAUUUUCACCAUCUCCUAAUACCAUCAUCAGCAUGACAGCAAGUAUCAUUAACUAGCUGCCGUCACGUCAUAAUUACUCUUCCUAAUUACCAUUAAAAUCAUAAGUUAUGUUAUCGAUUUUUACUGCUAUUACAAUGACAUAAAAAAAUAUUCUUUUACAAAAAACAUGUAUUUCAUAAUAAUUCAAAUAGUAAUUAAUUUUUCAAGGAAAAUGUUGUGUGAAAAAGACUCGUGUUUAAAAAAACAUUGUGUUCUUUCAUUUUUACAAUUUUUAGGACUUUCACAUGCUAUACCAAAGGUUAGAGUUCAAAAUACCUCCAGUAACAAGAAUAAUAAAGUUAGUGACGGGGCAAAAACUAAGAAUCUAUUUUCUCCGUAACCUAUACCAGCCUUUAAAUGAACAUUUAUAUACAAAGUGUCAAAAAAGAAGAAGACAUAAAGUGAGAAAUAAAAAGGAGAGUUUUUGGACUUUAGUAUAGUAAAAAAAUAAUAAUUAAACAACAGGAUACAAAAACUAUCUAGAGAAUUAACAUAGUUUGUGAUAUUUUUUUAGUAUUAUUGGAUUUGUUUUGUCGAAAUUUUUUUAAUAAUAUAUAUAGUGUCAUAAUUGGAAUUUCGAUAUGCCCCUAAAUUUUUUAUUUCUUUCUUUGUUUUUUCUUUCUUCUUUCUCUUGUAAUUUGUUAAGAGAGAUGAGAGAGAAAAAAGUUAAAAAAAAUAAAAAAACUUCGGAAAUAUAUCAAAAUUCCAAUGAUUUUCUUUGUUUUCUCUCUCUCUUCUCUUUUCCUUAUAAUUUGCAAAGAGAGAUGAGAGAGAAGAAAGUUAAAAAAAUAGAAAAACUUUGAAAAUAUAUCAAAACUCCAAUAAUAACACAAAUAAUAUCACUAAAAAGAUCUCGACGAUACGAAUAUAAUGAUACCAAAAAAAUAUCAUAAACAUGGAACAUCAUGAGUCACACAAGCCAGCUAAGAGUGUUCUUUUAUAAUAUCAUUAGAUAUUGAUUUUAUUAAGAUUUUUUUAAUAAAAUUUUUAAUAUUAUUAUUGGAGUUUCAAUGUAACUCCCAUGUCUCUUUAUUUUUUGCAUCCCAUUAUUUUACUUUAUAUUGUUUCUACCGUGGUAGAAAGAAAAAACAGUCGACAAAAAGUGGGAUAGAUUCUGGCAAAAGAUACGCGGCUCUUGUUAGAGUUAUCCGGAAUAAAUAUGCCACCUCGUGAUGACACACCAAAGCCUAGAAAAUAGAAACCAAACCAUGGAGCAGGACAAAAGGAGAAAAAGAAGAAGAAACUUUCCCAUUAAAGGCAAAGCAAAUUCUUAAAACAUUAAUUCUCUCGUCUCACUACAUCACCAGAAUUUCAUUCCCCUCUCUUCGGACCAUACAUUGAACGUAUUGUGGUGUUGAUGAUGAUAAGGUUUCUUCUGUUGUUUUCAAAAAAUCUGUCCGUGUUCUUUUCAAGAAAUUUCCCUGGUCUAGAGAAGCCCUCCGUAUGGAUAAACAUCUCUUCCAUUCUUCUGGCCUUUUCUUCCAUAAUAUUAUCUCUUUUCUUUGUAAUAUCUAGCCUUUUUUUUUUUUAAAGGGAAUCUCGACCUAGUCCAUGUAUUUUCAAGAAAGCUAGUAAAUUGGAACUUGUUUGUUUUUUAUUUAUUUUAAAAAAUAAUUUUUUGAUAUUUUCAUGUUAUUUUGAUGUGCUAAUAUUAAAAAUAAUUUUUAAAAAAUAAAAAUUAUAUUAUUUUAAUAUAAUUUUAAAUUAAAAUUUUUAAAAAAAUUAAUGAUACGAAAACGUUAUCUUAAUCUAUUGGUAUAUAAAAUUAUAAGUACUAUCUACUUAAUAAUUGAUGUACUAACUAACAAGGACAGUGUGCUGUACAGGACCACGAAAAUAUAGGACUUGAAGCACGAAACUUGUUUUUCUUUUUAUUAAAGGAGUUGAUUUAUUAAUCUUCAAUAAAGAUUUACUAACAAAAUAUGGACGAUCUAUUUAAGAUUCGACUAAAUAAAUUAUCUUGAAUGGAAGCCGCUAAUUUAUUUCUAUUUUUAGUUAGAUCUGAUAAAAAAGCUAAUAUUUAAAAUCCGAUUAAAAUGAAAUCUAUUUUUAGUAUAUAAAAGCUAAUAUUUAAAUACACAAGUGUACACGGUUGUUGCCUUCCCCAGAUAAUAUUAUGUUCGUGUGUUUAAUAUGGUAAUUAAACUAAUAAUCAUGCUGGCCUUCGAGAAGAGUAGGGCCAAGUCAGCAAACUCAAUAAUAUAUAUUAUUGUUGAUGGGAUGCUCAUCGAAUAACACACAAUCUUGUUCAAGUGUUCACACUUUAUAGAUUUUUUUUUCAUAUAAUAUGCUAAUUUUAUACUUCAAUUCUUAGUUUUUGAAUUUUGCCAUGGCAAGUGAUUUUUCAAACUAACAAAUCAAAUCCAAUCCCCCGUCUGCUUAUUUUUACGUUUCUUGUAAUUUUUUUUAAUAAUUAGUGAUGUGUUUUUUUAUGAGUGAUUUGUGUUUAAUAUUAUAAUAUAAGAUGGUUUUUAAUUAAAAAUAUAUUAAAAUAGUAUAUAUAUUUUUAUAUAAGCAUAUUAAAAUCAUUUAAGAACAUCUAAAAAUUAAUUGAUUGAAUAUUUUUUAAAUAAAAAAUAAUUUUAAAAACAUAUUAUAAUGAAAAACAAACAUUCACCCAUAUCAAUUCUCACGGUAAAAACUCGUUUCUCAAUUCUUAAAAGUUUCAAUAUACUCAAUACAUUUAAUAAGAGUUUAUAAUAUUAUUUUUUAAAUGAUAAUUAAAAAUAUUCUUAUUUUAAUUUUCACACCAGCUAAAUAACAUCCUGCUUGCCAUUAGUAUCGUAAUACACAAAUACGACCAUAAUUCCCAGAAUUUGAGCAUAAAUAAUCCUAAAAUAACCAUUAAAACCCAAAAAAUAGUAAAACAAUUAUUCUAAUUACAUGAGCUGUUUUUAGUUUUUACCCUUUACCGAUCGCCAAUAAGUCGGAUCUGACUGUCACUCACUAUAAAUAACUGCCCUAUUCUCUCUCUCUCCUCCACUCCAUCACGCACUCCUCAUUUCCUUCUACAGUAACUUCUCUUUCUUUUCUGUCAUUGGAGAAAUUAAUAAAGAAAUCAAUUAGGGUUUGGAGCCAUGGUUUCGGUGAUUUUGCCAGAUCUGGGAACGGAGAUUCUGAUUCCGGUAUGUGCCAUUAUUGGAAUCGGAUUCUCUCUCCUUCAGUGGCUGUUGGUUUCCAAGGUCAAGCUUGUACCGGGUCCUGCGGCGUCGAAUAACAGUGGUGCUGCUGGAAAGAAUGGGUACGGUGACUACUUGAUUGAGGAAGAAGAAGGUCUUAAUGACCAUAAUGUUGUUCUUAAAUGUGCUGAGAUUCAAAAUGCCAUCUCUGAAGGUAUAAUAUUAUCAGUAUUUUGGUUGUUUCCUUGAGUUGGUUCUUGAAGUUGUGAUUUUUGGGAUUGUUGAGUUUAGAUCUCUCGUUGAUUUGGUGUUUUGGUUUUGAAAUGGAAGGAAAUGAGCUGUUUUUGUUGGUAAAGUUUUGUUGUGGUAUUGCAUUUAUUGUGUUUUUUGUGAAGGAUUCUGUAUGAGUUUCUGGUUAUGGACUUUGAGCUGACUGUGGAAAGUUUUUUUUUUAUUUGUGUUUUUAUUUGAUUUAGUUUAUUUUUUCAGCUUAAAGAAAAAAAAAAUCCAGUGUGUAUAUGAAUGUUUUUAAAAAUAUUCCUUUUACGCAUGAGCUGGUGGCUAGUUCUGGAACUUGGUCUGAGGAAGUGUAGUUCCAUUAAUUUCUGGUUGUAACAUAUAUUUUUUGCUUAGACCGAAGGAAUGCUAUUUGAGAUCUAGCCAAGCUUCUGUUGUUUUAUUUGUUGGAAUUAUGGUAAUGGUUAUUUAGUUAAAACACACGAAGACUAUAGACGUCUGGUCAUGACAAGAAUGUUAAAUGCGGUAUUUUCUGGCAUGUGGGUGCUAGUAUUGAUAUGCCGCUACCAACCUGUCAAACCUAAUGCUUACUGGCUGGGAAUGGUACCUUUUGCGGUUUUAAGUUGAUGGUUUGAUGAGAUUUUGCUAGAUCUACAGGCUUUGAUGAAGUUAUUGUAAACCUUCAAUAGAUCUAAGCAUUUUAGACAUAAUUCUUGACCUGGUAUUGUUAAUUAAGUUGAUAAGUUUCUCUUGUCAUCUUUUAAGGUUAUCUGUGGUGAAUCUCUUUUUGUUAGUUAUCAUUUGCAUUAAUGAUUGCGAGGACUUCACUUCAUUUUUUCAUGUGCCAAGAGAUUGUUUGGAAUUAUAACUAGGAUGUGAAAACCAGAUGCCUGGGGCAUCAUGCACAUACUGUGUCACCUCCCUCUGUCUUUGACAGAUGAUUUAUAGGUCUGGAAUCCCCUUAUUUAACUUCAUGCUUUAUUGUUGAAUGGUAAAAUAUGAAGUAUAAAUAAACUUGUUGGAGAGGCCAUAUCCAGGAUUGUAUCUGAUAGCUUGUUAUAUAUUCUCACAGUCCAAUAUUAGUGCAAUGUAGUGGUGGUGUUUUUACUUCAUUUACACAUCACCAUGUUGUGGUGAUAAUGUUUUGUCAAUAUCAUUUUUUAUACUAAUUAUGGAUGUGGAUAUUUUUACUUUGCAGGUGCAACUUCUUUCCUUUUCACUGAAUAUCAAUAUGUUGGAAUUUUCAUGGUUGCUUUUGCAAUCUUGAUUUUCGUUUUCCUUGGCUCUGUUGAGGGAUUCAGCACUAAGAGUCAGCCUUGCACCUAUGACCCCUUGAAGAUGUGCAAGCCUGCUCUUGCCACUGCUGGCUUCAGCACCGUAUCCUUUGUGCUUGGUGCUGUCACUUCAGUGGUUUCUGGCUUUCUUGGGAUGAAAAUUGCAACCUAUGCUAAUGCCAGAACCACCCUGGAGGCAAGAAAAGGAGUUGGGAAGGCUUUUAUCAUUGCAUUUAGAUCCGGGGCAGUAAUGGGUUUUCUCCUUGCUGCCAAUGGACUCUUGGUGCUUUACAUUACCAUCAACGUCUUCAAGCUAUACUAUGGUGAUGACUGGGAAGGGCUUUUUGAGUCUAUAACUGGCUAUGGACUUGGAGGAUCUUCCAUGGCUCUUUUUGGAAGAGUUGGUGGAGGCAUCUACACCAAAGCUGCUGAUGUUGGUGCUGAUCUUGUUGGCAAGGUUGAAAGGAACAUUCCUGAGGAUGACCCAAGAAAUCCUGCUGUGAGUAAUCCUGCUCUAUAGAAAUAACCUUUUUUCUUGUACAUUGACAUGGUUUCUGGUUUGGGUUGUGUCUGAUUUCCUUCUGUGAUUGCAGGUGAUCGCUGACAAUGUAGGUGAUAAUGUUGGUGAUAUAGCUGGCAUGGGAUCUGAUCUUUUUGGCUCAUACGCCGAGUCCUCUUGUGCUGCCCUAGUUGUUGCUUCCAUCUCUUCUUUUGGAAUCAAUCAUGAAUUUACUCCAAUGCUCUAUCCUCUCAUUGUCAGUUCUGUGGGAAUCAUUAUUUGUCUGAUAACCACCUUAUUUGCAACUGAUUUCUUUGAGAUCAAGGCUGUGAAUGAAAUUGAGCCAGCACUAAAGAAUCAACUCAUCAUCUCAACUAUUCUGAUGACUAUUGCGGUUGCCAUUGUUAGUUGGGUAGCUCUCCCAUCUUCCUUUACCAUCUUCAAUUUCGGAACCCAGAAAGUUGUCAAGAAUUGGUAAGAUCUAUUAUUGAUGUUCUUUUGAGAAAAACUUGGCGCCAUUCUAGUUGGGUGAUACUGUCUUAGCUUAUAACAUUGAAUUCUACAUGCAGGCAACUCUUCUUGUGUGUUGCUGUUGGUCUCUGGGCCGGUCUUAUUAUUGGAUUUGUAACUGAGUACUAUACUAGCAAUGCAUACAGGUAAAGCUUUUAUCCUACUUUUAUUUCUAGUAACUGUUCCCUGAAUAACAGUUAGUUUAACACUUAAUUUACAAAAACCUGCAGCCCUGUUCAAGAUGUUGCUGAUUCCUGCCGAACUGGAGCUGCCACUAAUGUUAUUUUUGGGCUUGCAUUGGGAUACAAAUCUGUCAUCAUUCCUAUCUUUGCUAUCGCAGUCAGCAUUUUUGUUAGUUUCUCUUUUGCUGCUAUGUAUGGUAUUGCUGUAGCUGCCCUUGGAAUGUUGAGCACCAUUGCCACUGGGUUGGCAAUAGAUGCAUAUGGUCCCAUUAGUGACAAUGCCGGAGGUAUUGCUGAGAUGGCAGGCAUGAGCCACAGGAUCCGAGAAAGAACUGAUGCCCUUGAUGCUGCUGGAAACACCACUGCUGCUAUUGGGAAGGUCUGAAAAACUGUCUUAAGCUUUAACCACUUCCUUUUUAAUUGUAGUCGAUGUAAGCAACUGUAGUUGCUUUUACAUGUCAUGUUAGAAUGCAGGUUUGCAUAUUUUGUUUUUCAUGCAUUGAUGUGUUUAGUCAGUGGUUUUACUGAUUUUUUGUUAUGGGAUCACAUUGAAGUGGUGCACACAGCACACAACCAAGGAAAUAGGCAACUUGCCCCAGCUGUAGUUUUGGUGUUCUCUGUGUUUUCUUCCUUUUAAAAAUGAAACUUUAGAUUUUUUAUUUUAUGAUUAGACAAGUUGGGCGUUGCCAUCUCAUUGCAAAUUCCUAGGACCACUUAUCAUGGAAUUGCCUUUCCCUUCUCCAAAUAAGAAGGAGAAAUGAGAGUGCUUGAUACUGUUCCAUGUGCUUUUCAUUUUGGACACAUGAUUUCGUUUUUAGUAGGGAAGAAGGCUUCUGCAGGGACCUUAAUCUUUCUGGCAAUUUAUAAUUUGUUGGGAGUUUGAGUCUUUUUUGCAGUGAAGUUGUAUUUACAUCAUUUGUUGUAGAACACAUCAUUAAUUUUGUUUAUGAUUGAAAAGAAGCAUCCGACAAUGACUUGUUGAACUCACAGACCAUAAGGUUUUAUUCAGACUUCUAAUUGAUCAAUGUGCUGCCUUUUUCAGGGAUUUGCCAUUGGCUCUGCAGCUCUUGUCUCCCUGGCCCUCUUUGGUGCCUUUGUCAGCCGUGCAUCUAUCUCAACAGUUGAUGUAUUGACUCCAAAAGUUUUCAUUGGUUUGAUUGUGGGUGCAAUGCUUCCUUACUGGUUCUCUGCCAUGACAAUGAAGAGCGUGGGAAGUGCAGCACUUAAGAUGGUUGAGGAAGUUCGCAGGCAAUUCAACACCAUCCCUGGCUUGAUGGAAGGCACUGCCAAGCCUGACUAUGCCACCUGUGUUAAGAUCUCCACUGAUGCUUCUAUCAAGGAGAUGAUCCCACCUGGUGCACUUGUCAUGCUCACACCCCUCAUUGUUGGGAUCUUUUUCGGUGUUGAAACUCUAUCUGGUGUCCUUGCUGGAUCCCUUGUGUCUGGUGUCCAGGUAAUGCUAAGGCUAGUGGUCAGCAGAAUGUUCUUUGUCAACAUAAAUUUGAGAUCAUAUUUGUUCAGGUUAUAGAUGUCCUGUUACCGUAUGUCUGAUCAUUUGUUUCUGUUGUUCAGAUUGCCAUCUCUGCCUCCAACACUGGUGGUGCAUGGGAUAAUGCCAAGAAAUAUAUUGAGGUAUAGAUCGAGUGAGCUUUAUCACUUCUUUAUUUGUAAUUUGGUGUGCGUGCUGAAAUACAGGUUUUUGUAAUGCGAAUAUGCCCUGUAUUUGUUCUGUCGGAAACAGGCUGGUGCUUCAGAGCAUGCAAGAUCUCUUGGCCCUAAAGGAUCAGAUCCACAUAAGGCAGCUGUUAUUGGUGACACCAUUGGGGAUCCAUUGAAGGAUACAUCUGGACCAUCACUUAACAUCCUCAUCAAACUGAUGGCUGUUGAAUCACUCGUCUUUGCUCCAUUCUUUGCCACGCACGGUGGCCUGCUCUUCAAGAUAUUCUGAGAAUUAGAACCAGACAAGCAGAAGAAAUGGUUGGUCCCACCAGUCCCAUCUCUCUUGUUUUGCCCUACUAUUCAUCUUUACCUCAAUAUAUGUAGUUUGUAGUUCGUGAUGACUUCAAAUUUCUCUCCUCGUGUUGAGUGGUGGAGAAAAUCUUCCCUGUUAGGGGGUUGAUUGAUGAUGACAACGAAGACGACGAUGAUAAUCAAUCUAGUGAAGAGCUGGAACAAAGUUGUCAUUUUGUUUUCUAGUAAGAACAGUUAAUUUUGCACAUUUAACGCAAUUUUGAUUGUAUGUUCACUCUUUUUGCGCUGUCUUUUCAUUUUCAUUUUUCUUUUCCGUGCUCCCCGCCAAAUAUUUUAAUCAGCUGUUGUGUAAAAUGCACAAAACAUGCCCCAGCUGCCUAAUAAUUUUUUUUUUUUUUAAAAAACUUAUCCGCAGUUGAUUUGCAUGAUCUCUCUUGUCCUUGGAUUUCUAACACUUUGAUCCUUAAUUUUUUUUUUUUUUCUAAUUUGAUUCUCAAAAACUGAAUUAAUUUAAUGCGUGCGUAUAUUGAUUUCUUACACUUUAGUUUUUAUUGUCAUGUUGUUUAUAAGAAGAGAAACAUGUAAUUGUAAAAUGAGAACGGGAGAAAACAGUUUUUACUAAAUGAAUACAUUUUCCACCAGUGCCUUUUUGUACACAUUUAUUUUAAUUUUUAUAUAAAUAAAUUUCGCAAAGUGAUAACUGAUAAAAGUUUUCCCCAGCGGGCAUCAAACUAGCUGGAAACAAAAAGAAAAACACACGCCGUCUCAUGCCAGAGGGGAAGAAGCACCAAAUGGGACGUUAUUAAUUCGAGACUGUUAAACAUAUAUCCAUAGAAUCAAUACGGAGACAGUGGGAUUGUUAAUCCAACAACGUAAAAUAUUAGCUUUCCAUGGUGGUUUAGCGUUUUACCAAAAAAAAUAUAUCACACUUUCUACUUGUUUAUAAGCUCUACUCGUUUUGAAAUCCACCCUCUUAAAGAAACUGAUUUCUUAGUUUUUUCACUUAAAAAAUCCUUGAUUUUUCUAGAUUUGAUUCUUGAUUUAUAGUGUUAACUAAGAAGAAUACCCUCUCUUAACAAUUUUAAUUAACAAUAAUUAGUUGUUUGAUUAACAGGAUUUUCGGACCAUUGUUGUUUGAUUAUCAAAUUAUGUGAUAAUUAAUGAAGUCGGUGCUAGAAUUAACGAAUUAUUAAAAAAGAAAAAACAUUGAGACAGAUGAGUUUAUUGCAUAAUUUUAACGUCGAACCAACGGAUGAGAAAAUAUUAGCAUUGGUUGAGUAAAAAGAAUAAGGACCAUUUGUAAACAUGCCAAAUAAAUGGAGGGCAUAUUUCUAUUUUUCCUCUCCUCGUUUCUUCAUAUCUUUCACUUCAGAGUUCAGAGUUGGGAUAACCUCCUCUGUACUCAAAUAUUUUUCCAGAUCGAGGCAAGUCCUUCAGACAUCUAGAUCUUUAAUGGAGCUAUUUAUAGAUAGAGAUCACAGAAUUACCAGAAACAUGGUGCUGCUAUAUAUAGUUCUUAAUACUGCUGUCAUUUUUUAUGCUGCACAUACUUUCUGCAUUCACUUCCCUGCUUUGGAUUAUGCUGCUAUGAUUUUCUAUGACCAUUCUGGUUUUUCGUUCCUGCAAAAGUGUUCUUCAACUGGUUGGAAGUCAAUUGUUAAUGCAUUAAUUUUUGGUUUUGAUUUCCUUCUGCUGGUGAUCAUUACUAGCUAGGUCAACAUUGAUAUACUUGAGUAUAAUGGAAGCUUUGACCCUUUUUUUUAUUUUUAUUAAUUAGGAUUUAUAAUAAACAUAAUACUAGGUAUGAUUUUUUAAAUAAGAUCUUUUCUAUAAAAAAAACAAGAUGCUAAAAAUUUAUUUUUUUAUUUUAAAAUUAUUUUUAAAACCGCUAUAAUGUUGGGUGUUACAUAUUUUAAUAAAAAAAAAUCUUAUUACUAUAAAAAGCUUUUAAUCAACAUGAAAAUUCUAUUUUUUUUUAUCUUUAAGUUUUAUUAAGUAGAAUAAAACUACAAAAAAAUAUGAUUGAUUGUAAUAUUUUUAUUUUUAAAGACUAUAUUAAGAUUCUCAAUAAAUAUUUCAACAUAAUUCUAUUAAUACUUAGAAAAUAAUAUCAUCACUUCUUUAAAUAUUUUGAAAGAAGACAGAGCAUGCGAAUAAAAUAGGGUAAAGAAUGAUUUUUUUUUUUUUUUGAUGAGGAGGCGAGCUUGGUUUGCGUGCUGGGAAUGCAACUGCAGAGUCGCGAGUGCCUGAGUUUUCAACGGUAGCAAACUCCCCUGGUUUUAGUUUUAUAAAAUUACAUAAAUAUUACAUCCCACGUUGGUUUUCUUUAUAAUAUUUUAGGGUCAAUUAUAUUGUAGUCCUUGUAGUUUAUUUAAAAUAAUUAAUUAGUCCUUGUAUUAUAGGACAAAAAUGAGUAAUUAGUUCAUUGACAAACAUUGACCAUUUCAAUUUUUUAGUGUUUUUUUUUUGUUGUUUUAGAAAAUAUCUUUGUUUUUUAUCAACUCUUUCUACCUUAUUUGGAUCCCUGUUUCUUCUUUAUUUGUUUAUCUAUAUAUAUAAAAAAAGUACAGGAAAAUAAAAAUAAGAUUAAACUAUAAAUGAAUUUAAGAAAAUAUAAAAAAUAAUAUAUAAUUUCUGAAAAAGUGUUUACUUUUCUUAUCUGUCCAUAGAUUGCAGAUGCGCCCAUUCUUUUCGAUUUUCUCCAAAGUGUUUAAUACAUAAAAAUGACUUUUCUUUUAUUAAUAUCAUAACCUUUUUUUUUUAAUUAUCAAUAUUCAGAACUUGUUUAAAAGUAAAUAUUGUAUUUUAUUUUUUUAAUAAAAUAUAUUAAAAUAUUAUAUAUUUUUUAUUUUUUAAAAAUUUAUUUUUAACACAACUGAUCAAAAUAAUAAAAAAACAUUAAAAAAUAUUAUUAUUUUUUUUUAAAAAUGAAAUUUAAAACAAAUAAUAUUCUAACCACGUACUGACAAACACAAUUGACGAAGACAAUUCUCAUUAUUGUUAUUGUUAUGUCAACUUGCCGAGGAACACUUUACAAGACACAAGUUGAGUUAGACGAGGUUUCUUUAGUUCCUUGAGGUCUUUUUUUAUUGAGGACAAACUACAAAUACAUCCUCCAUUUAUUUUUUAGGUUUCGAUUAUGUUGUUCUCUUAAUUGCACCAAUUUUACCCUUAACCUACCCAAAGCAAUCCCAUUUCUUCCCUCUUCCCUUGUAUCACAUAUGAAACUCAUGCAUGUGAACUUUUCUUGUAGUGUCAACUUCAUUUCUUCAUAACCUUGAAAGGAUUACUCUUGUGAUUAAAAAAGUUAACUCAUUGGCUCAAUUAGAAGAAGAAGAAUCAAAUCAAAACCCGUCAGAUAAAUGAAGGGUACAUUUGUAGUUUGUCGCUUGACUAAAAAGAAGUUCAGCUGUAGAAAACGGAGUUCCUUUCGCCUCCUUUUCCAUGUUGUUUCAGAGCCAUUUCUCCGUGGCUUCCUCUCUGUAGCCAAACAUUUUCCCAGCUCGAGGUAAGUCCUUGAGACAUGUUGAUCAUUAAGCUAUAUUGCUACCGGGUCAUCUUUUCUGAUUACAAAAAACAUGCUUUUGGGUUGUUUUUCUUAGGCUGAUCAAGACCUUGUAAUUGGGAAACAUGGCAGCAGUGGAGAUUACAGAUGGCAUUAACAUUAAUGCAGCUAUAGAUAGUGUCCAGAAUGGACGGCCUCACCAUAAUAUCGAGCUCGUAGUAGUCCCUCAACAACUACCUCCUACUGGUGAUGGAGGUAAUUUAUUAAGCUGGAUGUUUAAUUAUAGUUCUUGUGAACUUUAUAUUUUGGGAGUCUGCAUUUUGCAAUGGCCCAGUAGAGAGAAAAAAAAGCUUCUCCUGUAACGUUUUCAAUGAUUGAAAACAUUGGUGGGAAUUUCAUGUGAUUUUAACAAAAGAAGGGAAAAAACAAGAAUUGUAAUCAUAGUGACCUAAAAGGGUAUGAUGCAGUGAAAAUUUCAUUUCUCCAUUUCUACUAUUCGAUUUCCUGCAUCUGACUGUAUGAAAUCUAGAAGUUCUAUUCAAUAAUUGAAGUUGAUGAUGUUUAAUGUAAACCAUUAGUCUUCUAUAAAAUCAAUACUUUUUUAAUUAUUUCUUCUCGACAGUGGAAAGAAGAAGACACUUGCAGUUGUAUCAUGCCGCUCUGAGUGGUGAUUGGGAGACAGCUGAAGGCAUUUAUGAGUCAUUUCCAGGAGAAGUUAACGCCAGAAUAACUAAGCGAGGAGAGACUGCUCUCCAUAUUGCAGCCGCAGCGGAGCACACUCAUUUUGUGAAACAGCUUGUUGGAAAGAUGAGCAUCGAGGCUUUAACUUAUAAAAACGAGGCGGGCAAUACAGCAUUUUGCUUUGCUGCUAUAUCUGGAGUUGAGGCACUUGCCAACGUCAUGAUGGACAAAAACCGCGGUUUGGCGAUGACUCGAGGCAGAGGAAACCUGUUACCAAUUUACAUGGCAACUCUAUUGGGGCAUAGAGGGAUGGUAUCAUAUCUUUAUGAUGAAACAAACGAGCAGUUAACCGAUGAUGAUCGCAUAAAGUUACUUGUUGCUUUGAUCAACAGUGACAUAUAUGGUGAGCAAUCUUUUCUAUGUUUGAUAGUUUGCUAUCAUUUAAAUUUAUUUUCGUAAAUGAAAUCAAUCUGUUUUAGUUUGUGAUUGCUACUACCCAGAAGAGAAAUUCAACAUUCAACCCUCAGACAACUUAUUCGUAAGCCUUUGAAAAUCCAACUUGUUUUCAUAUUUUUGAAUCUUUUUGUUCCCAGAUGUAGCGUGGAAAAUGCUAAGAGAACAUCGCGGGUUGGCCUAUGCUCGUGAUGAACAUCAGCUGACGGCAUUGCAUGCAUUUGCCCAAAAGUCUUGUAUGCCUUCAAACGUUGUCGAUCAAAGUCCUCCAGGAUUUUGGAACAAAUGCCUCAACCCCUGUUAGUUCUCUGAUGCUCCAAAUCUCUGUUUCCUUAGAAAGAAAACCAGUCCAAAAAUUUCAGCUAGUUAUAGAAUGCAAAAGAUUAACUUUAUAUCUUUAUCAUCAUAUUCAUGAGCACUUUAUACAUCUUUUCAUGGAUGCAUAUAUUCAAGCUUGCAAACUUGUGUGUUACAAGGAAUUAGCACUUGUCAUUUUAUCUUCAAUAUUUUUUUAAAAAAUAUCCAACAAUCCUAUAUAGAAUGCACAAAGAAAUUUAUAGCAGUUUAACAUUUAAAAACACCAACAUUCUUGCAGAAGUGAUAUAUUGUACACCUCAAUACACAAAAUAUUUCGAAAUGUUACUGAUUUAUCAGAUCUGUUCACUCGUUGGCUAACUACAUUUGUGUUUUACAUCUUUGAUUUAGAACAUUAACCCCAUUUCCCACAAUUCAAUUUUGUUAUAUUUAAUCCUCAGUUUCGGGUUUCAAAUUGGCUCGGAUGAAGAAACUCAUGCACAAAGAAGCACGUGACAUAAUCCAGGACCUUUGGGAACAGUUGUAUUGUUGGAUGAUGCAACAAUUUCUCGUCAGAUUGGAGAACCCUGGCCAUUGAUAUUCACUGCUGCAGAAAGAGGGAAUCUUGACUUUCUAACAAUACUCAUUCGCUUGUAUCCUGAGUUGAUCUUCAAAGUUGAGCACAAUACGUAUAGCAUAUUUCAUAUUUCUAUCUUGAAUCGUCACGAGGACAUCUUCAAGAUUAUAUACCAGAUUGGUUCUAUCAAGAAUUUGAUAACAACAUACAAAGAUAGAGAUGGAAAUAAUAUGUUGCAUUUGGCUGCAAAAGUACUGGAAUCACCAAGUCGACUUAAUGUUAUACCAGGAGCAGCUUUACAACUGCAACGCGAAUUGCUGUGGUUUGAGGUGACCAUUCUCACUCUUUCCAUCAACAAAACACAUUUGAUUGUAGGUCAUAUGCGUUAAGCCAACCUAAUUCUUCCAUCAAAUGUGGAUCACGUUUUGAUAGGCGGAUAAGAUGUUCAUAUGCACACGCGAUUAACUAAUGCUAUAUUCUCCUUCUAUAUAUGAAUCUCACAGUCUCUCAACAUGAUCAUGAUUUCUAGGAAGUGAAAAAAGUCGUUCAACCACGGCACAUUGAAGAAAAAAAUAUUCACGGGAAAACUCCAGGAGCUUUAUUUAUAGAACAGCACAAGGACUUGAUGAAAGAAGGGGAGCAAUGGAUGAGAGACACUGCCGAUUCAUGCAUGCUUGUAGCAACACUUAUUGCUACUGUGGUUUUUGCAGCAGCUUUUACCGUACCCGGAGGUAAUUUACAAGAUAAAGGGACUCCUGUUUUCCUUCAUGAAAUUGCAUUCAAAUUCUUUGCCAUAUCAGAUGCAAUUUCUCUAGUAAGCUCUGCCUCAUCCUUGUUAACCUUCUUGUCAAUUCGCACUUCUCGGUACGCAGAACAAAAUUUUCUUUGGUCAUUGCCUAACAGGUUGAUUAUCGGACUCACAACACUUUUCAUAUCAAUUGGGGCAAUGAUGGUAGCCUUUAUGGCAACAUUUUUCCUUGUUUUCGGCAAUAAAUUACUUCCAUAUUCUAUCCCCAUUGCUGUCGUUGCUUCUUUGCCAGUCAUGUUCUUCAUUUGGCAGCAUUUCCGCUUAUUCGUUGACAUGAUUCAUUCAACUUAUACGUCUCGGUCACUUUUCAAGCCAAAUAAAUCUCCUCUUUUUUCCAAGAAACUCAAGACAAAGGUUGCUUAGCAUCUGUAAGAAAAUGCUGGUGUUAUAGAAGUCAUCCUGUAGCCUGGUGCAAAGACUGGAAGGCAUGUAAGCCAGGCUUGAUUCGAAUGAAUCGCUAUAAAUAUACUUGAUUUGAAGCUACUUGUACUUGGUGCUUUGCCAAACAUAGAAAGGCAUUGCCUUUUCCAUUGCUUAACCUGUAAUAUCCUUUAUGCUAUCAAUGAACCUGCCCUGAAAAAGUAGAACUUCUGCUGCUAGUGCAGGUAUUCGGUCUUUCCUUCUUUUUUUUACUGUUUUCUUCUUUCAUUUUUCAAUUGAUCAUGAUUAAGCCUAAAGCUCCGCGUGUUAAGUAAUUUCAUUUUCUUGGUGAUAAAUUACAAUAAUUUUCUUUAAACCUGAAUCGAAAUCUACAUGAAACAAGGACUAAAUCACGGAAUAGGAAAGUAAAUCCAAGUUAACCUAAAUUGAAAAUAAAAAUAAAAAUCAAAGUAUCAUUGUUUUGACCAAAAACAAUUCAAAAAAAAUCAAUGGAUUUUUAACUCGUAUUUUGUCAUGGGUAGGCCAGGUCGCAAGGUUAACCCAAGUUUUUGAUUGUGUUAGGUCGGAUCAAUUCUUCUUUUUCCUUUUCUUUUAACUCGAAUUGGUCAAAACAUUGAGUUGGUCGGAUCCCAUCUAUUAUCUUUGAAACUCAUAAUAAAACAAAUUGUUGAGUCUAGUUCAAAGCAUGUUAAACACGAGACAAGAUAAUUGUUUGUUUAGUCAUGUCCUAUCCACUCUAGUCCAAUUAAUAAUGUCCAACAUACCAAAACUACCUAAUAAAACCUGGCCUUAUAAAAUAAGCUUGCAAAUUUCAACUAGAUUCAAUGAUUGAAUUAAAAAUAUAUAUAUGUUUUUUAGCAAGCUCAUUUGACUCGUCCUAAUUUUUUUUAAGUCCAAACCCUAUAGAAAAAAAGAGUUAAGAAAUCAUGAAGCUUAACUUUCAACAAAUACAUAAUUAAAAGAUAAAAUUAAAAAGGAAAAUUCAUGUAAAAAAAAAACUAAGAAAACCGAUGUCAAACUAGGUUAACCUUUCAAAUUUAUGACCUGAGUCAUGAUACCAGGACCACCCCAUCCAAAAAAUUAUGAAGCCCAACUUACAACAAAUCCAAUGUUUGAGGAUGAAAUUGAUUUUUUUUUUAAAAAAAACACAAAAAAAAAUUACAAUUAAAAAAUGAAUCAAAUUUGACACAAAAAUAAAAUAACAAGACACCUAAUAAUUUUGGUAGCCAAAAAUAAAAUCACAGCAUCCAUACUAAAUAGAUAUUAAAACUUGAACAUUGGAAAUAUAUGAGUGGCUUGGGAUCAUGAACCAAUGAUGAGUAAUCUAUUUGGCCUUUCAAUCUAAUAUUUUUAAAUAUUUCCCUUCCUCAAACAAAGUUAUAAUGCUGUAAAUUAUGAUGGUAUUUAAAAAUGUAUUAAUGAUUAUUUUUUAAAAAUAUUUUUAUUUAAAAAUGUAUUAUAAUAAUAUAUAUUUUUAUAUCAGCAUAUCAAAAUAAUUAAAUAUACAAAAAAUCUUUCUUUCUUUAUUGUUUCUCGUAAAAUGCUCCAUAUAUAAUCCUUAUAAUGUGCAUAUUCUAAUUAUAUUUCUGAAAAAUUGGAUUUCAAUAAAUAUCUUCCCUAUAUAUAUAGUAAUAAUAACAACAACUAAAACAUAUUUGACAUUCACUAUUUUAAAAAAUAGUUAUUAUGGAUUGCGUUGUUUAUUUUGAACAAUGAUUCUUUUCCAUCAUCAAACUUUUAAUAUUUUCAAUUUCAUCCUUGCCAUAUUAUUUUCUGUUUACAUUUCUUUUAAUUUGCCGUAUCAAGCAUGUUUUGAGUUUUGAGAGGAACUUAAUGAUCAAUUAGUCAAUUGGGGCUGAAAAUUAAAAUUGAAAGAACAAGGACCAUAUUUAACAAAAAAAAACUUUAGUCUACCUAAUUUGAAGUACAUACGAAUCGUUUCAAAGCUUCAGUCCAACUAACAAUUCCAGAGCAUUCACACAAAAUAAAUUCCAGAGCUACUCUGUUCCAGUUGACAUUUCCUCUAAUUAUAACACGGGGUAAAUGAAAACUUUGCCAUUUUCUACCUUAUUCAACAGAUACUCCUACAAAUAAACUACACUGAGUUGCAUGCAUUGGGUUUGUCUUAGGUAAUAUCCAUUGCUUGUUCUUACGAUUUGAAGGAAGAUAUAUGAGAAAGAACUUGCUGAAAAAAUAAUUUUCUUCAUUACAUUGCUAUAAAGAACACAACUUUUCAAACAUUAUUUAUACUACCGAGAUGAGAUAAGAUUGACCAUCUAAAUCUUUCCUUUGAAAUGUAGAAACAAUGCAGAGUUGAGAUUUAUUUAUACCAAAGGCUUCCAAACUCUGAUUCUGAAUGGCUUAAGAAGAUUGUCCGCAACAAAGUAGUAGCAAGUGUUGAUGCUCUUCUCAAUGAAAUAAAACCAUGCUCGCCGCCAGUCUGGGUUUAUGUACAAAACUGCAGCUAUUCCCAACAGCACCAUGAUGUACGUCACAACAAAGCUCACACAGAAAACUUGUGCAUCAAUGAAGACGCUACUCUCUUCUUUCUCAUCAGUAGAAGGCCCAGGUGGUGGUGGUACUUCUUUGGUGCAACUGUUAAGCAGUGGUGGUCCACAAAGUAAGGGAUUUCCCUCGUAGCUGCUCUUAUUGAAUGUUGAGAAUUGUGCAACCAUCUCAGGAGUCUUACCAGACAGGUUAUUAUUGGCUACACUAAAAUAGGCAAGAAAAUGCAAUUGUACAAGUUGAGGAGGGAUUUUCCCAUUCAAGCUGUUAUUGGAAAGGUCCAUGCUCUCAACAUCACUCAAAUUUGAAAGAGUUUGUGGGAUUGGGCCUCUUAAAUGAUUGUUGGACAGGUUCAAUACAUGAAUGUGGUUGAGAUUCCCAAUUUCAGGAGGAAUCACACCUGACAAACUGUUGCAGGAGAGAUCCAAUCCGGUCAUGUAAUUCAAAAUACUUGGCGGAUAAGAAUAAGACAGACUCUUUGUUGCAAUAACCAAUGGUUCUGGAAGAGCACUCGUAUAAGGAAUUUUUCCGCGGUGGAUGAACUGAAUAAUGCUUAUAAAUCUUAGGCAAGGUAGAAUAUGACCAGAAAAAUUAUUAUGAGAAAGAUCAAUGAACUUUAAUUUGUUCAACUUGCACAAUUGCGUGGGUAUACUGCCAUCAAGAUUAUUAUAACCCAAGAGAAGAAAGCUCAGUAGGGAAAACUCACCAAUCCAUUUUGGAAUGCUACCAGUCAAAUGAUUAUGGCUAAGAUCCAACGUUAUUAGCUCAAAGGAUUUCUGAAAUGCAUGUUCUAGGGAUCCUUGUAGCAUAUUUUGUGACAGAUAAACAUGCUGGAGGUUUGAAGAGUUAAAGAAAGAUGGUAAGGUUCCAGAGAUGUUGUUAUUUGAGAGGUCCAAAACAUGAAGAUGCAACAGAAAGCCAAAUGAAGAGGGAACGCAACCACUGAAGUUGUUAUCAGACAUGGAUAAAAAUGUUAAACUUGGAAAAUAUGAUCCUAUUUCUCUAGGAAUGUGGCUUUCGAAGUUAUUGUUAGAAAUAUCUAAUUCAGACAAAUUCUGAUGAGGAUGAAUUGGCAAUUGAAAAGUCCCUGAAAGAGAAUUGUUGACCAAUUGGAGAUAAUUGAGGUUUGUGUUGUUCUCUAACAACCAAAUAGGAAACCCUCCCCUCAAUUUCAGGUUAGAAAAAUCAAUUUCUUGGAGGCUAUAUUGAUGGAGGAGGAAUUUGGGAAAGGAAAAUGCUCCACCAUAUCCAUUGCCAGAUAAACGAAGACUCUCUAAUUGGAACUUUGGGGCCAAAUUAUGCUCCUCUAAUUCUUCAACAUAUAUUUCGUUAUUGUUACCAUCGAAAUACUUGAGUUGUGAAUGGUUGAGAAAUGAGCUCAAUGAGACGGGGAUCUGAAAGUGGUUGUCUGAAAGUGAUAACCAUAGGAUGGAUGUGAGACUUGUAAGAGGAGAGAAGGAAAUGUCUCCAAUAAAGGUAUUGUAAGACAAAUCUAAUACUUGAAGGGAUGUCAAAUUUGCCAAACACCAAGGCAAAGCACCAUUGAGAUCAUUCCACCUGAUAUAUAGAUUUUGGAGAUGCUUUAACUGACAUAGGCCUGAGAAUUUAUUGAUUCAUAAAAAUUUUAGUAAGAGAAGAAGCAGAACGCCUAAGGAGGGGAAAGGUGGUCAGACUUACCUUGGGCUUUAAGGAUGGAGCCAUUAAGUCGACAGUCAUCCAAUCUUAAACUCUUUAGAGUAGUAAUCUUCCCGACUGUUUGCAGAAAGCUAUUAUCGAUAGUGGAGGAACUCAAAUCUAGGGUCCUGAGGUUUGAGAAUUUCGUCAAUGAUUGCAGUAAUGUAAAUGGAAGAGCUCUUCCAUUUGAGUUGGUAUUAGAUAAUGAAAUGAGGCUUACAUUUCCAAAACCUCUAGUAUCUGCAGGGGAUAGCAGAAGUAAAACAAAUUUUAAAACCUUUUGAGCUUUUAUUCUUGAGCAAAAUCAUCCGCGAAAAUACAAUUCAAUUAAUGAGAUUUUAGGUUGAUCAAGCGGUAAAGCUACCAUCAAUCAGUGUGGAAAGCAAUCAAUACCUUUGGAUAACACAAAUUUGUCAAUCUCGUUUCCAUCUAGAUACACUUCCUCUAAGUUGAUCAAAGCAUCUAGCUCUAGGUUGUCGAAAAACAGAAAUUUAAUAUUACGUCACAACAAAAAUCACAGAUUGGUUUCUAGGAAUCGAAAAAGAUGAGGUUACCAGUCACAUUGAAUGAUCCUUUCAGUUGGUUGUACUCUAUAGACAGGGAUUUGAGAGAUGAAAGACCCUUGAUGAAUGAUAAGGUACUAUCAUUGAAGCGAUUACCAUCCAAAAGAAGAUCUUCCAGAUUUCUUAACCUUAGUAAGUUGUCACCAGUACCUAUAAAAAUACCAUAAGCUUUCAUGUAACCUGAAAGGAUAAUGGAGUAAUUAUGUGUGAAAACAAAUGCUCAGUCAACUCACAACUCUUUCAUACCAUGAAUGGAUUUAAAGCUUUCAAUUUCAUUGCUACCAAUAUCCAACCGCAGCAAGCUUGUUAGAUUAUUCAGUUCUGGCCAAAUAUAAUUGUACCAAGUACAACAAUUAAAAAAAGGGCAGUAAUUAACAUGGUUUUAUUUGAGAACGAAAAGGAGAGAAGUGAUCACGAUUAAUUACCAUCAACACUAAUUGCUCCUUUGAGUUGGUUACCAGAUAGAUACAGGGUUCUCAAAGAGGAAAGCCCACCAAGGGAUGAAAGGAUGCUGUUGUCGAAUUUGUUAAAGCCUAAAUAGAGAUCCUCCAAGCUGUCAAGUCCUGAUAGUCUUUCAAAACCUGCAUGGGCAUUUCAAUCAGUAGCUUGAAAAAUAUAGAAUCUAUUCUUCUUCUUUUUUCCUGUUGAAAUUGCAGUAGCACGCAAACAAGAGAUAAACCUUCAUUCUCAACACAGCCAACUAUAAAAUUUCCCCUUAAAUCAAGAUGUUGCAGUUCUUGGAAGGGACGAAACAAAGAGACAUUUAGGUACAAAUCUCCCAAUCCCUCUUCCCUUAUGUCUGAAAGAUAAAGUUCGACAACUCGUCCUGUAGUGAAAUUGCAGUCAACGCCUUUCCAAGAACAACAGUCGGCUACUUUUCCCCAAGAUUGAAGGAAUGUGCCGUUUGGGUAAUUAAAGGAGCUUUUAAUCCGCAAGAGAGCACUUCUCUCUUCGUCUAAACAGCCGUGACAUGACCACCAGCUGUGUGAUAAAACCAUAGCAUAAAUCAUCAGUGUCCCUGCUAAAGAAGAGAACCUGUUUAAACCCAUUUGGACUCCUCGAUGAAAUUAUGUAUCGAAAAACAACGGUCAGAGGCUCUUUAUAAAUAAGAUCGUUGGACUGCAAUUUGCAAUAUCACAAUCAAAUGUCAUAAUUUUCCACGGGCCAUAGACAAAGUCCUCUCUUUCGGCUUAUUUUCCAAAUUCAUAUUCUUCGUGGAAAGUGCUAGGCUGGUAUGAGGUUGGAAGGAUUUUAAAUAAAAAGGAUUCUGAAAUACUUUUUUUGUUUUCGCAUGCAAUGUCUUCCCUACGGCAAAAACAGUGCCAUCAGUGUCAGUCUUGUUAAUGGUAGUAGAAAAUUCAAAGAUUCUUGCAGUGAAGAUUUUUAAUCAUUUAGGUUUCACUAAUCGUUUCUUUAAUUUUAUAUAUAUAUUUUUUAUAAACGUUCAGUCUGAAAUAGGUAUUAAAAUAAUAUGAUGUUAAGCCAAAAUGAAUUUAAUAAUAAUAAUAAUAAUAAUAAUAAUAAUAAUAUAAUCAGCUAGUUAAUAUUGUAUUUUAAUAUAAAAUGCAUGUUUGAUAUUAUGAUGUAAAUGUUUUUUACUUAAAAAUAUAUUAAAAUAUUUUUUUUUAAUUUUUUAUAUUUUCAAUAUUAACUUAUCAAAUAAAAAAAAACAAUAAAAAUUAAAUUAAUAUGAUCUUGAGUCAAAUUGAAUUUAAUAAUAAUGGUAUAAUUAGUUAAUUAAUAUUGUAUUUUAAUAUAAAAUAAAUGUAUGAUAUUAUGGUGUACAUAUUUUUUACUUGAAAAUAUAUUAAAAUAUUUUUAAAAAUUUUUAAUAUGAACUUAUCAAAUAAUUUUUUUUUUCAUUUUAACAAGACUGCAACUUUGUCCUUGCAGCGAAGCUCUGCAUUUUUAUUUUUAUUUUGUUUUAUAUAACGUUUCUACCGAGCAAAGUUGCAACAAAACGAAUCAUUUCUUUUCAUUUAUGUUUUGUAGAUUAGCUCCUUUACUAGUCAUAUAGUCCCAUUAUAUUACUGUUAGAUUUGUUAUUGGACGGUUUGAAACAUUAGAUCUGUCAAACUUGCAACGAUUUAUAAUAAAGAUUUAAAAAAGCAUUAACCGCAGCUAUUAAAAACAUGUUUGUUUUUGCAUUUAAAACAGAGAGACCAAUUUGCCAACAAGCUAUUAUAAUACAACCCACAGGUUGAUUGAUGAAACCCUGACCCCAAGAUCUGGGGACCGCUGAAGAACACCUUGAAAAAUCUUGCAUUUUACUCCUACUUUUUACAAGAGACAGAUGAACUGGUCAUCGCGCGCGACGUGUUCCCUACGGCCGAGAAUAAUGCAGUGGCUGUCAGUCAUUCAUCGCUUGACCUGACGAAAAUUACACGCUAUGACGAAGAAGAAGAAGGUUGCUGCAUUCAUUCAUCGCUUGACCUGCCAAGACAAAAGAAAAGAAAGCUGUUAACAGUGGUCCAAAUUGCCAGCCACGAUGUGCCCGCAAGCUUUUUCCCCCCUAUGAAAAACACAUUUUACUAUCUUGGCGUUUAUAAACGGAUGAUUGCGUGUUCUUCGUCAUGUGUAUCAAGAACCCAGUAAAACCAUCUAAGAAGACUGCUGAAAAAAAGAUGGUUUAGAUUUCCUCAGCUGACUUCGAGUCAAGGCGUAGAGCUUCAAUUCCACGCAAUGGAUCAUGUGGUUUGGAUGGAACUGGUCGUCGUCAUCACAUGAUUUUCCAUAUGUAAUAAAGUCUUCUUCAUUUGGCUUAUUGUCCCAUUGAUUCUUCGAGGAAAUUCCCAAGUUUUUGCUUUACAUCAAUAUUAAUUAAAUGGCUGGUAACACACAUGACUCUCGUCUCUCUGUUACGUUCCUUUUACUUUUCACCAUGGUUUUUGAACCCUAUCCAAGGAGCUUAUAUGUCCUAACAACCACCAUUUUGAUGCCUAAUUGAUUUACAUGCUCUACAUUUAAAAGGUUAAAAAAACCAAAUCAUCUAAACCAUGCAAGUCUUGGCUUAGAGCCAGAGACUUUAUAAACAAAAUAUAAAACACAGAAAAACCAAAUCAAAGGAUGCCAAGAUGAUUUUCACUCCAUCUAUUGGACAUUGCGAGCAUCCUCUGAGAGUUAAGUUGCAUCGGUUUUUCUUCUGUUAUAUGCUCCAGAUAUUGAUGCUCGUAGACGGAGAAAACAUAUGCAUAAGAAGCAUAGCUCAUGUUCUUUGUUUAAAAUUUUUACUUGAAAACAUAUUAAAAUAUUGUUUAAAAUUUUUAACAUUAACUUAUCAAAUAAUAAAAAAAGCAAUAAAAUGUUUUCAAUUUAACAAGACUGCUUUUCUUUCAUUUAUUCUUUGUAGAUUAGUUCCUUUACUAGUCAUAUAGUCCCAUUAUAUUACUGUUAGAUUUGUUAUUGGACGGUUUGAAACAUUAGAUCUGGUCAUCGCGCGCGACGUGUUCCCUACGGGCGAGAAUAAUGCAGUCUUGUUAGUGGUUGACGAAGAAGAAGGUUGCUGCAUUCAUUCAUCGCUUGACCUGAUGAUGGCUCGAUGGGCCACCAGCUGCUAAGACAAAAGAAAAGAAAGCUGUUAACAGUGGUCCAAACUGCCAGCCACGAUGUGCCCGCAAGCUUUUUUCCUCCUAUGGAAAACACAUUUUACUAUCUUGGCGUUUAUAAACGGAUGGUUGCGUGUUCUUCGUCAUGUGUAUCAAGAACCCAGUAAAACCAUCCAAAAAGUCUACUGAAAAAAAGAUGGUUUAGAUUUCCUCAGCUGACCGUCAAGGCGUAGAGCUUCAAUUCCACGCAAUGGAUCCUGUGGUUUGGAUGGAAUUGGUCGUCGUCAUCACAUGAUUUUCCAUAUGUAAUAAAGUCUUCUUUAUUUGGCUUAUUGUCCCAUUGAUUCUUCGAGGAAAUUCCCAAGUUUUUGCUUUACAUCAAUAUUAAUUAAAUGGCUGGUAACACACAUGACUCUCGUCUCUCUGUUACGUUCCUUUUACUUUUCACCAUGGUUUUUGAACCCUAUCCAAGGAGCUUAUAUGUCCUAACAACCACCAUUUUGAUGCCUAAUUGAUUUACAUGCUCUACAUUUAAAAGGUUAAAAAAACCAAAUCAUCUAAACCAUGCAAGUCUUGGCUUAGAGCCAGUGACUUUAUAAACAAAAUAUAAAACACAGAAAAACCAAAUCAAAGGAUGCCAAGAUGAUUUUCAUUCUCAAAUUGUGUCAUGAUGGGGCUUAGUUCUAGGAAUAACACUGUCACUCCAUCUAUUGGACAUUGCGAGCAUCCUCUGAGAAUUAAGUUGCAUCGGUUUUUCUUCUGUUAUAUGCUCCAGAUAUUGAUGCUCGUAGACGGAGAAAACAUAUGCAUAAGAAGCAUAGCUCAUGUUCUGCCAAAAUGUCAUAUAAAAUUCUUUAGUAAUAUUCGACCGGUUGAUUACAUAUAAAAUUAUGUUAAACAAAAUCUUGAAAUUAGCAAGAGUAAUUAUAUUUCAUGACUCUCAGAGGCACCAAAUGGAUUUCCGCUUAUUCGUUGACAUGAUUCAUUCAACUUAUACGUCUCGGUCACUUUUCAAGCCAAAUAAAUCUCCUCUGUUUACCAAGAAACUCAAGACAAAGGUUGCUUAGCAUCCAUGUAUUAUAAUUCUACAGAAUGCUUUCACAUCUGUAAGAAAAUGCUGGCGUUCAUGUUAUAGAAGUCAUCCUGUAGCCUGGUGCCAAGACUGGAAGGCAUGUAAGCCAGGCUUGAUUCGAAUGAAUCGCUAUAAAUGUACUUGAUUUGAAGCUACUUGUACUUGGUGCUUUGCCAAACAUAGAAAGGCAUUGCCCUUUCCAUUGUUAAUUUAACCUGUAAUAUCCUUUAUGCUAUCAAUGAACCUGCCCUGAAAAAGUAGAACUUGAUGCUAGUGCAGGUAUUCGGUCAUUCCGUCUUUUUUUACUGUUUUCUUCUUUCAUUUUUCAAUUAAUCAUGUUUAAGCCUAAAGCGCCGCGUGUUAAGUAAUUUCAUUUUCUUGGUGAUAAAUUACAGUAAUUUUUUUAAAACUUGACUCGGAAUCUACCAGAAACAACGUCUAGAUCGUAGGUUACUCGGAAUCUACCAGAAACAACGUCUAGAUCGUAGGUUAGGAAAAUACAUCCAAGUUGACUUAAAUUGAAAAAAAUAAUCAAAGGAUCAUUGUUUUGACCAAAAACAAUUCAAAAAAAGUCAAUGGAUUUUUAAUUUGUAUUUUGUUAUGGGUCGGCCAGGUUGCAAGGCUAACCCAAGUUUUUGAUUGUGUUAGGUUGGAUCAAUUCUUUUUUUUCCUUUUUUUUUUUAACUCGAAUUGGUCAAAGCAUUGAGUUGAUCAGAUCCAUCUAUUAUCUUUGAAACACAUAAUAAAACAAAUUGUUGAGUCUUGUUCAAAGCAUGUUAAACACAAGACAAGAUAAUUAUUUCUUUAGUCAUGUCCUAUCCACUCUAGUCCAAUUAAUAAUGUCCAACAUACCAAAACCUACCUAAUAAAACCUGGCUUAUAAAAUAUGCUUGCAAAAUUUUAACUAGAUUCAAUGAUUGAAUUAAAAAUUAUAUAUAUUUUUUUAGCAAGCUCAUUUGACUCGUCCUAAUUUGUUUUUAAGUCCAAACCCUAUAAAAAAAAAAGGUUAAGAAAUCAUGAAGCUCAACUUUCAACAAAUACAUAAUUGAAAGAUAAAAUUAAAAAGAAAAAUUCAUGUAAAAAGAGAGCUAAGAAAACCGAUAUCAAGCUAGGUUAACCUUUCAAAUUUAUAAUCUGGGUCAUGAUACCAAAAUCACCUUAUCCAAAAAAUUAUGAAGCCCAACUUAUAACAAAUCUAAUGUUUAAGAAUGAAAUUGAAUUUUUUUAAAAAAACACAAAAUAAAAAAUUACAAUUAAAAAAAUGAGGAUCAAAUAUAACAUAAAAAUAAAAUGACAAGACACCUAGUAAUUUUGGUAAACCAACUCGAAUCCGAGGAGAGGAGAAAGAAAAAAGAAAGGAGAAGAAAGAAAAGGUUGCUAACGCCUCUCUCUUGACACACAUCACACCAUUGGCAAGAGCUCGCUAUGUUGCUUUAAAUAGAACUGUGGACGACAAUGUUCCAACAUCUGAAGAAGUUGCACUUGCCCAGAGCGUGGAGGCUUCCCCACACGUUGUCAUGUGCAUUUCACACGCCAACCAAAUUAUCUUGCUUGUCCUUUUCAGUUCCUAAGAGUAUUUUUCUGUUUCAAAUUUGAUCAUCUAAGCCUUAAUUAUUUUAGAUGAAUAAAUUAAAUUUUGUCUUGCAAAACUAAGAAUCAAACAUAUAUAAAAUUUUUUCCUCAACACCAUGGAAUCCUAGCAUCUAGGCAAUAACAAAAAAUUAAGUCCAAUCACAAGUAACCUCAAUUUAAAAGGAUCAAUUUUUUUUUUUAAAAAAUGAGGGACAAAAACAAAGGGGUUGAAUUUCUCAUUUGCUCAUGCAAUAUUUUAGUCCUUGAUGUUUGCAAGAAAAAAGAGCUUAAUACUUGUCUAAUGCUCAAAUAUGGUUUAUUAGCUUUAAUUUUUUAAUUCAAUUUAUUUUCAUUUAAUCUUUCCAAAUCAAAGCAUUGAUCGAGAGUCGAUUUUGUUUCUCAACACCACAAGUAGCCAAUACCAAGCCAAACAAAACGAAACAAAUAAUAAAACUCAAUUUCAAAUUAAUCUAAUAUAAAAAAAUCAAAUAAAAAAAUUCAAGUGAUGAAAAAAAAAACUAAAAAGAAAAAGAAAACAUUAAGUGAAUCCAUAAUGUUUUCUCUCAUAAUGCACAUGAAAAGUCUGAUCUUUUUUAUUUUUAUUUUCUAUAUGCAUAAACAUUUGAUGAUAAGGAAAAAUUGGUGUUUUGAAUUGAUGACCAAUAGAUUCACUCUAGGAUUUUAAUUUUUGAGUUGGAACUUAUGACUUUUUUUUUUUUUAAGUUAAUAUAAAUUAAUUUUAUGAACUCGUGACUCAAUAAUCACAACAAGUUUUCAAUUUAAUAACCAUGCCAUUUAAUUCUAGUGAUUUAUUUUAUCACCAAGUAAUUAUUACUUCAUAAAAUUAAUAUUAUUGAUGAAUAUACAUAGAUUUGGAAUUGUAAUUAAUGGAAGUUUACUUUUGCUAAAACAAAAGAAUAAAAAUAAAAGCUUGCUUAGAUAUUUGAAGGAUUUCUCGAUUUCAAGUGGCACUAAAUUAAAGUUUAUUUAAUAAAGAAUUAAAUUGAUUUUUGAAAGUACAUGAUUGUAAAAGAUAUGCAAAUGCAUGUCUACCAUGUUCAAUAGUUUUCAGCAUAAUUGCCAUAUUUCUCCAUAAUAGAAAAAAACUUGCGAAUGAAUUGCAAAAAAGAAAGCAUGAAAAUGUUGAUUGCCCGCAUGACUGUUUAUCCUCAAUUUAUAUGUUCAUGAUAGCUACUCCAUGGACGCCUUGUUCUUUAAUAUCACAGGAUAAUGAUUGAUUCUUCAACAUUCAUUCUCAUGAAUUCAAGAAAUUAUCUCAUCUAAUCUAAGCUUGACGGUAAAAUAAAUAUUAUUGUCUUAUAUCUCAUUUAAUUUCUUAAAAUUGAACCAUAAAAAUUAAAAGAAAUUAUCUAGUCAUAAAAAACGAAAUAAAUAUUAAUAUGAAGUUUGAGAGUGUGGUUGUGAUUGUUUUUUAAAGUGUUUUUCACUCUGAAAUGUAUUAAAAUAAUAUUUUUUAAAAAAAUUAUUUUUGACAUCAACAUCAAAAUAAUUUGAAACACAAAAACAAACAAGGUUUCAACAUAUUGCAAUCAAGAUAGUAUUUGUUUAGUAUUGUGACGCAUGGAUUUUUUUUAAUAUUUUGUAUUUAAAAAUAUAUUAAAAUAAUUUUUUCUAUAUUUUUUAAAUUUUUUAUAUCAAAACAUCACAAUCAUAAAAAAUACUAAAAAUAAAGUGAUUUGAUAUUUUUAUAGUAAAAUAUACUUUUAAAAUACAUUAAAAAAAUAAAGUUACUUCCUUUUCAAAUGAUGACGUGAUUAAAAAAUUAUAAAAAUUUACUCUUAAAAAUCAAAUUAUACCAGUAUACCAAACAUAUAAUAAAAGGUAUCUGACCCAAUCAACAAGAAAGAAAAAAGAUACUUCGGUUGUCUUAUUAAAUUAACGGAAUCCAAACAACCUUUAUUUCAUCCAAUCGUACAUUGGCACCUGAUCUUAAUCCAACGGCCUAAAGUUAUCGUGACUAUAUAUUUACAGAAACGUCACCCACAACUGUCGUGGCAUGGCCUCCGAUUCGAGACGGAAGUUAUAAUGCCCAGGGCAGGUUAGGUGAUGAUGUCGGGAAAUAGGCCCUGUCCAGUUGAAACCUUAAACUGACAAAGGGGCCCACAAGAAUUGCUUAAAUGUCCAAAUUCCAAAAAGGUCCCAAAUCAUACGGGGAUUGUUGCCAUCAACAAGGUUGGUUUCGUACUUUGGAAACUAGAAAUUAACACGCUUAGAUUUUAGGGAAACCCUCAAAUCAGACCCAUAAUAUAUUAUUCUAUCACUAAUGGAGUCCUAAUAAAAAUACUUUAUCAAUUAAGUCCUCCGUGCUUAAGAAGUUUCUCAUUAGGUGCUUCUUUCCACUGGCCAUAGACAAAGUCCUCUCUUCGUGGAAAGUGCUAGGCUGUUAGCGUUUCCUCCGUAGUUCUGAAAUACGGCCCCACCGCGCGACUUACAAUAGAGAAAUAGAGAAAUAGACAAGUGAAAUGGUCUUUCCAUGCAAUGUCUUCCCUACGGCAAAGACAGCGCGCCAUCAAUAUCAGUCUUGUUAGUGGUCGUUGAAAAUGACAUCUCAACCACACAUAAACAAGUUGCUAUUUUAACUUUAAUUUGAUAAUAAAUAAUAAAUAUGAUGGGUACAAAGGGGAGAAUAUACAUGAUAAACUUUUUUUGUUUUCUACAAUAAUAGAGAAAUAGACAAAUGAAAUGGUGUCUUCCCUACGGCAAAAACAGUGCAUGUUAAUAUUGUAUUUUUAUAUAAAAUGCAUGUUUGAUAUUAUGAUGUAAUUGUUUUAUACUUAAAAAUAUAUUAAAAUAUAUUUUUUAAAAUUUUUUAUAUUUUCAAUAUUAACUUAUCAAAUAAUAAAAAACAAUAAAAAUUAAAAUAAUAUAAUCUUGAGUCAAAUUGAAUUUAAUAAUAAUGGUAUAAUUAGUUAAUUAAUAUUGUAUUUUAAUAUAAAAUAAAUGUAUGAUAUUAUGGUGUAAAUUUUUUUACUUGAAAACAUAUUAAAAUAUUGUUUAAAAUUUUUAACAUUAACUUAUCAAAUAAUAAAAAAAGCAGUAAAAUGUUUUCAAUUUAACAAGACUGCAACUUUGUCCUUGCAGCCCAGCUCUACCGUUUUUUUUUCAAAGUGGGGGCUUCUGCUUUUUUUUUUCUAACAUUUCUACCGAGCAAAGUUGCAACAGAACGAAUCAUUUCUUUUCAUUUAUGCUUUAUAGAUUAGUUCCUUUACUAGUCAUAUAGUCCCAUUAUAUUACUGUUAGAUUUGUUAUUGGACGGUUUGAAACAUUAGAUCUGUCAAACUUGCAACGAUUUAUAAUAAAGAUUUAAAAAAGCAUUAACCGCAGCUAUUAAAAACAUGUUUGUUAUUGCAUUUAAAACAGAGAGACCAAUUUGCCAACAAGCUAUUAUAAUACAACCCACAGGUUGAUUGAUGAAACCCCGACCCCAAGAUCUGGGGACCGCUGAAGAACACAUUGAAAAAUCUUGCAUUUUACCUUAGUUUUUACAAGAGACAGAUGAACUGUCAUCGCGCGCGACGUGUUCCCUACGGCGAAAAUAAUGCAGUGGCUGUCAGCUUGUUAGUGGUUGUGGAAAAUUACACGCUAUGAACAAAGAAGAAGGUUGCUGCAUUCAUUCUUCUUUAUUUGGCUUAUUGUCCCGUUAAUUCUUCGAGGAAAUUCCCAAGUUUUUGUUUUACAUCAUAUUAAUUCAAUGGCUGGUAACACACACGACUCUCGUCUCUCUGUUACGUUCCUUUUACUUUUCACCAUGGUUUUUGAACCCUAUCCAAGGUUGAUCUGGAGCAAAUCUUGGAUUGUGGGUCAGGUGAAACUUGAGAAGGUUAUUUAUCAAGAACUCUCAAAUCCUACCAAUGUCAAUUCUAACUUAAGCAACAUCGUCUUUUUAUUUGUUAAUAAUAUAUUAAAUAAAAAUCAAGAUUCAAAUUAAUUUAAAUAAUAUAGUUAAAUGAAAACAAGAUUUCAAUUAAUUUCACUCUUUCUUUUAUUUUUUUUUCAAAACCUUCACCAUUCUAAUCCUUCUCAGCUAUCAUGUCUCCCUUCUUUGAUAUUGUUAUCAAAUAGCAAAAGUGCAAAUAAUCAUGCUCUUGGAGACAGAUUUGUCAGAGAGUCGCCGUGCGGAAUAACCUUCACCAUUCUAAUCCUUCUCAGCUAUCAUGGCUCACCUUCUUGGUUCUGGCUGGUGCCUGCGGUUUGGGCUCCAUCUUGAACAUUAUUAUAAAUAGCUAAAAGAUAUCAGUGUUUUAGAAAAAGCAUUGAUUCAUGUUGUUUUAUGUUUUUUUUUUUAAGUUGUUUUUUUAUGUUUUUAAAAAAUUAUUUUUUGCUUUUUUCUUUGUUUUUUUUCUUUUAACAAUUUUUUUUUAAUUUAGUUUAUUAAUGUUUUAUUAAUGUUAAAUUUUUUUAUUUAGUUAUCAGACUUUCACGACACGUUUUCCGGAUUUAAUGAGUUAACCUGGUUUGACAAGUUAACCUAUAAUUUUUUUUAUUUGCUUUUUAUUAUUUUUAAUUAAUUUUUUUAGUUUAGUUUAGUUGUUAAUGUUAAAUUUCUUUCUAUUUAGUUAUUAGACUUUCAUGACAUAUAUCCCGAGUUUCACGGGUUAACCUGGUUUCACGGGCGAACCCAGUUAAUUUUGGGUUGACCCGUCAAUUUAUUUAUUUUUUAUUUUCAUAAAUUUUUUUGUUUAAUUUAGUUUGUUAAUGUUAAAAUUUUUUUUAUUUAGUUAUCAGACUUUCAUGACAUAGAUCCUAGGUUUAACGGGUUAACAUGGUUUGACAAGUUAACCUGGAUUUGUUUUUUGAUUUUUUCUUUUUAAUUAAUUUUUUUCGUUUAGUUCAGUUUGUUAAUGUUCACUUUUUUUUUUAAUUACCAGACAUUCAUGACAUCGAUCCGGGGUUUAACGGGUUAACUUGGUUUGACGAGUUAACCUGAUUUUUUUUUUUUGCUUUUUUUUUUUCUUUUAAAUUAAUUUUUUUCGUUUAAUUUAAAUUGUUGAUGUUAAAUUUUUUUCUAUUUAGUUAUCAAACUUUCAUGACACGGAUUCUAGGUUUGACAGGUUAACCUGGUUUAACGAGUUAGCCCAGUUAAUUCUGGGUUAACCCAUUAAUUUGUUUUUUCAUUUUUAAUUAUCAAACUUUCACGAUGCGAAUUCAAGGUAUGACGGGUUAGCCUGGUUUGAAGGGUUAACCCAAUUAAUUCAUUUUUUUUUCUUUUUCUUCAUUAGUUUUUUUCUUCAUGUUGGUUUUUUUUCAUUGUUUUUUUCUUUUUAACUAAUCUAUUUAAUUAUCACACUUUUAUAACACGACCUUGCAGUUAAACCCACGUCCAAUGCUAUUGGGUCUGGUAUUGCAGUCCAGACACUUUUAUGCUAAGGGUUAACCCAAGUUUAAUGUUAUUGUUAAUAUUAUAAAUAUUACUUUUGGAUCAGGCGUUGCAACUAAACCUGAGACUUUUGGGUAUAACUUUGCAAAAAAAACCUAACAUUUUUAGAUCUUGACUAUUUUUGAAAUGCAAAAAAUAAUUGACUCGUGGCAUCGCGCGGGGCAUAUAACUAGUUCUAACUACGAGGAUAAGGCCUGUCUAUGAGAUGCUUUAUGCUGGGGGUUCUUUCAGGCUUCCUCAAACUUCAAAUCACUAAGAUGCUCGAAGUGGAAUAUGAUAAGUUGAGGCCAUGGGAAGCCAUUCUCCUGAAGCACAUGACAUGGUAGAUAUUCCGGCUAUGUAAAUUCACUUUUUUAGAAUUUGCACAAUGCGUUGCAAGUUUGAGUGCCAACCCAGGAAAUCAACAGUCAUCUAAUUUAGUGUAAUGGUUCAGCUCAAAUCUUUGAGUGGUUUUUUUGAAUUGGAUAACUGCUGUUUUCGAUCUAUAAUUUAGUUUAGAUUGCAUGCAUUUUUAUAUAAUUAAGUUCAUCAUGAUCAAAAUAAAAUCAUGGCAUACAUAUUAAAUAGACAUUAAAACUUGCAAUGUAUAGCAAAACAAUUUUUUUUUUUCCGGAUAAAAGUUACUGUAUUAAAGGGAAGAAACUAUAUAAAGCACGAGGAGCAUACGUCAAGAAGUAUAAAUGCUUGUUACCUAGUCUAUUUGACAAAAAAUAACAAGAAAACGAAGCAAAAGGUAUAAAAAAACUAAAAAAGAACAAAAGCAGAUUGUGAAAAUAAAUAGUAGAUGAGUCAAUUGACAGGUUGAUUACAUAUAAAACUAUGAUAAACAAAAUUUCAAAAUUAGCAAGAGUAAUUAUAUUUCAUGACUCUCAGAGGCACCAAAUGGAACUGAAAAUAGCUGGGAUAUGAAACCUGGUUCGAGCUCUAUGAAACGGGACUGAACCAAAUAAAAAAUGUCUUUGCAAAUAUCCUGAUGAGAUCAAUAAAUCUUAUGAAAAACUUGAUUAUUUCUCUCACACUAGAUGAAGUAAAUUGAGGUAGAAAAGGCUAGCCAAGUAAAUUGAGUUUCUGUGUUACUGUUCAAUAACUGAUAAAAGUUUUCCCCAGCGGGCAUCAAACUAGCUGGAAACAAAAAGAAAAACACACGCCGUGUCAUGCCAGAGGGGAAGAAGCACCAAAUGGGACGUUAUUAAUUCGAGACUGUAAAACAUAUAUCCAUAGAAUCAAUACGGAGACAGUGGGAUUGUUAAUCCAACAACGUAAAAUAUUAGCUUUCCAUGAUGGUUUAGCAUUUUACCAAAAAAAUAUAUCACACUUUCUACUUGUUUAUAAGCUCUACUCGUUUUGAAAUCCACCCUCUUAAAGAAACUGAAUUCUUAGUUUUUCCACUAAAAAAAUCCUUGAUUUUUCUAGAAUAUUUAAUUCUUGAUUUAUAGUGUUAACUAAGAACAAGAUCCUCUCCGAACAAUUUUAAUUAACAAUAAUUAGUUGUUUGAUUAACAGUACUUUCGGACCAUUGUUGUUUAAUUAUCAAAUUAUGUGAUAAUUAAUGAAGUCGGUGCUAGAAUUAACGAAUUAUUAAAAAAGAAAAAAAAUUGAGACAGAUUAGUUUAUUGCAUAAUUUUAACGCCGAACCAACGGAUGAGAAAAUAUUAGCAUUGGUUGAGUAAAAAGAAUAAGGACCAUUUGUAAACAUGCCAAAUAAAUGGAGGGCAUAUUUCUAUUUUUCCUCUCGUCAUUUCUUCAUAUCUUUCACUUCAGAGUUGGGAUUACUUCCUCUGUACUCAAAUAUUUUUCCAGAUCGAGGCAAGUCCUUCAGACAUCUUGAUCUUUAAAAUAUGCAGCCACUACCUACUUGGGCUAUCUUUAAUGAUCAUGUUGUAAUCCAUUUUUGGGUCUCCACAAAAAAAUAAAGUAAAUAGCCAAAGAAGUUCAGAAAAUGGUCGGAAGAUUGGUCAAGGAAGUUAAAAAAUACAAAAAUUGGAUUUUUGACAGUAUUUUCUUGAAGGAUGAGAGCCCUGUUGAGAAGGAAAAUUUGAAUUUUGAGGAGAAAAGCCCAAAUUUGGAUGUUUAUGGACUUAAUUGGAUUUUAUUUGAAUUUAUAGAGGAUUUGAGUGCAAGAAAAAUUGAUUUUUAAGUCAAUUUGGGCUUUAAUUAGAAGAAAUUUAAGUUCUGGGGCCAAAAUAUUUUUUUUUGGAAUUUAUUAGGUCAAAUCAGGGGCUUAAUUGCAUAAAUAUUGAAGUUUAAUAGCCAAUUAGGGGCUCAAUUGUGAAAAUCCGAAACCAGGGACCAAUUUGGAGAACGCGGGUAAAUAGAGGGGGCUGUUUUGAAUUGAUCCAGGGGCGUAAUUGAAGAAAUUGGAAGUUUAUUGAUCAAUUGAGGGCUUAAUUGCAUAAAUCAGAGGCCAAGGAUCAAGGUGAAAAACGCGGCCAACUACGGGGGCGAGGACCGAAAUUGGCAGGGACGCAAUUGAAAGAAACAAAAGAUAAUUAAGGGUUGAUUUGAAAUUUGGCGCUUUCUGGCGCCAUUUUUAAAUGAAACGGCGCGUUUUCCCCAAAACAACGUCGUUUCAUACACAAAAAAAAAAGGACCGAACGGUGCCGUUUUGAACGGCACUGUUCCCCUUUCUUCUUCCCCCUGAACGUGCAGCAAGCAUGGGAAGAAAACUUGUUUAAUCAUCCGGUGCCGCUCUCUCCUCGCGUGCGCUGACAAUACCACGUUGCCCUGCUCAACCCAUGCUGUCCUGCUCCUCACGCUGCCCUGCUCAACCCAUGCAGCCCCGCUCCCUUUGCCCCCCUAUAAAAGAAGGGGGGAGACCUGAAGCAAAGCAGGAAGAAAGAAAACGAAAAAAAACCGAGACCAAUAGAGAGAGAUAAGAAAAAAAACCGGGGGAAGAAAAACGAACCAGAGAAAAAGGAGACUGAAACCGAAGGGAAGUUGAACGAGAGAAGAGAGAACGGAGAGAAAGGAAGGAAAGAAUACCGGGGGGGAGUUUUUGAACAAAGAGAGAAAACGAAAUAGAGAGAGGAGGGAAGAAGUCAGGGAAGUUUGAAACAGAAGGGGGAGCACAGACACACCAGUAUUGCCAAGGAUCGUCAUUUUUUAGCUCAUCAUUCUUCACACACGUUGUAACACCAUAGAAGAAAAGGAAGAGGCCUGCACCUCGGUACAAACAGAGAAAACAGCGGCAAAACACCGCCCGCCACCGCAGAGAAGACCCACCGUCGCACUGCCAUCAUCAUCACCGCCAGCUGCCACUGUCUUCCCAUCCGACAACAACACCGUGAGGAACAGAAUGAGGAAGCAGAAGCAGAGGAGAACAUAGCUGAAGAAAAAAAAACACAGAGAAGAAAGAAAAGCCGACCACCGUCCAAGCCACUCAUUAGGCCGCCGCCACCAGCACCUCCACGAAGCAGCUGCAGAGAGGGAAGAACAUUGUUGACAGAGGGAGCAAAGGAAAUAAAGAGAAGAACAACGCCAAAACAGUAAGGAAGAGGAAGAGGAGCCGCAGCAACGCCACCGCCAAACCAGCCACUGCCACUGUCAGAACCAUCGUGAGCCCUCAUUGGCUUCCUCUCCACCGCCACCAGCAUCACUGUGAGUGUUCGGCGUCGUCUUCGCUCCUUUCGGUUCCACGUCCAGGUAAGCGUUUUGCGUCUCUGUGCAGGUGAUUUCCUUUGGCAUUUUCACUGUGCAAGUGAAUUAUAAUUCACUUGAACAGUGAAAUGCAAAUGUUACUGUUCAAGUGAAUUAUAAUUCAAUUGAACAGUACCAUAUGUUACUAUGUGUGUCUUCUUUUGCAUGUUACUGUGCGCGGUUUCGUUUUGCAUUUUUACUGUUCAUAGUGAAUUAUAAUUCACUUGAACAGUACCAUUUGUGUAUGGUAUUAAGGAUGCACGCGUGAGCUUCCACCCAGGACACUGGCUCGGGCUAGUGACCUGGUUAGGCCUGCUGGGUCAAGCCCAGCCAUAUGGGCCGAACGGGGCCCAACCUAAAUUUUUUUUAUUUAUUUAAAAAUAAAAAUUCUGCAAAAAAAAUUAUUUUGAAAAAUAAGUGAUUUUCUGCAAUUCUGUUACUGCAUUUUGAUCAAUAUCGGUUUGUAUUUUUAUACUGUAAAGAUACAGAUCCGGUAUUAAAAUACUCGAUUUUCGUCAAGUCAUCAAAAAAAUAAAAAGUAAAAAAAAUGUUUUGUUUUCAUGCAUACGGCCUAGUCUCUCCAAUAUAUAUAUAUAAAUAUUAUAACAUCGUAUUUUCACACAACAAAGGAAAUUUCAAAACAAUAUAUGUAUUAGCAUGCAUUUUGGCUUUAAUAACCAGUUUAUUCAAGCCAUGAGAACUAGGCCAAUAUUUCAAAAAUUCCAAAAAAAUUAUUGUGUUUUCUUUUAGUAUAUGGGGUUACGAUCUUAUACGUAAGACGUAUUCCGAAUAUUAAAUUCUUUUGCCAUUAAGAUGAGGAUCUCCUUACCGAGGAGGACUUUUUUGAACCAUACCAACAACUAGGAAAGCACGAAAAGACCUUAGAUUUUAUCAGACAAUAAAACAAUGCAGCUUACCUUAGGUAAGGCGUAUUUGGGGUGCUAAUACCUUCCCUUUACGCAACCAGUCCCCGUACCCGAUCUUUGAGACCAGUUAGGGUUCCUAGUGACCAAAAUACUAGGUGGCGACUCCCAUUCCAUUUUCCACCCACAAAAGACAAUUUUUUCUUGUAUCCCCAUAGAUAUAGAUAGAAUUACAUUGUAGAUAAGAAAAUGGAACAACUAUAUAAUUUUCACCGUGACGCCGCACACGUGCGACAGAAUGGCGACUCCGCUGGGGACCUUGUAGAUUAAGCUUUGUUUUUGUCUGAUUUGUUUGUGUUUUCGUGUGUUUAUUGUUCAUAUGCCUUUCCUUUUAUUUGAGUAAUUUUUUUUUAUUUUUUUUUACGCGUAUUAUUCAUGCAUUGUGUAAAAUUGUCUCAUGCAUCACUUGCUUUUAUUUUGAGAAGCACACACAAGCCUUAAGUUAAGUGGGGAAUUAGCGAAUUACCCUAAGACUAUUGGUCAGGGUUUAAAUGCGUGAAACACCCAACUCAUAUCUGAGUGCCUGCUUGGUAAUGGUGGGCAUACGUGUCUUAACUAUUCCUUGCAACGCCCCCAUACCGUCUUUACGAAGAACGUCACUGGGCAGAUAUGAAACCCUUCAAGACUAGAUAGAAAACCUACCCACUCUCACUUAAUAAAUAGAGCUUAUCCUUAGGUUAUGUAUCUUAUUUGCAUCAAGAUUAAUAAUGUUAAACUCAUCGCACAUCACUUGUGCAUCACAUCUUCAUCACGCAUUUUUGUUUUUACAUUAUCAUAUGCAUUCCAGAUCGUGAAACAUAGGUCCCACGUCCAGAGUCCACCACACCCGGUUCAGAUGAAGGAUGAAGAAUACUGUAGAGUCAUCAAAACCUCAAGGAUGUGUUGCAAGCACCUUAGAAGAUGGAGAGGUUUUAUAUAGUGAAUCAACAACAAUCUCUACAGAUAGAGAAGAGCUCACUGAGGUCUGGCUAAUGGAUUCAGGAGUAACAUGGCAUAUGACUCCUAAUCGGGAUUGGUUCCAUACAUAUGAACCCAUCUCUGGAGGCACAGUGUUCAUGGGUGAUAAUCAUGUAUUAGAGAUUGAUGGCAUUGGCACCAUCAAAUUGAAGAUGUAUGAUGGCUUAAUUCGUACUAUUUCAGGAGUGCGACAUGUGAAAGACUUAAAGAAGAAUCUUUUAUCCGUAGGACAAUUUGAUAGUCUUGGCUGUAAGAUUCGAACAGACAAUGGAAUCAUGAAAAUUGUCAAAGGCACGCUAGUGGUUUUAAAGGCAAGAAAGACAAUUGCAAACAUGUUUGUAGUAAUGAGAGAAAUACAUCAUGGGGCAGAAGUGUCAAUCGCAUCAGCCAGUCCUGCAGAAGAGAAGACGAUGAUGUGGCAUCAAAAACUAGGCCACAUGUCAGAGAAAGGUUUAAAGGUUCUCUCUGAUCAGAAGUUACUCCCUGGGCUUACAAAGGUUACUUUACCUUUUUGUGAGCACUGUGUUACAAGUAAACAACACAGGUUGAAGUUUGGCACGUCAACAACUAAGAGCAAAUGCAUCUUAGACCUGAUUCACUCUGAUGUUUGGCAAGCACCGGUUGUAUCCUUGGGAGGAGCAAGAUACUUUGUAUCAUUCAUAGAUGACUUCUCCAGGAGAUGUUGGGUGUAUCCGAUUAGAAGGAAGGCAGAUGUGUUCAGUUUUUAAAACCUUCAAAGCGCGGGUAGAACUUGAAUCUGAAAAGAAGAUCAAGUGUUUGAGGACUGACAAUGGAGGAGAAUAUACCAGUGAUGAAUUUGAUAACUUCUGUCAACAUGAAGGUAUCAAAAGGCAGUUCACAACGGCAUACACUCCACAACAAAAUGGAGUGGCAGAGCGGAUGAACAGAACUCUAUUGGAAAGAACAAGAGCAAUGUUGAAGGCUGCAGGUCUAGAAAAGUCAUUCUGGGCAGAAGCAGUCAAUACCGCCUGUUAUGUGAUAAAUCGAUCUCCGUCAACUGCAAUUGAGUUGAAGACACCGAUGGAGAUGUGGACUGGAAAGCCAGCUGAUUAUUCUCGAUUGCAUAUAUUUGGAAGUCCUGUGUACGUGAUGUACAAUACUCAAGAGUCAGCAAGCUGGAUUCAAAAUCCAGAAAAUGUAUUCUUGGGAUAUGCUGAUGGAGUGAAGGGGUAUCGCUUGUGGGAUCCCACUGCCCACAAGGUAGUCAUCAGCAGAGAUGUCAUAUUUGCAGAAGAUAAAAUGCAAAUGGAAGAAAAUAAUAGCAUUUUAAAGGAGACUACAGAAGUCCAGAUGGAAAAUACUCAGAAUCAUACUUCUUCUGAAGCUGCACCAAAGCAUGAAGAACAAGAACAAAUAGAGUCUGAAACUCUUGAAGUUCGAUGGUCAACUUGUGAAAGAAGACCACCGGCUUGGCACUCAGAAUAUGUUACUGAGAGCAAUAUUGCAUACUGUCUUCUAACAGAGGAUGGAGAGCCAUCAACUUUCCAUGAGGCUAUCAAAAGCACAGAUGUAUCUAUAUGGAUGACAACAAUGCAAGAGGAGAUUGAAGCUCUGCACAAGAAUAACACUUGGGAUCUUGUUCCGCCAUUGGCAACAAAUGGGUUUACAAGAUAAAGCGUGAUGGAAAUGAUCAAGUGGAGCGGUAUCGUGCAAGAUUGGUGGUGAAAGGAUAUGCUCAGAAAGAAGGAAUAGACUUCAAUGAGAUAUUUUCUCUGGUGGUAUGACUUACUACAAUCAGAGUAGUUUUGGCGAUGUGUGCUAUAUUUGAUCUUCACUUAGAGUAGUUAGAUGUGAAAACUGCAUUUCUUCAUGGAGAACUUGAAGAAGAAAUUUAUAUGCUCCAACCAGAGGGUUUUGCUGAAACAGGCAAGGAGAACUUGGUUUGCAGGUUGAACAAAUCUCUAUACGGUCUCAAACAGGCGCCGAGGUGUUGGUACAAGAGAUUUGAUUCCUUCAUAAUUAGCCUUGGGUACAACAGACUCAGUUCAGACCAUUGUACGUAUUACAAGAGGUUUGAAGAAAAUGAUGUUUUCAUCAUUCUGUUGUUGUACGUGGAUGACAUGUUGGUAAUAGGCCCCAACAAAGAUCGAGUCCAAGAAUUGAAGGCACAGUUGGCUAGGGAGUUUGAUAUGAAGGACUUGGGACCAGCAAACAAGAUUCUAGGGAUGCAAAUUCACCGAGACAGAAGUAAGAGGAAGAUUUGGCUUUCUCAGAAGAAUUAUUUGAAGAAGAUCUUGCGACGCUUCAACAUGCAAGAUUGUAAGCCAAUUUCCACCCCACUUCCUGUUAACUUCAAAUUAUCCUCAAGUAUGUCUCCUAGCAAUGAAGCAGAGAGGAUGGAGAUGUCUCGAGUACCGUAUGCAUCAGCAGUGGGAAGUUUAAUGUUUGCCAUGAUAUGUACAAGACCAGACAUUGCACAAGCAGUGGGAGCAGCUAGUCGAUACAUGGCAAAUCCUGGUAGAGAGCAUUGGAAUACUAUCAAGAGGAUCUUGAGAUACAUCAAGGGUACCUCAGAUGCCGCAUUAUGUUAUGGAGGAUCAGAAUUCACUGUCAGAGGUUAUGUUGACUCAGAUUUUGCUGGUGACCUUGAGAAAAGAAAAUCCACUACAGGCUAUGUGUUCAUAAUUGCAGGAGGAGCUAUGAGCUGGGUCUCUAAACUUCAGACUGUUGUAGCGUUAUCCACAACAGAAGCUGAGUAUAUGGUAGCUACACAAGCUUGUAAAGAAGCAAUAUGGAUGAAGAAACUUAUGGAGGAGCUCGGGCACAAACAAGAUAAGAUUCUUUUGUAUUGUGAUAGUCAGAGUGCCUUGCAUAUUGCAAGGAAUCCGACGUUUCAUUCAAGAACAAAACAUAUAGAUGUUCAGUAUCACUUUGUUCGUGAAGUGGUGGAAGAUGGAAGUGUGGAUUUUCAGAAGGUGUGAACACAAAGGAAAACCCAACAAUGCAUCCAAGCAUUAUAUGCACACAAAAGAAGAGAAAACAAGAGUAGAGUGAAGAAAGAUUAAUUCCACUAAGUUGUGAGGUAUUUGUGAGAGAGUAAGUGAGGUGUUUUCUCCUAGUAAUAGAGAGAUUCUUAGUUGUUCUUCUAUUAUCUGAGAGAGGUUGUAAUUCCCACAUUACUUAGUAAAAUCCUUCUAUACUUGCCCGUGGACGUAGCCCAAUUGGGUGAACCAUGUAAAUUCUUGUGUGUCUCAUUUCUCAUUUUAUCCUAUCCUUUACCUUGUCUUGUCGGGUUUGCAUGCCAGUAUCCUAACAGAAACAUGGUGCUGCUAUAUAUAGUUCUUAAUACUGCUGUCAUUUUUUAUGCUGCACAUACUUUCUGCAUUCACUUUCCUGCUUUGGAUUAUACUGCUAUGAUUUUCUAUGACCGUUCUGGUUUUUCGUUCCUGCAAAAGUGUUCUUCAAUUGGUUGGAAGUCUUGCUUCUGCAGAUGCCUUGUUGUAUGCUGGUAUUGGUGUCAAUUGUUAAUGCAUUAAUUUUUGGUUUUGAUUACCUUCUGGUGGUGAUCAUUUCAAGUCAACAUUGAUAUACUUGAGUAUCAUGGAAGCUUUGGCUUCUGAUUUUGUUUUUUUUUUAUCUGUUAGAGUUCAUAAUAACUAUAAUAAUAAGUGACGAUUUUUUUAAACAAGACUUUUCUCAUAGAAAACAAGAUCUAAAAAUUUAUUUUUUUAUUUUAAAAUUAUUUUUAAGACUGCUGUAAUGUUGGGUGCGAUAUAUUAUAAAUCAAUAAUAAAAAAAAUCUUAUUACUAUAAAAAGCUUUUAAUCAACAUGAAAAUCCUAUUUUUUUAAUUUUUAAGUUUUAUUAAGUAGAAUAAAACUACAAAAAAAAAUGAUUGAUUGUAAUAUUUUUAUUUUUAAAGACUAUAUUAAGAUUCUCAAUAAAUAUUUCAAUAUAAUUCUAUUAAUACUUAAAAAAUAAUAUCAUUACUUCUUUAAAUAUUUUGAAAGAAUAAAAAGAGCAUGCGAAAAAAAAAGGGUAAAGAAUGAAAUUUUUUUUUUGGAUGAGGAGGCGAGCUUGGUUUGCGUGCUGGGAAUGCAAGUGUAGAGUCGCGAGUGCCGGAGUUUUCAACGGUAGCAAACUCCUCUAUUUUUAGUUUUAUAAAAUUACAUGAAUAUUACAUCCCACGUUGGUUUUCUUUAUAAUAUUUUAGGGUCAAUUAUAUUGUAGUCCUUGUAGUUUAUUUAAAAUAAUUAAUUAGUCCUUGUACUAUAGGACAAAAAUGAGUAAUUAGUUCAUUGACAAACAUUGACCAUUUCAAUUUUUUGGUGUUUUUUUUUGUUGUUUUAGAAAAUAUCUUUUUUUUUUAUCAACUCUUUCUACCUUAUUUUGAUCUCUGUUUCUUCUUUAUUUUUUUAUCUAUAAAAAACAAAAAAAAAGUAUAGGAAAAUAAAAAUAAGAUUAAACUAUAAAUGAAUUUAAGAAAAUAUAAAAAAAUAAUAUAUAAUUUCUGAAAAAGUGUUUACUUUUCUUAUCUGUCACUCCAUCUAUUGAACAUUGCGAGCAUCCUCUGAGAAUUAAGUUGCAUCGGUUUUUCUUCUGUUAUAUGCUCCAGAUAUUGAUGCUCGUAGAUGGAGAAAACAUAUGCAUAAGAAGCAUAGCUCAUGUUCUGCCAAAAUGUCAUGUGAAUGUUACUUGUCAUAUUUCCAUGAGCUUUUGUCUUUGGCACAUCCUCAAAUUUCUUUAUCAGUCCAUUGUAAUUGUCUGACUGUCGGUUCCAAAAGAAUACAGACUGCACAGGCUACAAUAUUUUUGUGGUGUUGUAUUACUUUGAUGUGCUGGACAUUUAUUCCUUGCAGAUCAAAAACAAUCCCUCGGACAAUAUGGAUGACAUGCACUCAAGUAAUGAUGAUUAUAACGUACCUGUUGUUUGCUUCUGCAAUUGAUGGUAUCCUUUACGCCGCAACAGCAUUACUUGGGAUCAGCGGAAAUUUUGAAGAAAAAUAAGAAUGUUUCAAUGGAAGAAAGGUUUCUCUGUUUCUUUGAAUAUUAACGUGAAUAUACCACUUACUAUUCUAUACGAGCUGCUGUUUUUUAUAACAUUACAAGUUGCUUAAUUUGGAUACAUUGACUUGCCUAAUUCUUAGCUGAUCUAUUUCCAUAACAAUCCAACGUCUCUUUCUCUUUUUGGUUCCUGUCAUAAACUUCAUUGCUGCUGCUGUUGAUUUAUUUCCAUAACAAACCAACGUCUCUUUCUAUUUGUGUUUUGUUACCAUGAGAGUUGGUUUGUUUCCAUUGUUGCUGGUGAUUCUAAUUAGCCAACGUCUCUUUAAAGAAUAACUUUUUGGCCGCUUAACCCCCAUCCUCCUCCUCCUCCUCCUCCUCCACCUUUAUAUUAAUUUUUAAUUAACAUUAUUUACAUUUAAAAUUUUUUUUAAUGUUUUUUUGAAACACAUUCAUUUUGUAAUGAAUAUUAUUUCACUUUGAGUUUUUGUUGCUUAAUAUAAAUUUUAUUUGCAUAAUUGGUUUGUAUUACCAUUAAUUUAUAUCAUUUUUUCAAAAUAAUUAAAAAACAAUUAAAAAAAAAACAAUUACACAGGGAUUUACCGACGGAAUAACUCCGUCGGCAUUGGACAGUGUCUACCACCGUCACCCACGGAACAAAUCCGUCGGUAUAAAUUCCCCGACGUAUUUACCGACGGAAAUAUUCGGUCGGUAUAAAAUAUCACCGACACUUUUGCCGACGGAUUUAUUCCGUCGGUAUUUUUAUAACACCGAUGGAAAAUAUUCCGUCGGUAUAUUCCAAGCGGGAAACUUUUUUUUUUUUGGCGCGCACGGUCCGUUGGUAAAAGUUUUUUUUGUAUUUCCGACCGAUAUAGCGACGGAAUGUAGAAUCACCGACAAAAGGUAUUCCGACGAGAGUAUUCCGUCGGCAAUUUAGUCGGUAAAUACGUUACCGACGAAAUGUCUAUCACACACCGACGAAAUAUGUCCGUCGGUAAAACUGUGAAAUCUUGUAGUGUUUGAUUUGUUUCCAUGUUGCUCGCUGACUGCUGCAGUUAAUUUGUUUCCAUGAGGGCUGAUUCGUUUCCAUGUUGGUUUCCACGUUGCUGGCUUACAGAUGCUGUUGAAUUGUUUCCAUGAGCAUCUGUCUUAUUACCAUUGUCACACCCCACAAAAAAUAUGGUGCGCGGCAUCGCCUGGCGAUUUUCGUUGUGUUCUAAUGAUUUGGUUCUUUGGAGUCGCCACCUAGUAUUUGGUCACUAGGAACCCUAACUGGUCUUUCAAAGAUUCUAAGGCAAGGGACUGGUUGCGUAAAGGGAAGGUACUAGCACCCCUAGUACGCCCUACCUAAGGUAAGCUGCUUGGUGUUUGGUUUGCUCUAUAGUCUAUGGUGUUGGUGUCUUCUAAACCCGUCAAUUUAUUUUGGAUAGAAACCGAAGGAGAUUCCAUGUGCUUUGAAAGCUCAUUUUUCCCUUAGUAUUUCAAGAGUUGGCGACUCGUAAAUCGCAAGGAAAAAGAAAAAAAGAACGAAGAAAAUUUCACAAUUCUUAAAAAAAACAAAUAUAUAUUUGGUUGUUUGUUUUUCAUAUAUAUAUUGGUUUUUAUAUAUACUUUGAUUUGUAUUUUUUAUAUUAUGGGGUACAAUUUUCAGUGUUAAAAAAAAAACACCCGUUUUCGUAAAAAAAAAAAAUAUAUUUCUUGCGUGUUGCAUACGGCCAAUACUCUAACAUGUUUUGAAUUUUCUUUUUAUAGAUAAAAAAAAAAUAUUGGAAGCUUUGAAAGUGUGUUUUCGUAUAGAUUUCUUAAACACAAAUUUAUUUUCUUGCAUUUGUGGAUUUUACAACAUGUUUGUAAAACUCCAAAGGGUAUUGGCCAAUAUUCCAAAAACUAUAAAAAUUUUAUUUUUUUAAAAAAAUAUAUACAUGUACAUGCAUAAUAUAAUAAAAUAAUAAUAUAAUAUAAUAUAUUAAGUGGGCUGGGCCGGCCCAACUAACUGGGCCGGACUCCAGCCCCAAAACGUUGGGCCGAACUCGACCCAACAAUAUCUGGUCUUGAUCUGGGCCGGACCGGCCCAGACCUAAAUCAUUGGGCCUGACCCUGUCUGGCCCAAAAGAAGGAAAGAAUGAACGGGGGGAAUUAUUCCCCCCCCCCCCCGUGCCUCCUGCAUGCAGAGACGAUUCUGCAUGCAGGAGGCCAACCAAAUGCCAGCCUCUAAAGAAGAUGCACGGGGGGUCAGGGUAGCGUACCUGGCGCAGCGGAGACGGCGGCUUGCUGGCGGAGGCUACGAUGGCAGCGGCUUAUCUCGCGGUGGUUUUCAAGAGGACCGAGACCCACUCCUUCGGUUCGUUUGCUUUUGUUUCAAAUGCUUGAGUCCACUCUCGGUUUCAACUAUCCCAAGCUGCUUCACCCUGUGUUUCCAGUCGCUGUUUCUGAAGUUGUGGUUUCUCUCUCCUUCGGUCUCUCUCUCUCUCACUGUCUCGUUUUUUGUCUUUCUUUUUCGGGUCACUCCUUCGGUUUUUUUUUCUCCCUCCUCUCUCACUCUGCUUCUUCUCUAUUUAUAGGCAUAUCGGGGCAUGCAUGGGGUAACGAAGCGUGCUGGUCGGCAGGCGCCGUUGCCGAGGUGCUUCUCUCGGUUUCGGGGGUUCCAAGGUGUGGAGCGUUGGGCCAUGGCACGUGAGGAGAGAGGCGGGGACAAAAACCCCGGUUUUCCUCUUCUCUGCUACGCCUGCGGGGGGGAAGAAGAAGAGAAACAAUGCCGUUCAAAACGGCACCGUUUGGUCUCUAUUCCUUUUUUUUUUUUUUUAAACGCAUGAAACGGCGUCGUUUUGGAGAAAACGCGCCGUUUCAUUUAAAUGUGGUGCCAGAAACGCGCCAACGUUCAUAUCAGUCCCCCAAUUAUUUUUGUUCCUUUCAAUUGCGUCCCUGCCAAUUUCGGCUUCGUCCGCCUAGUUGGCCGCCUUGUCCACUUUAGUCCUUGGCCUCUGAUUUAUGCAAUUAAGCCCUCAAUUGAUCAAUAAACUUCCAAUUUCUUCAAUUAGGCCCCUCAAUCAAUUCCAAACAGCCCCCCUAUCUUUGCGCCUUUUUCAAAUUGGUCCCUGGUUUCGGAUUUUCAACAAUUAAACCCCUAAUUGGCCAUUAAACUUCAAUAUUUAUGCAAUUAAGCCCCUGAUUUGACUUAAUAAAAUCCUAAAAAAUAUAAUUUGGCCCCAGAACUUAAAUUUCUUCUAUUUAAAGCCCAAAUUGACUUAAAAAUCAAUUUUUCUUGCAAUCAAAUCCCCUAUAAAUCCAAUUAAAAAUUCAAUUAAGUCCAUAAACAUCCAAAUUUGGGCUUUUCUCCUCAAAAUUCAAAAUUCCCUUCUAAACAUGGCCCUCAUCCUUCAAGAAUAUACUGCCAAAAAAUCCAAUCUUUGUAUUUUUAUCCAAUCUUUGUAUUUUUAUAUUCCUUGACCAAUUUUCUGAUCAUUUUCCGAGCGCUUCUGCCUCCUGUUAUUUUUCUAACCUUCUUUGGCUAUUUAUUUUAUUUUUUUUGCGGGGACCCAAAAAUGGGUUACAACAGAUGCCCCCUCUUUAUAGAGCUUACGGAGCAAAGGUUUUGCGCAGUAAGUUUUAUAAAGAUAAUCCAAACUAAACUCCCGAAAACUGAUCUGGUCGAAGCUUGAUCGAUCUGAAACUCUUUCUUUACAACAAUCCUCUUCGGCCAUCGGAAUCCCAUCUGGUAAUUCCCUUUAACGAAAAUAAAAUAUGAGGUCCCUUCUGGCGACCCCUUUUGACAAAUAUCGAAAUACGAGAUCCCUUCUGGCGAUCUCCUUUAAUCAACUUGGAAUCCCAUCUGGCGAUUCCUAUUAACAAACAUGAAGUACGAGGUCCCAUCCGGCGACCCCAAAUAGUGAAACACGAGAUCCCUUCUGGCGAUUCAAACAACCUGGAAUCCCAUCUGGCGAUUCCUUUUAACCAACAUGAAAUGUGAGGUCCCAUCUGGCGACCUCCAAUAGUGAAACACGAGAUCCCUUCUGGCGAUCUCAACAACCUGGAAUCCCAUCUGGCGAUUCCUUUUAACCAAAUGAAAUACGAGGUCCCAUCUGGCGACCUCCAAAUAGUGAAACACGAGAUCCCUUCUGGCGAUCUCAAACAACUUGGAAUCCCAUCUGGCGAUUCCUUUUAACCAAUGAAAUACGAGGUCCCAUCUGGCGACCUCCAAAUAGUGAAACACGAGAUCCCUUCUGGCGAUCUCAAACAACUUGGAAUCCCAUCUGGCGAUUCCUUUUAUUCAAAUGAAAUAUGAAGUCCCUUCUGGCGACUCUUCAUCGAAAACGAGAUCCCUUCUGGCGAUCUCUUUUAACCAAACAACUUGGAAUCCCAUCUGACGAUUCCCUUUUACCGAUUGUUAUCGAUGUCGUUCUUCCUGCUGGCAGGAUUUGAAAAAUAUUAUCUUCUCUUCUUGUUGUUCUAGACUCAACUCAAUGAUUCUUUCUCGUCCACAAUCUUGUUGGAAUGCACUAAGAUCUCCUCCUGUAACGAUAAAAAACAUAUAUGCAAUGAUUUAUGAUUAGAUGCAAUGCAUGCAUUCGUACCUGGUUUUGAAACAUAGGCCCCAUCCUCUUCUAGUUCAUGAGACUCUUCUUAACAUGAGCUUGCUUUUGAAGUCGUAUGUGGAUUCAUCUCUCGUGUUGCCUUUUUACUUAUCAUAUUCUUGGAGAAGAAGUAUUUGACUUUCCUUAAGUAGUCCUUUUCUCAAAAUGUAAGACUUGUUAUUGCCUUUUGUCAUGCUUUUGUCAAAUGCUUUAGCUUGGUUUUCAAAUUAUAGGCUUCCGUAAAACUUUUAUAUAAAAAAUCUUGUAUUGCCCCCAGUGUAGGGGUGUGAUCCUAGUUUGAGCUUUUAUAUUAGAGAAGAAAUAGUUCAGUCGAUGCUAAAAUGAGUGAUGAGAUGCACUGUUAGGAUUAAUGCAAAAAUGAUUGUUGUGAGAUCAAUGCACAAAAGGAAAGAAAUCAAUGGCCAAACUUUGCUUUAUUGAUUUAGGGAACUACAUCAAGCGUAAUAUCUUUUUACAGAGUCAGAAUUCACAGGUCGAGCUAGGUCUUCUCCAUCCAUUCUAGCUAACUUCAACGCUCCUCCUGAGAAUGCCUUUGUUACUACAUAAGGACCCUCAUAAUUUGGUGCCCAUUUGCUUUGAUCAUCUCCGGGUAAUGACAAUAUUUUCUUCAAUACUAGAUCCCCUUCUUGAAACAACCGCGGUCUAACCUUCUUAUCAUACGCCUUAGCCAUUCGUUUCUGGUAAAGUUGGUGAUGACAUAUUGCGGCCAUCCUCUUUUCACUGAUCAGGUUCAGUUGCUCGUGUCUCACUCUGGCCCACUCGGCCUCUUCUAACUCAGAAUCUAUUAACACUCUUAACGACGGGAUUUCCACUUCCAAAGGCAUCACUGCCUCCAUACCGUACACCAAAGAAUAUGGGGUAGUCCCUGUCGAGGUUCGAACUGCGGUGCGAUAUGCAUGAAGGGCAAAUGGCAACAUCUCAUGCCAAUCCUUAUAGGUGACUACCAUCUUCUGAAUAAUCUUUUUGACAUUCUUGUUAGCAGCUUCUACCGCCCCAUUCAUCUUUGGUCUAUAUGGCGAAGAAUUGGAAUGCUUGAUUUUCCAUUUAGUGCAGAGCUCUAUUAUCAUCUUGCCGUUGAAAUUCUGGGCAUUAUCAGUUAUAAUCUUUUCUGGUGGACCAUACCGACAUAUCAAAUCUCUCUCAAUAAAUUUCUUCACCACUUUUUGUGUCACAUGAGCAAAUGACCCGGCUUCUACCCAUUUUGUGAAGUAGUCAAUAGCCACGAGGAUAAAUCUAUGACCAUUGCUCGCUUUUGGGUUUACAGGUCCAAUCACAUCAAUUCCCCACAUCGCGAAGGGCCAUGGAGAUGUUAAGUUAAACAGAGGAGCUGGUGGCAUAUUGACCUUGUCACUGUAAAUUUGACAUUUGUGACAUUUUCUGACAUAGUCGAUACAAUCUUUUUCUAGUGUCAUCCAAAAAUAACCAGCCCUUUGGAUUUUCCUUGCCAUCAUAUGCCCGCUAGCAUGGGUUGAGCAAAUCCCCUCAUGGACCUCUCUUAAUGCCUUUCUAGCAUCUGCCUCAUCCAAACACCUUAACAGGGUUCCAUCAAAUGAUCUUUUAUACAAAAUCUCUCCAUCUAAAUAGAAGCCUAUAGCCAACCUUCUCAAGGUUUUCUUAUCCGUUUUAGAAGCUCCCACCGGAUAUUCCUGAUUCUGCACAAGAUUCUUGAUAUCGUAAUACCAAGGUUGUCCGUCCAUCUCUCCUUCCACUAAACAACAAUGCGCUGGAUCGUUUCUAAUAUCAAUGUGUACCGGUUGUACCUUGCUCUUGAGGUCAAUGGUAGUCAUAGCCGCUAGUGUGGCCAAAGCAUCCGCAAAAUGGUUCCCCUCCCUUCCCAGAUGGGUGAAUCUAAUUUCUUCAAAUUCCUUUGCUAGCACGGAUAGGUAUUCCUGGUACGGCCUCAACUUUUCUUCUUUGGUUUGCCAUUCCCCUUUGACCUGGCAGAUGAUCAACAUUGAAUCCCCAUAUACAUCUAUCUUCUUUAUCUUUAACUCCAAUGCCGCUUCUAAACCGAGUAUACAAGCUUCAUACUCAGCUGUAUUGUUGGUGCACUCGAAAUGUAGUUUGACCGAAACUGGGUAUUGUUUCUUAUUAGGAGAGAUUAUUACCGCCCCUGCCCCGUUACCAUAUACAUUUACUGCCCCGUCAAAAAACAUGGUCCACCAAUCUGUCUUCUCUUCUUCCUUUUCUAUUGACAAUAUAUCUUCAUCAGGGAAAUCAAAAUCCAAAGAUUCGUAAUCUUCAAUAGCAUUAUCGGCCAGAUGGUCCGCGAUUGCACUCCCUUUUACGGCUUUCCUUGUCAUGUACACUAUGUCAUAUUCUGCUAAUAAAACCUGCCACCUUGCAAUUCGACUUGAGAGAAAAGGCUUAUUACAAAUAUACCUCAGGGGAUCCAAUUUUGAAAUCAACCAAGUGGUAUAGUAUAACAUGUAAUGUCGCAACCUCUUUGCCGCCCACACCAACGCACAACAAAGUUUUCUAUCUCCGUGUAUCUGGACUCACAUUCAGUGAAUUUCUUACUCAAGUAAUAAAUAGCUCUUUCCUUCCUUCCGGUUUCAUCAUGCUGACCCAAUACACAUCCCAUGGCUACUUCAGUUACGGUUAGAUAUAAUACUAGAGGUUUCCCUGAUACAGGAGGCACCAGUAAAGGUGGAUUUUGUAAAUAAUGCUUGAUUUUAUUGAAUGCCUCCUCACACUCCUCAUUCCAGGUUCCAGGAUUCUUUUUCCUUAGUAGUCGGAAUAUAGGCUCGCAUGUUGUUGUUAGCUGAGCUAUAAAUCGAGCAAUGUAAUUCAACCUUCCCAAGAAUCCUCUUACUUCUUUCUCCGUCUUAGGGGAUGACAUAGCUUGAAUGGCCCUUACUUUAUCUGGAUCCACCUCUAUACCUCUAUCACUUACCACAAAUCCCAACAGCUUGCCCGAUUUAACUCCGAAUGAACAUUUUGCAGGAUUAAGCCUUAGUUCAUACUUCCUCAACCUCUCGAAUAACUUCCUCAAAACUUCCACAUGAUCCUGUCCCUUUUUAGACUUGGCAAUCAUAUCAUCUACAUACACCUCAAUUUCUUUGUGCAUCAUGUCGUGGAAUAGAGUCACCAUUGCUCUUUGAUAUGUUGCACCUGCGUUCUUUAACCCAAAUGGCAUGACCUUGUAGCAGUAGGUCCCCCAAGGUGUGACAAAAGUUGUUUUCGCCUUAUCCUCUGAGCCAUUUUUAUUUGAUUGUAUCCUGAAAAACCGUCCAUAAAGGAAUAAGUGGAACUUCGGGCAGCAUUAUCCACUAAAACAUCUAUGUGUGGUAGAGGAAAAUCAUCCUUAGGGCUAGCUCUAUUCAAAUUCCGAAAAUCCACACAAACUCUAAUCUUCCCUUCUUCUUAGGCACCACAACAAUGUUAGAUACCCAUUGUGGAUAUCUAACUACUUCUAGAAAGCCAGCAUCCCAUUGCUUUUCGAGUUCUGCCUUGACCUUGAUCCAGACGUCCGGGUGGGCCCUCCUCAGUUUCUGCUUGACUGGCUUAUAACCUUCUUCCAACGGUAUCUUGUGUUCUACAAUACUUGUAUCCAAACCGGGCAUAUCUUCAUAGGACCAAGCAAAGACAUCUGAAUAUUCUUGUAAUAGGGUGAUCAUUUUUAUCCUUUGUUCAGAAGUAAUUAGGGUACCUAUUUUCAAUCUUUCUUGAGCUGACCAUUGCCCACAUUGAUGGUUUCGAGUUCCUCGGCGGCAGGCUUCCAAGCCUGUUCCUGUUGUUCUACUAGCCUGGUGAAUUCACUGAUAUUGCUUUCAUCCCACUCUUCUUCUUCCAUAGAUAUUACAUGCUCGUUCAAGUUUGGCCAUUUAUUCUUGAUGCUAGAUGUAUGUGAUGUUGUAGGAGAUCCGCUUUCAGGAUUCCUGAAAGCGGGAAGUGCUUGGUGUAAAUGCAUAUAUAUAAAAAAAUUUUUGAAAAAAGUGCAUGAUCUCAUAUUCAUUCAAAGGAAAAGGUGGGCUCCAAGACAAACAUAGAAUCUAGCUGACAUCAUGAGCCUUGAUUGUCAACUAGAGAAAAUAAAGCAAACAUAAGCAAUGACAAAAACAUUUUAAGGCAAACAAAGUUGGUUUACAUUUUGAAAACCACUGGAGCUUCUUGGGUCACCCAAUUCUGGAACUUUUCGCCUUGAGCCAACUUGCGCACAAAGGUCUUGGCGGAGACUUCUUCUAGCGUAUGGAUCGUCAGUUGUGGCAGCACUUCAUCUUCUUUUCCCGCUAUUUCUUUCGCUUCACCUUUUUCCUUCUCCUUUCCCUCCAAGGUGUUUAUGCUCAUAUCUGCCAGCUCUAGACCCAGGCUUUCAGCUCCCUUAUCAUGUUGCACUAUGUAUGCAGCUCUUGGGAAUGAUACACGAAGGGGAGGGAUUUCCAGCUGUUCUUCUUCAAGAUCUCUUCCUUUAAUUCUAGCCAUCCUUCUUGUCCUUCUCCGAUCAGCAGCCCAACGAUAAUCCUCUUGGUUAGGUUGAUAUCCUAGCCCAAAUCUUUGAUCAGCUUUCUCUUCCUUGUCGGAUUAGCCCCUUCUGGUAUUCCGCAAGCGAGGUUAUAUCGACGUGGGACCCCACGGUUCAAGAAACAUAGACUUGCCAUCCUUGCUGCUUCUGAGAUCCUUGGCCUUCUUAGCACGGUGUUCUCCGGUACCCAGUCGGUGUUCACGAUCUCAAAAGCAUGGAUAUUGUUAUCCUUGCAAUCCUCCGCUUCGAUGAAAGGCACAGCCACAUUCUUUAUCAUGGAUAUUGCCUCCUCAGCCUUGACGGUUACUAACAUCCCAUUCAUGAUGUACUUCAGACAUUGGUGCAAUGAUGAAGCUACUGCCCCCGCUGCGUGGAUCCAAGGUCUUCCCAACAACAUGCUAUAGGAAGGGUGGAUAUCCAUAACCUGAAGUGUCACUAGGAACAUUUGCGGUCCCACAUAUAGCUCCACUUCUAAAGUCCCAAGUAUUGGCCUAGGUGAGCCAUCAUAUGCUCUGGCUAUCAUAGUACUUGGCUUCAUAUGGGAUUCAUCAAUUGGCAUUUCCUCCAGAAUGUGCUUUGGCAACACGUUGAGGGACGAGCCAUUAUCGACGAGCACCUUCCCUAUGAGGCAGUCUUUGCACCUAACAGUAAUGUAUAAAGGCUUGUUGUGUCCGGUACCUUCAGCAUCAAGCUCAUCAGCCGUGAAGUAGAGGUAAUUAGUUGCAUGGAUCCUCCCCACUAAAUGCUCCAUGGUUUUGUGCUCAAUGUCUGGGUACAUAUGCCUCAUUCAAUACCUUUUGCAAGGCAUUUCGAUGCGGCUCAGAGCUGAGUAUCAAAGACAUAAGGGAGAUCCGAGCUGGAGUCUUUUUUAGUUGAUCCACUAUGCAAUAUUCGCUAUGCUUGAUCAACUUUAAAAACUCAUUCGACUCCUCUUCUGUUACCGGCUUAUUAACUUCUGGUGCUUUGUCCAGAUCGACCACUUCUUUACCCUUUUCCUUCCUCCAUUCUUCAGGCGUAAAGCAACGACCACUCCUGGUCAAACCACCUAUCUCUGUCUGGAACAAAGGAAGAGGCGUUCGAAUGUUAGAUGCAUACCCAUAAUUAUACGGCAUGGCAUUGUGAUUCUCUUUGUGCAAGACGGUUUAAUCAAGAUAAGCCUUGGGGGCCCAUUAGCAGUCUGUUGGACCCUGCAAACUCCUGCCAUCUCAUCUUCACCUUCCAUCAUGCUCACCUCACACUUGCUCUCCAUGGGUUCAAUCCUCAAUUGUCCCAUCUUCAACAUUUUUGCGAUCUUUUCGCAAAACUCGGCGCAAUCCUCAAUGUGAUGUCCGUCUCUUCCGUGAAACUCACAGUAGUCAUCUCUCUCCAAUUGCCUUACCACCUUUGCCUCUGGAAAUCCUGAUUGUACUAACAUGUCGUCAACCUUUUCUUCGGCACCUUCAACACCUUGCCUUGAUUUCCCACUUCGAUCAUGCCUAUUCCACCACUAUUUGGAGCAUGUUUAGGCAAUGGGUUUGAAUUAACAUUGGGCUUAUCUUUGAAGGAUACCCAACCCAACUUAAUAAGCUCCAAUAACCUCUUCUUGAAUGCAUAGCAGGUUUCAAUCCCAUGCCCGGGAUUACCCCCAUGGUACUCGCAAGUCAAAUCGGGCUUGUACCAAAUUGGGAAUGGUGGUUGUAGUGGUAGUGUAGGGAUAGGAGCUACUUGUCCAAUGCUCAAAAGUUUGGCAUACAUGUCCUUCAAAGGCAUGGGUAACGGUGGCAGUUGUUCUGAAGUGUAUCCUGAGUGGGGUCUUUGGUAGUGAUUUUGGUAGUUUGGUUGGUUAUUUGUUCGGUUAGGUGAAAAAGAUUGGUUAAAGUUUACGCGUGGGAAUUGAGAGGUAGGUGUUUGUGGGCUGUGGAAAUUUACUUUCUUGCCUUUGUACCCGCCUUCCAAAUUGUUAACGUCCCCUUCUCUUUUCCUUCCCAUAAAACCUUUCUUCUCUAAAGGCUCCGCUAUGCGCCCUGCUUUAAUUCCUUGCUCUAUCCUUUCCGCCACACGUACAACAUCAAAGAAAUGUUGAGAUGAGCUACCCAUUAAAUGCUCAUAGUAGGGUGCCUUGAAUGUAUUGGCGAACAAAGUCACCAUCUCCGUUUCUAUCAAAGGGGGUUGCACGUGCGUGGCCUCGUCCCUCCAUCUUUGCGCAUAAGCCCUCACUGACUCUUGGCUUCUCUUUUCCAUUGACAUGAGGCUCGUUCGAUCUGGCGCAAUUUCCAAAUUGAACUUGUAUUGCUUUAGGAAAGCCUCCACUAAGUCCUUCCAUUUCUUAAUCUUGACAUUAUCCAGCCUCAUGUACCAACUUAGCGCAGAUCCCGAUAGACUGUCUUGGAAAAAGUAGAUCAUUAACUUAUCGUCAUGAAUCACUUCAGCCAUCUUAUUGCAAUAAGAUCGAAGGUGAGUGUUUGGGCAUUCCAACCCAGUGUACCUUAUAAACUCUGGUAUCCUAAAAUCUUUUGGUACCGUGAGGUUAGGUACCAAGCAUAUUUCCGACGCUCGCAUGGGGUCAAACCAAUCAUUUCCCUCGACUGCUCUUAACCUUUCUUCUAAUGCUGAUAUCUUGUCAUCAUUCACAAAACCAGUGGACCUAUUAUCGGAAGGCCCCGGCUGUUAAAUCUACAGUGAUAUGAGCUUGAGGGGGCUGAAUGGGAAUAGCAGGUGCAAAGUGCUGCCCCGUCGCUGAAUCUGCCCCCAAGUUCUGAGAUAACCCCGGGACAUGGACUGACGGUGCUCCUAUAGGUGGUUGGGUAGAUGUUCCCUCCCCGUUCUUGGCUCUUAAAAGUUGCUCAAGCAGAUUGGUUAGCCGAGAAACUUCAUUUUUCACAGAUUCCAACUCGGUCUGGUAGUGUGACUCUAAUUGAGCUCUUUCUUCGUUUUCCAUUCUUGAUCUGGAACGGGUUUGGUGGAUUCGGAUGUGGGACCUAUGUUUCACGAUCUGCAGAUGCAUGCAUAGAUGUAUGAGAAAAAUGUAUGAUUGUGAUGGAUGCAUGAUUGUGAUGUAUGGUUGUGAACGAAACAAACAAACAUCCCAUUAUAAGUAUUCUCUUGUCACAUUGCUUUGAUAGGAGUUCUGCCUUUCGAGUCGUUUGCUUGAAUCAUGUUCACCAAGAGACAGAUUUUGCAUAAGAAGAUGGGUCAACGCCCUUUUCAUUAACGCUUGGAUAAAAAUACAUUAGAAAUAAAAGAAAUACAACAUUGCUAAUCCCUCUCCUCCCUAAACUCUUUAGCCAACGGUAAGAAAGCAAAACCGCGGUUCUCAAUCUUCCCUAGAAAGGCAUCGGUUUCAGCUAGGCUUCGGCGAUAGCGAAUGAUGUCUCCUCCCACAUUACGUGUAUUGAUUCUAAUAAUUCGAGCGUGUGGGCAGCUUCGUCCAUUUGCUCAUCUGUUUUGGUCAUUUUUUCUAUGAGCAACAUGUUGGUUCUGUUCAAAGCCGUGUUGUUGGCGUCGAUUUGAUCCUUGUGCUUUUCCAUUGCUACUAGCUUCUCGUCUAGAUACUUCACCUUUUCGCGUUCUUUGUCAAGUUUUAUCCUCAUGACUUUUAUCUCAUUCUUCUUCACCACUAACUCUGCUUUAACAUCCUCGAAAUCUCCCCUUUCAUUUUCCAACUCCAUAUAUCUCUUAUUCAAAUCCUCGUACUUCCCAAUCCUAUCCAUUAGUUCGAAUUGCACUUGCGCAAAUUUCUCUUGGUAAUAUUCUGCACUUUCUUGGCAAUCGCUGAAGUCCAUCUCCAUUGCUUCAAGUUCAGAGCAACCUUGCAUCCAAUCCAAACUCACCCCUUUUAGCUCCUUCUCGCUUCUUUCCCUAGCAAUCUUCUCCUCACCCAGUUUUGACUCAAGCUUUGUUAUUUUCAUGUCUCUAGACUGUAUUUGCUCAUCUAGAAAUGUUCUCAUUUUAUCCUGUUCUAUCAUCAUUUCUUCCAACAUUGCUUUGUCUUUUCUGCUCUUGCUCAAUUCUAUUCGUAGUUUCUCCACUUGCCUUCUCAAGUCUUCUUCAUUGUUAACCCUCCUUCUCUUAAUGGGUUCCUCUACAGUUUGAGGAGAUUUGACUUCUACACGAGGCAUGGCUGAAGCAGCUGAAUCAUCUUCAACAUUAACCCUUUUUCUCUUAAUAGGCUCCUCUACAACUUGAGGAGAUUUAGCUUCUACGCAAGGCACGGCUGAAGCAGCUGAGGCUCUCCAUUUUACAUAUCCUUCGCUCAUACUUGGAUCUCUCAAACCUUCUAUCUCCACUAACACGAGAUGCUUCCAAUCUUGUUUGAUGAUCUCCAAAACUUCUUCUGCCAUGGGAUCUUUGAACAGACCAAAGAAUUGAGCAAUUCCCAUAGUCCUGGGAACAAACUGCAUGCCCCCAAGUUGUCUUACCACUAAAGCCGGGGCAUAACUCACAUAACCCGUAAUCCCCACCAAUGGUACCCAACGCCUUUGUCCACAACUCAUUAGGACCUUCACUGUCGUUACCCAUGGGGCUCUCCAUUUAAAAUCGCUAUUAGGUAAACCUUCUAAUUUAUCAACCCAACCCUGGUUGUCUAGAUCUCCCCAUUCUUCUUCUUCUACUAACUUUAGGGGUUUUUGGGUGAACCACCAAAAAUUAUUGAAGACAGGUUUCUUUGUUUCGAUAUGGCUAACCAUCCAAAUAUACAACAGUUGCGUGCAGCAUCUCAUUGCUCCUUUUCCAGCUCUCCUACAAUGGUUAAGUGUCAAAAAUGUUUCGGCUAAAAUAGCAACCACUGGAUUGAUCUGUGUGUUCUCAUACUCCACAUAAGCAGCAGCGGCCUCCAAACUUACUAAACCAGUCUGACUUGGGAACAACACAAGACCAAAUAUACCUAAGGCAAUCAAUCUCUCUUUUUCUACUCCUGACUUCUUUUCCAACUCUAGCAUCCUCCAUUUCAAACCGGUACCAUUCUUUUCCAGAAACUUUUCCAAGUUGGAGAUUCUGAGCAGUUUUGACAGCUCAGGGAUGAUCUUGUCGGACCUCAAAGGAGAAUAAAUCCGAUACAGGUCGUUGGGAAACUCGGUCAACAAUCCAUAUUCCUCAAUCGUGGGGCACAAGUCUAUGCUUCCAAAGGAGAAACAUCGGUAGUCUGGAUCCCAAAAAUGAACUAAGGCUCGCACAGCUGGGCUUAAAACUUCUACCUUUGCGAUUUCCAUCAAACGUCCGUAUUUCCUAAAAAAUGCAUCUUUAUCCACAUUCUGAAAAUGAGUCGUUAACUUGUCCACCUCAUUCACUAUGCAAUUCAGGUUCUUGAUUGGUGACAUCUUCUUAGCAUCGCUUCUAAGGCAGUCUCCUUCAGUCAAUUGUGACAGUUCAGAAUUCUUUCCAUACUCUACGAUGGAAGAUUUGAUGAUGGUCAUUUCGUUCACAAAUCCUGCAAUUCAAAAUGCAUGGGGGUUAGUCUUGUUUUGAUGCAAAAGAUAUAUCGGAACAUACACCCUAAGGAUAGGUUCUAGUUCUUUUACGUGAGACAUAGGGUAGGUUUACUACUAGGUCUCUAAAAGAGGGUCUCUUGCUGUUCCAGUGACCACCCUCGUAAAGGCGAUAUGGAGGUCCAGCAGAUAGUGGGAUGGCACGUGUACCAAUCACAAUCAGUCUAAACACUCAGCAAAGAGUUGGGGUUUACACAAACUUAAACCUUGACUCAAGUCAUAAGGCAAGCUGCUAGUCCCCCACUUAACCUUAAAGUUACAUGUGUGUGCCCUCAAAACAUAAUAACAAUAAUAAAGUGAUGCAUGACCAUGCCAUGUACGAUAGAAUGUAAAGAUGUAUGCUAAAAGCUUUUAAACAAAGCAACGUAAGAAACAAAAACCAAUACACAUAGCAUAAACAAACAAAAAACAAGCUUAGUCCAAGGGUCCCCAGUGAGUCGCCAUUCUGUCACACCCCACAAAAAAUAUGGUGCGCGGCAUCGGCUGGCGAUUUUCGUUGUGUUCUAAUGAUUUGGUUCUUUGGAGUCGCCACCUAGUAUUUGGUCACUAGGAACCCUAACUGGUCUUUCAGAGAUUCUAAGGCAAGGGACUGGUUGCGUAAAGGGAAGGUACUAGCACCCCUAGUACGCCCUACCUAAGGUAAGCUGCUUGGUGUUUGGUUUGCUCUAUAGUCUAUGGUGUUGGUGUCUUCUAAACCCGUCAAUUUAUUUUGGAUAGAAACCGAAGGAGAUUCCAUGUGCUUUGAAAGCUCAUUUUUCCCUUAGUAUUUCAGGAGUUGGCGACUCGUAAAUCGCAAGGAAAAGGAAAAAAGAACGAAGAAAAUUUCACAGUUCUUAAAAAACAAUUUUAUACUUUCACGACUCGUAAACCGUGGAAAAAAUUAAAAAUUUUGAAAUGUCCUCGAUUACAAUCAAAGCUUCUUUCAAACAUGUGUACAGAUUUAUUACUCCCAAUAAUAUUUUGGAUGUUCAUCCUUUUAAAGAUUUCUUCAUCCAAACAUUAGCGGUGAAUAAUAAAUACAAUUUCUCCUCCCAAAAUAAAAUUUUUAUAGUUUUUGGAAUAUUGGCCAAUACCCUUUGGAGUUUUACAAACAUGUUGUAAAAUCCACAAAUGCAAGAAAAUAAUUUGUGUUUAAGAAAUCUAUGCGAAAACACACCUUCAAAGCUUCCAAUAUUUUUUAUAUAUAAAAAGAAAAUUCAAAACAUGUUAGAGUAUUGGCCGUAUGCAACACGCAAGAAAAUAUUUUUUUUUUUUACGAAAACGGGUGUUUUUAAACACUGAAAUUUAUCCCCAUAUAUAAAAAACAAAUCAAUAUAUAUAAAAACAAAAAAUAUAUAUAUAUAUAUAUAUAUAUGAAAAAAACAACAAUAUAUUUUUUUAGACUUUUCGGAAUAUUUUAUUUUUUUUUUUUUUAAAAAAUAUAUAUAUAAUUACAUGCAUAAUAUAAUAAAUAAUAAUAUAAUAUUAAUAUAUUAAGUGGGCUGGGCCGGCCCAACUAACUGGGCCGGACUCCAGCCCCAAAAACGUUGGGCCGAACUCGGCCCAAAUAUCUGUCUUGAUCUGGGCCGGACCGGCCCAGACCCAAUCAUUGGGCCAGACCCUGUCUGGCCCAAAAGAAGGAAAGAAUGAACGGGGGGAAUUAUUUUCCCCCCGUGCCUCCUGCAUGCAGAAACGAUUCUGCAUGCAGGAGGCCAACCAAUGCCAGCCUCAAAAGAAAAUGCACGGGGGUCAGGAUAGCGUACCUGGCGCAGCGGAGACGGCGGCUUGCUGGCGGGGGCUGCGGUGGCGGCGGUGGCAGCGGCUUAGCUCACGGUGGUUUCCAAAGGACCGAGACCACUCCUUCGGUUCGUUUGCUUCUGUUUCAAAUUCUUGAGUCCCCUCUCGGUUUCAACUAUCCCAAGCUGCUCCACCCUGUUUUCAGUCGCUGUUUCUGAAGUUGUGGUUUCUCUCUCCUUCGGUCUCUCUCUCUCUCACUGUCUCGGUUUUUUUCUUUCUUUUCGGGUCACUCCUUCGGUUUUUUUCUCCUCCUCUCUCACUCUGCUUCUUCUCUAUUUAUAGGCAUAUCGGGGCAUGCAUGGGGAACGAGGCGUGCUGGUCGGUCGGUCGGCAGGCGCCGCUGCCGAGGUGCUUCUCUCGGUUUCGGCGCGGCGGGUGGUCGGCCAGUGGCUUCGGUUUCGGGGGUCCAAGGUGUGGAGCGUUGGGCCAUGGCACGUGAGGAGAGAGGCGGGGACAAAAACCCCGGUUUUCCUCUUCUCUGCUACGCCUGCGGGGGGAAGAAGAAGAGAAACAGUGCCGUUCAAAACGGCACCGUUUGGUCUUCUUUUUUUUUUUUUUUUUUAAACGCAUGAAACGGCGUCGUUUUGGAGAAAACGCGCCGUUUCAUUUAAAUGUGGCGCCAGAAACGCGCCAACGUUCACAUCAGUCCCCCAAUUAUUUUUGUUCCUUUCAAUUGCGUCCCUGCCAAUUUCGGUCUCGUCCGCCUAGUUGUCCGCCUUUUCCACUUUAGUCCUUGGCCUCUGAUUUAUGCAAUUUAGCCCUCAAUUGAUCAAUAAACUUCCAAUUUCUUCAAUUAGGCCCCUCAAUCAAUUCCAAACAGCCCCCUAUCUUUGCGCCUUUUCCAAAUUGGUCCCUGGUUUCGGAUUUUCACAAUUAACCCCUAAUUGGCCAUUAAACUUCAAUAUUUAUGCAAUUAAGCCCCUGAUUUGACUUAAUAAAAUCCUAAAAAAUAUAAUUUGGCCCCAGAACUUAAAUUUCUUCUAUUUAAAGCCCAAAUUGACUUAAAAAUCAAUUUUUCUUGCAAUCAAAUCCCCUAUAAAUCCAAUUAAAAAUUCAAUUAAGUCCAUAAACAUCCAAAUUUGGGCUUUUCUCCUCAAAAUUCAAAAUUCCCUUCUAAACAUGGCCCUCAUCCUUCAAGAAUAUACUGCCAAAAAAUCCAAUCUUUGUAUUUUUAUCCAAUCUUUGUAUUUUUAUAUUCCUUGACCAAUUUUCUGAUUAUUUUCCAAGCGCUUCUGCCUCCUGUUAUUUUUCUAACCUUCUUUGGCUAUUUAUUUUAUUUUAUUGCGGGGACCCAAAAAUGGGUUACAACAACCAUUAACAGGAUCUGCUAUGGAGUUCAGUUCUCGAUAAUGAUACCGACUGUCUCUGAGCUUUUCGGCUUGAAGCAUUUUGGUUUAUUUUACAACUUCAUGUCACUAGGAAAUCCUCUCGGUGCGUUCCUUUUCUCAGGUCUUUUCUAUGUUGAUAGUUUGCUAUCAUUUAGAUAUUAAAUUUAUUGUCGUAAAUGAAAUCAAUCUGUUUAGUUUGUGAUUGCUACUACCCAGAAGAGAAAUUCAACAUUCAACUUAUUCGUAAGCCUUUGAAAAUCCAACUUGUUUUCAUAUUUUUUAAUCUUUUUCAUAAAAUGCUAAGAGAACAUCGCGGGUUGGCCUAUGCUCGUGAUGAAAAUCAGCUGACGGCAUUGCAUGCGUUUGCCCAAAAGUCUUGUAUGCCUUCAAACGUCGUCGAUCAAAGUGCUCCAGGAUUUUGGAACAAAUGCCUCAACCCCUGUUAGUUCUCUGAUGCUCCAAAUCUCUGUUUCCUUGGAAAGAAAACCAGUCCAAAAAUUUCAGCACUUUAUACAUCUGUUCAUGGAUGCAUAUAUUGAAGCUUGCAAACUUGUGUGUUACAAGGAAUUAGCACUUGUCAUUUUAUCUUCAAUAUUUUUUUAAUAAAUAUCCAACAAUCCUAUAUAGAAUGCUCAAAGAAAUUUAUAGCAAUUUAACAUUUAAAAACACCAACAUUCUUGCAGAAGUGAUAUAUUGUACACCUCAAUACACAAAAUAUUUCGAAAUGUUACUGAUUUAUCAGAUCUGUUCACUCGUUGGCUAACUGCAUUUGUGUUUUACAUCUUUGAUUUAGAACAUUAACCCCAUUUCCCACAAUUCAAUUCUGUUAUAUUUAAUCCUCAGUUUCGGGUUUCAAAUUGGCUCGGAUGAAGAAACUUAUGCACAAAGAAGCACGUGACAUAAUCCAGUACCUUUGGGAACAGGUUGUAUUGUUGGAUGAUGCAACAAUUUCUCGUCAGAUUGGAUCGAGAACCCUGGCCAUUGAUAUUCACUGCUGCAGAAAGAGGGAAUCUUGACUUUCUAACAAUACUCAUUCGCUUGUAUCCUGAGUUGAUCUUCAAAGUUGAGCACAAUACGUAUAGCAUAUUUCAUAUUUCUAUCUUGAAUCGUCACGAGGACAUCUUCAAGAUUAUAUACCAGAUUGGUUCUAUCAAGAAUUUGAUAACAACAUACAAAGAUAGAGAAGGAAAUAAUAUGUUGCAUUUGGCUGCAAAAGUACUGGAAUCACCAAGUCGACUUAAUGUUAUACCAGGAGCAGCUUUACAACUGCAACGCGAAUUGCUGUGGUUUGAGGUGACCAUUCUCACUCUUUCCAUCAACAAAACACGUUUGAUUGUAGGUCAUAUGAGUUAAGCCAAACCUAACUCGUCCAUCAAAUGUGGAUCACGUUAUGAUAGGCGGAUAAGAUGUUCACAUGCACAAGCAAUAUUCUCCUUCUAUAUAUGAAUCUCACAGUCUCUCUACGUGAUCAUGAUUUCUAGGAAGUGAAAAAAGUCGUUCAACCACGGCACAUUAAUGAAGAAAAAAAUAUUCACGGGAAAACUCCAGGAGCUUUAUUUAUAGAACAGCACAAGGACUUGAUGAAAGAAGGGGAGCAAUGGAUGAGAGAUCCUGCCGAUUCAUGCAUGCUUGUAGCAACACUUAUUGCUACUGUGGUUUUUGCAGCAGCUUUUACCGUACCAGGAGGUAAUUCACAAGAUAAAGGGACUCCUGUUUUCCUUCUUUUUUUACUGUUUUCUUUUUUCAUUUUUCAAUUAAUCAUGUUUAAGCCUAAAGCUCCGCGUGUUAACUAAUUUCAUUUUCUUGGUGAUAAAUUACAAUAAUUAUUUUAAAACCUGAUUCGGAAUGAUGUGAAACAAGGCUUAAAUUACAUGUUAGGAAAGUAAAUCCAAGUUGAUCUAAAUUGAAAAAAAUAAUCAAAGUAUCAUUGUUUUGACAAAAAACAAUUCAAAAAAAGUCUUAAGCAUCGAGUUGAUUUAAAUUGAAAAAAAUAAUCAAAGUAUCAUUUUUUAUUGUGUUAGAUAAGAUCAAUCCUUCUUCUUCUUCUUUUUAACUCGAACUGGUCAAAGCAUCGAGUUGGUCGGAUCCCAUCUAUUAUCCCUCAAACACAUAAUAAGACAAAUUGUUCACUCUAGUUCAAAGCAUGCUAAACACAAGACAAGAUAAUUGUUUGUUUAGUCAUGUCCUAUCCACUUUAGUCCAAUUAAUAAUGUCCAACAUAUCAAACACUACCUAAUAGAACCUUGCCUAUAAAAUGCGCUUGCAAAAUUUGAACUAAAUUCAAUGAUUAAAUUAAAAAUUAUAUAUGUUUUUUUAGCAAGCUCAUUUGACUCGUCCUAAUUUGUUUUUAAGUCCAAACCCUAUAGAAAAAAAGAGUUAAGAAAUCGUGAAGCUCAACUUUCAACAAAUACAUAAUUAAAAGAUAAAAUUAAAAAGGAAAAUUCAUGAAAAAAAAGGGAUAAAAAAAGAUCAAUAUCAAAACAGGUUAACAUUUCAAAUUUGUGACCUGGAAUCAUGAUACCAGGACCACCCUAUCCAAAAAAUUAUGAAGCCUAACUUACAAUAAAUCCAAUUUUUAAGAAUGAAAUUGAUUUUAAAAAAAAAACACAAAACCAAAAAUUACAAUUAAAAGAAUGAAGAUCAAAUUUGACACAAAAAUAAAAUGACAGGACACCUUGUAAUUUUGGUAGACCAAUUCAAAUCCUGAGGAGAGGAAAAAGGAAAAAAAAAAAAAGGAGAAGAAAGAAAAGGUUGGUAGAGCCUCUCUCUUGACACACACCACACCAUUGGCAAGAGCUCGCUACGCUGCUUUAAAUAGAACUGUGGACGACAAUGUUCCAAAACUUGAAGAAGUUGCCCACGCUGCCAAAGCGUGGAGGCUUCACCCCACACAUUGUCAUGUGCAUUUCACACGCCAAUCAAAUUAUCUUGCUCAUCCUUUUCGGUUCCUAAAAGUAUUUUUUUUGUUUCAAAUUUGAUCCUUCAAGUCUCAAUUGUUUUAGAUCAAUAAAUUAAAUUUUAUCUUGCAAAAUCGAGAAUUAAACACAUAUAAAAUUUUUCCUCAACACCAUGGAAUCCCCAGCAUCUAGGCAAUAAAAAAAAAUCAAGUCAAAUCACAAGUAAACUCAAUUUAAAAGAAUCAAAUUAAAAAAAAAAAUUAAGGAAAGAAACAAGGGAGUUGAAUUUCUUCUUUGCUCGUGCAAUUCAGUCCUUGAUGUCUCCAAGAAAAAAGAGCAUUGUUGUUUGAUUAUCAAAUUAUGUGAUAAUUAAUGAAGUUGGUGCUAGAAUUAACUAAUUAUUAAAAAAAAAUUUGAGACAGAUGAGUUUGUUGCUUAAUUUUAACGUCGAAACAACGGAUGAGAAAAUAUUAGCAUAAAUCUGGAUAGGAUGAGGGUAGCAUUGGUUGAGUAAAAAGAAUAAGGACCAAUUGUAAACAUGCCAAAUAAAUGGAGGGCAUAUUUCUAUUUUUCCUGUCGUCAUUUCUUCGUUUCUUUCACUUCAGAGUUGGGAACUUCCUCUGUACUCAAAUAUUUUUCCAGAUCGAGGCAAGUCCUUCAGACAUCUUGAUCUUUAAAAUAUGCAGCCACUGCCUAAUUGGGCUAUCUUUUAUGAUCAUAUAAUUACUUUAGAGUUCUUCAUCUCACGCUGAAGGCCUUAUAUAGUUUAUAAACAAGGAAGCAAUGGAGAUUAGGAGUGGCAAUAAGAUUAAUGCAGCACCAGAAAGUACGCGGCCAAAAGAACGCCAACCUGAUAUCGAAGCCCCUGAAACUGUAGUCCCUCACUCCCUACUGGUAAUGGAACUAUUUAUAGAUAGUGAUCACAGAAUUAUCAAACACAUGGUGCUGCUAUAGUUCUUAAUACUGCUGUCAUUUUUUAUGCUGCACAUACUUUCUGCAUUCACUUUCCUGCUUUGGAUUAUGCUGCUAUGAUUUUCUAUGACCGUUCUGGGUUUUCGUUCCUGAAAAAGUGUUCUUCAACUGGUUGGAAGUCUUGCUUCUGCAGAUGCCAUGUUGUUUAUAAGACAGAGAGGGAACAAAAAAAAAAAAACACAGAGGGGAAAGCCAUAAGAGAAGCGCACAGGAGGAACAAGGAAGAACAGGGGAAGACGAAAACACAGAACAAAAGAGAGAGAAACGAGUGAACAGACACAAAAGGAGACUAAAAGAACACAGAGAGAAAGACGAACGAAAACCAGAAAAAAAGAAGAGAGGUGGAGGAGAGAACAAACGAACGAACAGAAGAAUACCAGAGGGAAAAAAAGAAAGACAGAGGACGCACGAGGAGAGAAAACCGGAGGCAGAGUGAAAAAGAGGAGAGGGACUGUAGAAUCUCCUUUAAAACUCCAGCAAGCGGGAGCAAGCUCAGACGAACAGAAAAAACAAGAGACAUGCGAACACGCGAGAACCAGAAGACAGGGACGAAAGAGAAGGAACAAACUCGGGAAGGAAGACCAGGGAGCAUAGAACAGAGGAAACCAGAGGAGAAAGCAAAUAGAAAACAGAAAGAAAGAGAGGAGAAUCGUUCAAAGCCAACGCUAUUCCCAGUCUUUCGCCUCCAGCAACGCCUGCAGAUCAGGUAAGUUUUUCGUUCCUGCUCUUCCAUUUAUAAUUAUAUAGUCACUGUGCAGCUUGAAUUUUAAUUAACCCUUCACUUCACUGUGCACGCAAGCGUUGCACGUGCCUCUGCUGGUGGGUUAAUAACCAAGUCGGGCGGCUGGGUCCAGCCCAGCCUGUUCAGGCUUAGCUAGACCCAGCCCCCCUAAAAAAAAAAAAAAAAAAAAGAAUUGUAGAAGCCGGGCUAGACCUGGAUCUUAGGCUAGAUCCAGUUAAAAAUAUAUAUAUACUUUGAUUUCAAUUUUAUUUAUUGUUUUAUUUAUUGAUGUUAGAAUCAAGAAUACAUACUGUUCGAGUUACAUAAUAUUUAUCAAUAUUAGAGUUAAAAAUAUUCAUAGGUGAAUAUUCACUAACGUUAGAAUUAGAAAUAUUAUAGCAAACCAUUAUAGCAUAAACCAACAAACUCUUAACAAUUUAAUUCAAAACUAGCAAUUCAGUCUAUCUUAGAUAGACCGUUUAAAGGGUGAUAAUAUAUUUUUUUUAGCGUAACUAAUCCCGUAUCAUAUAAUCUUUGUUGACCAGUUAGGGUUCGUAGUGACCAUAAUACUAGGUGACGACUUUUUAAACAAGAUCUUCCCCGUAAAAAAAACAAGAAGCUAGAAAUUUAUUCUUUUAUUUUAAAUUGUUUUUUAAGAUUGAUGUAAUGUUGGGUGUGACAUAUUGUAUAAAUCAUUAAUAAAAAAAAUCUUAUUACUAUAAAAAGUUUUUAAUCAACAUGAAAAUUCUAUUUUUUUUUAUCCUUAAGUUUUGUUAAGUAGAAUAAACUACAAAAAAUAUGAUUGAUUGUAAUAAUUUUAUUUUUAAAGACUAUAUUAAGUUUCUCAAUAAAUAUUUCAAUAUACUUCUAUUAAUACUUAAAAAAUAAUAUCAUUACUUCUUUUAAUAUUUUGAAAGAAUAAAAAGAGCAUGAGGAAAAAAAAAGGAUAAAGAAGAACGAAAAAAUAAAUUAUGGACGAGGAGACGAGCUAGGUUUGCGUGCUGGGAAUGUAAGUGUAAAGUCGCGAGUGUCUGGGUUUUCAAUAGUAACAAACUCCUCUAGUUUUAGUUUUAUAAAAUUACAUGAAUAUUACAUCCCACGUUGUUUUUCUUUAUAAUAUUUUAGGGUCAAUUAUAUUGUAGUCAUUGUAGUUUAUUGAAACUAAUUAAUUAGUCCUUGUACUGAAUAAUUAGUUCAUUGACAAACAUUGACCAUUUCAAUUUUUUAGUGUUUUUUUUUUGUUUUAGAAAAUAUCUGUUUUUAUCAACUCUUUCUACCUUUUUUGGAUCUCUGUUUCUUCUUUAUUUGUUUAUCUAUCAAAAAAACAAAAAAAAAUGUAUAAAAAAAUAAAAAUAAGAUUAAGCUAUAAAUGAAUUUAAGAAAAUAUAAAAAAUAAUAUAUAAUAUCUGAAAAAAUGUGUACUUUUCUUAUCAGUCCAUAGAUUGCGGAUGUGCCCAUUCUUUUCGAUCAUCUCCAAAGUAUUUUAUACAUAAAUAGGACUUUUCCUUUAUCAAUAUCAUAACCCUUUUUUUUAAUUAUCAAUAUUAGCUUGUUUAAAAGUAAAUAUUGUAUUUUAUUUUUUUAAUAAAAUAUAUUAAAAUAAUAUAUAUUUUAUUUUUAAAAAAAUUAACACAAAUGAUCAAAAUAAUAAAAAAAAUUAAAAAUUAUUAUUAUUAUUUUUAAAAAAUCAAAUUUAAAACAAAUAAUAUUCUAACCACGUACUGACAAACACAAUUGACGAAGACAAGUCUCAUUAUUGUUAUUAUUAUGUCAACUUGCCUAGGAACACUUUACAAGACACAAGUUGAGUUAGACGAGGUUUCUUUAGUUCCUUGAGGUCUUUUUUUAUUGAGGACAAACUACAAAUACAUCCUCCAUUUAUUUUUUGGGUUUCGAUUAUGUUGUUCUCCUCUUAAUUGCACCCAUUUUACCCUUAACCUACCCAAAGCAAUCCCAUUUCUUCCCUCUUCCCUUGUAUCACAUAUGAAACUCAUGCAUGUGAACUUUUCUUGUAGUGUCAACUUCAUUACUUCAUAACCUUGAAAGGAUUACUCUUGUGAUUAAAAAAGUUAACUCAUUUUCUUCUCUCAUUUUUUUGACGAUUUAGGUUUGAAUAUUAAGAUCAACAUCUAAAAUAAUUUAUUAAAUUUAUCUUAAUAUUGAUAUGAGAAAUAUAUAUCUAAAAUUUCAAUGAGAACAACUUAUUUUUGUUUUAUAACUCAUAAGCUGAUUUAAAACACCUUUUAUAAUCAAAUAAAAAAACCUUUAUGUUACAAUUAAAUUUAUUUGUAUAAAAAAUAUUUAUUUAUAUUCUAUAAUCAUAAAUUUUAUGAUUUUUAAUUUUAGGUGAUCGUGACAAAAAUAAAUAUGAUUCAAGGGAAGAAACGAUGAGCACUAUGCGGACUGGUUGAAGGUAGCAUUGGCUCAAUUAGAAGAAGAAGAAUCAAAUCAAAACCCGUCAGAUAAAUGGAGGGCACAUUUGUAGUUUGUCGCUUGACUAAAAUGAAGUUCAGCUGUUGAAAACAGAGUUCCUUUCGCCUCCUUUUCCAUGCUGUUUCAGAGCCAUUUCUUCGUGGCUUCCUCUCUGUAGCCAAACAGUUUCCCAGCUCGAGGUAAGUCCUUGAGAUAUGUUGAUCAAUAAGCUAUAUUGCUUUUGGGUCAUCUUUUCUGAUUCAUAGGUAGGCUAGGUCGCAAGGUUAACCCGAAUUUUUGAUUGUGUUAUGCCAAAUCAAUCCUUCUUCUUCUUCUUUUUUAACUUGAACCGGUCAAAGCAUUGAGUUGGUCGGAUCCCAUCUAUUAUCUUUCAAACACAUAAUAAGAUGAAUUGUUCAGUCUAGUUCAAAGCAUGCUACGCACAAGACAAGAUAAUUGUUUGUUUAGUCAUGUCCUAUCCACUCUAGUCCAAUUAAUAAUGUCGAACAUACCAAAUGCUACCUAAUAGAACCUAGCCUAUAAAAUGCGCUUGCAAAAUUUCAACUAGAUUCAAUGAUUGAAUUAAAAGUUAUAUAUAUAUUUUUAGCAAGCUCAUUUGACUCGUCCUAAUUUGUUUUUAAGUCCAAACCCUAUAGAAAAAAAGAGUUAAGAAAUCAUGAAGUUCAACUUUCAACAAAUACAUAAUUAAAAGAUAAAAUUAAAAAGGAAAAUUCAUGUAAAAAAUAAAACUAAGAAAACCGAUGUCAAAUUAGGUUAACCAUUCAAAUUUAUGACCUGGGUCAUGAUACCAGGACCACUCAAUCCAAAAAAUUAUGAAGCCCAACUUACAACAAAUCCAAUGUUUGAGGAUGAAAUUGAUUUUUUUUUUAAAAAAAAAACACAAAACAAAAAAUUACAAUUAAAAGAAUGAGGAUCAAAUUUGACACAAAAAUAAAAUAACAAGACACCUAAUAAUUUUGGUAGACCAAAAAUAAAAUCACAGCAUCCAUACUAAAUAGAUAUUAAAACUUGAACAUUGGAAAUAUAUGAGUGGCUUGGGGAUCAUGAACCCAAUGAUGAGUAAUCUAUUUGGCCUUUCAAUCUAAUAUUUUUAAAUAUUUGCCCUUCCUCAAACAAAGUUAUAAUGCUGUAAAUUAUGAUGGUAUUUAAAAAUGUAUUAAUGAUUAUUUUUUAAAAUAUUUUUUAUUUAAAAAUGUAUUAUAAUAAUAUAUAUUUUUUAUAUCAGCAUAUUAAAAUAAUCUAAAAAUAUAAAAAAAUACUUUUUUUCUUUAUUAUUUCUCGUAAAAUGCUCCAUAUAUAAUCCUUAUAAUGUGCAUAUCUCUAAUUAUAUUUCAGAAAAAUUGGAUUUCAAUAAAUAUCUUUCCUAGUAAUAGUAAUAACAACAACUAAAACAUAUUUGACAUUCACUAUUUUAAAAAAGUAGUUAUUAUGGACUGCAUUGUUUAUUUUGAAUAUUUUCAAUUUCAUCCUUGCCAUGUUAUUUUCUGUUUACAUUUCUUUUAAUUUGCCGUAUCAAGCAUGUUUUGAGUUUUGAGAGGAACUUAAUGAUCAAUUAGUCAAUUGGGGUUGAAAAUUAAAAUUAAAAGAAGAAGGACCAUAUUUAACAAAAAAAAAAACUUUUGUCUACCUAAUUUGAAGUACAUACGAAUCGUUUCAAAGCUUCAGUCCAACUAACAAUUCCAGAGCAUUCACACAAAAUAAAUUCAAGAGCUACUAUGUUCCAGUUGACAUUUCCUCGAAUUAUAACACGGGGUAAAUGAAAACUUUACCAUUUUCUGCCUUAUUCAACAGAUAUCCUACAAAUAAACUACACUGAGUUGCAUGCCUUGGGUUUGUCUUAGGUAAUAUCCAUUACUCGUUCUUACGAUUUGAAGGAGAUAUAUGAGAAAGAACUUGCUGAAUGCUGAAAGCAAAUUGUGAAGAAAUGAUUUUCUUCAUUACAUUGCUAUAAAGAACACAUUUUCAGACAUUAUUUAUACUACUGAGAUGAGAUAAGAUUGACCAUCUAAAUCUUCCCUUUGAAAUGUAGAAACAAUGCAAAGUUGAGAUUUAUUUAUACCAAAGGCUUCCAAACUCUGAUUCUGAAUGGCUUAAGAAGAUUGUCCGCAACAAAGUAGUAGCAAGUGUUGAUGCUCUUCUCAAUGAAAUAAAACCAUGCUCGCCGCCAGUCUGGGUUUAUGUACAAAACUGCAGCUAUUCCCAACAGCACCAUGAUGUACGUCACAACAAAGCUCACACAGAAAACUUGUGCAUCAAUGAUGACGCUACUCUCUUCUUUCUCAUCAGUAGAAGGCCCAGGUGGUGGUGGUGGUACUUCUUUGGUGCAAUUGUUAAGCAGUGGUGGUCCACAAAGUAAGGGAUUUCCCUCGUAGCUGCUCUUAUUGAAUGUUGAGAAUUGUGCAACCAUCUCAGGAGUCUUACCAGACAGGUUAUUGUUGGCUACACUAAAAUAGGCAAGAAAAUGCAAUUGUACAAGUUGAGGAGGGAUUUCCCCAUUCAAGCUGUUAUUGGAAAGGUCCAUGCUCUCAACUUCACUCAAAUUUGAAAGAGUUUGUGGGAUUGGGCCUAUUAAAUGAUUGUUGGACAGGUUCAAUACACGAAUGUGGUUGAGAUUCCCAAUUUCAGGAGGAAUCGCACCUGACAAACUGUUGCAGGAGAGAUCCAAUCCGGUCAUGUAGUACAAAAUACUUGGCGGAUAAGAAUAAGACAGACUCUUUGUUGCAAUAACCAAUGGUUCUCGAAGAGAAUACAUAAAGAUAUGCUUCGCUAGAGAUGAACCAAAUACUGCUUUUAAAUCUUAGGCAAGGUAGAAUAUGACCAGAAAAAUUAUUAUGAGAAAGAUCAAUGAAGCUUAAUUUGUUCAACUUGCACAAUUGCGUGGGUAUACUGCCAUCAAGAUUAUUAUAACCCAAGAGAAGAAAGCUCAGUUGGGAAAACUCACCAAUCCAUUUUGGAAUGCUACCAGUCAAAUGAUUAUGGCUAAGAUCCAACGUUAUUAGCUCAAAGGAUUUCUGAAAUGCAUGUUCUAGGGAUCCUUGUAGCAUAUUUCGUGACAGAUAAACAUGCAGGAGGUUUGAAGAGUUAAAGAAAGAUGGUAAGGUUCCAGAGAUGUUGUUAUUUGAGAGGUCCAAAACUUGAAGAUACAACAGAAAGUCAAAUGAAGAGGGAACGCGACCACUGAAGUGGUUAUCAGACAUGGAUAAAAAUGUUAAAUUUGGAAAAUAUGAUCCUAUUUCUCUAGGAAUGUGGCUUUCGAAGUUAUUGUUAGAAAUAUCUAAUUCAGACAAAUUCUGAUGAGGAUGAAUUGGCAAUUGAAAAGUCCCUGAAAGAGAAUUGUUGACCAAAUGGAGUUCAUUUAGGUUUGUGUUGUUCUCUAACAACCAAAUAGGAAACCCUCCCCUCAAUUUCAGGUUAGAAAAAUCAAUUACUUGGAGGCUGUAUUGAUGGAGGAGGAAUUUGGGAAAGGAAAAUGCUCCACCAUAUCCAUUGCCAGAUAAAUAAGACCUCUAAUUGGAACUUUGGGGCCAAAUUAUGCUCCUCUAAUUCUUCAACAUAUAUUUCGUUAUUGCUACCAUCGAAAUACUUGAGUUGUGAAUGGUUGAGAAAUGAGCUCAAUGAGACGGGGAUCUGAAAGUGGUUGUCUAAAAGUGAUAACUCUCGAAUGGAUGUGAGACUUGUAAGAGGAGAGAAGGAAAUGUCUCCCAUAAAGUUAUUGGAAGACAAAUUUAAUUGUUGAAGGGAUGUCAAAUUUGCCAAACACCAAGGCAAAGCACCACUGAGAUCAUUCCCGUUGAUAUCUAGAUUUUGAAGAUGCUUUAACUGACAUAGGCCUGAGAAUUUAUUGAUUCAUAAAAAUUUUAGUUAGAGAAGAAGCAGAACGCCAAAGGAGGGGAAAGGUGGUCAGACUUACCUUGGGCUUUAGGGAUGGAGCCAUUGAGUCGACAACCAUACAAUCUUAAACUCUUUAGAGUAGUAAUAUUCCCGACUGUUUGUAGAAAGCUAUUAUCGAUAGUGGAGGAACUCAAAUCCAACUCUUCUAAAUUCUUGAGAGAAGCCAAGUCUACAAUAAUCAAACCCACAAGAAAUUAUGCUCGGUAUUCAAGAGCCGGAUAAUGAUAAGGAAACAAAGAUGAUGAAACCAACAAGAAGCUCCAUUAUAAUGAUAAGGAAACAAGAUGAUGAAACCAACAAGAAGCAGAACGCCCAAGGAGGGUAAAGGUGGUUAGACUUACCUUGGGCUUUAGGGGUGGAGCCACUGAGUCGACAUCCAUCCAAUCUUAAACUCUUUAGAGUAGUAAUCUUCCCGACUGUUUGCAGAAAGCUAUUAUCGACAGUGGAGGAACUCAAAUCCAACUCUUCUAAAUUCUUGAAAGAAGCCAAGUCUACAAUAAUCAAACCCACAAGAAAUUAUGCUCGGUAUUCAAGAGCCGGAUAAUGAUAAGGAAACAAGAUGAUGAAACCAAUAAGAAGCUCCAUUAUAAUGUCCCCACUACAAUCAAUUAAAUUCCUAUACUAGGCAAAUAUGAUUUAAAGCACGUUUACAAAGAAAAAAAGAACAAUUAACAGAUAUUCAGGUUCGCUUUUAGGCAUCAAUACCACAAAUUACCUUUAUCUAAUGUUGUUCCGAAACUUCCUUGAAGAUUAUUCUCAUCCAAAGAAAGGGUCUUGAGGUUUGGGAAUUUCGUCAACGAUUGCAGCAAUGCAAAUGGAAGAGCUCUUCCAUUUAAGGUGUUAUUAGAUAAUGAAAUGAGGCUUACAUUUCCAAAACCUCUAGUAUCUACAGGGGACAGCAGAAGUAAAACAAAUUUUAAAACCUUCUGAGCUUUUAUUCUUGAGCAAAAUCAUCCGCGAAAAUACAAUUCAAUUAAUGAGAUUUUAGGUUGAUUAAGCGGUAAAGCUACCAUCAAUCAGUGUGGAAAGCAAUCAAUACCUUUGGAUAACAUAAAUUUGUCAAUCUUGUUUCCCGCUAGAUCCAGGCUCUCUAAGUUGAUCAAAGCAUCCAGCUCUAGGUUGUCGAAAAACAGAAAUUUAAUAUUACAUCACAGCAAAAAUCACAGAUUGGUUUCUAGGAAUCGAAAAAGGUGAGGUUACCAGUCACAUUGAAUGAUCCUUUCAGUUGGUUGUACCCUAUAUCCAGGGAUUUGAGAGAUGAAAGACCCUUGAGGGAUGAUAAGGUACUGUCAUUGAAGCGAUUACCAUUCAAAACAAGGUAUUCCAGAUUUCUUAACCUCAGUAAGCCGUCACCAGUACCUAUAAAAAUACAAUAAGCUUUCAUGUAACCUGAAAGGAUAAUGGAGUACUUAUGUGUGAAAACAAAUGCUCAAUCAACUCACAACUCUUUCAUACCAUGAAUGGAUUUAAAGCUUUCAAUUUCAUUGCCACCAAAAUCCAACGACUGCAAGCUUGUUAGAUUAUUCAGUUCUGGCCAAAUAUAAUUGUAUCAAGUACAACAAUUAAAAAAAGGGCAGUAAUUAACAUUGUUUUAUUUGGGAAAGAAAAGGAGAGAAGUGAUCAAGCUUAAUUACCAUCAACACUAAUUGCUCCUUUGAGUUGGUUACCAGAUAGAGACAGGGUUCUCAAAGAGGAAAGCCCACCAAGGGAUGAAAGGAUGCUGUUGUCGAAUUUGUUUCCGCCUAAAUCGAGAUCCUCCAAGCUGUCAAGUCUUUCAAAACCUGCAUGGGCAUUUCAAUCAGUAGCUUGAAAAAUAUAGAAUCUAUCCUGUUGAAAAACCUGCAUGGGCACGCAAACAAGAGAUAAACCUUCAUUCUCAACACAGCCAACUAUAAAAUUUCCAGUACCUAUAAAAAUGCCAUAAGCUUUCAUGUAACCUGAAAGGAUAAUGGAGUACUUAUGUGUGAAAACAAAUGCUCAAUCAACUCACAACUCUUUCAUACCAUGAAUGGAUUUAAAGCUUUCAAUUUCAUUGCCACCAAAAUCCAACGACCACAAGCUUGUUAGAUUAUUCAGUUCUGGCCAAAUAUAAUUGUACCAAGUACAACAAUUAAAAAAAGGGCAGUAAUUAACAUGGUUUUAUUUGAGAAAGAAAAGGAGAGAAGUGAUCAAGCUUAAUUACCAUCAACACUAAUUGCUCCUUUGAGUUGGUUACGAUAUAGAGACAGGGUUCUUAAAGAGGAAAGCCCACCAAGGGAUGAAAGGAUGCUGUUGUCGAAUUUGUUUUCUUCUAAAUAGAGCUCCACCAAGCUGUCAAGUCCGGAUAGUCUUUCAAAACCUGCAUGGGCAUUUCAAUCAGUAGCUUGAAAAAUAUUUUCUUUUUUUUACCUAUUGAAAAAAGUAGCACGCAAACAAGAGAUAAACCUUCAUUCUCAACACAGCCAACUAUAAAAUUUCCCCUUAAAUAAAGAGAUUGCAGUUCUUGGAAGGGACGAAACAAAGAGACAUUUAGGUACAAAUCUCCCAAUCCCUCUUCCCUUAUGCCUCCAAGACUAAGUUCGACAACUCGUCCUGUAGUGAAAUUGCAGUAAACGCGUUCCCAAGAACAACAGUCGGCUACUUUCCCCCAAGAUUGAAGGAAGAUUGAGUAAUUAUUAAAGGAGCUUUGAAUCCGCAAGAGAGCACUUCUCUCUUCGUCUAAACAACCGUGACAUGACCACCAGCUUUGUGACAAAACCAUAGCAUAAAUCAUCAGUGUCCCUGCUAAAGAAGAGAACCUGUUUAAACCCAUUUGGACUCCUCGAUGAAAUUAUGUAUCGAAAAACAACGGUCAGAGGCUCUUUAUAAAUAAGAUCGUUGGACUGCAAUUUGCAAUAUCACAAUCAAAUGUCAUAAUUUUCCACUGGCCAUAGACAAAGUCCUCUCUUUCGGCUUAUUUUCCAAAUUCAUAUUCUUCGUGGAAAGUGCUAGGCUGUUAGCGUAUCCUCCGUAACUUGGGACUAGGCUGGUAUGAGGUUGGAAGGAUUUUAAACAAGUUGCUAUUUUAACUUUAAUUUAAUAAUAAAUAAUAAAUAUGAUGGGUACAAAGGGGAGAAUAUACAUGAUAAACUUUUUUUGUUUUCUACAAUAAUAGCGACAUAGACAAAUGAAAUGGUCAUCGCAUGCAAUGUCUUCCCUACGGAAAAAACAGUGCCAUCAGUGUCAGUCUUGUUAAUGGUAGUAGAAAAUUCAAAGAGUCUUGCAGUGAAGAUUUUUAAUCAUUUAGGUUUCACUAAUCGUUUUUUUAAUCAUAUAUAUAUAUGUAUAUAUAUAUAUAUUUUAUAAACGUUCAGUCUGAAGUAGGUAUUAAAAUAAUAUGAUGUUGAGCCAAAUUGAAUUUAAUAAUAAUAAUAUAAUCACCUAGUUAAUAUUGUAUUUUAAUAUAAAAUGCAUGUUUGAUAUUAUAAUGUAAAUGUUUUUUUACUUAAAAAUAUAUUAAAAUAUUUUUUUAAUUUUUUAUAUUUUCAAUAUUAACUUAUCAAAUAAUAAAAAAACAAUAAAAAUUAAAUUAAUAUAAUUUUGAGUCAAAUUGAAUUUAAUAAUAAUGGUAUAAUUAGUUAAUUAAUAUUGUAUUUUAAUAUAAAAUAAAUAUAUGAUAUUAUGGUGUAUAUAUUUUUUACUUGAAAAUAUAUUAAAAUAUUUUUUAAAAUUUUUAAUAUUAACUUAUCAAAUAGAAUUUUUUUUUUUCAUUUUAACAAGACUGCAACUUUGUCCUUGCAGCGAAGCUCUCCAGUUUGCAAUAUCAUAAUCAUAGUUUUAAAACCCGUACCGGCCCUGCGGGUUGACCCGGGACCCGGCCGACCCGGGCAUGAGACCGGUCCGGGUGGAGGCCAAAACCCGGUUGGGAAUUGGCCCGGCCCUACCUGGUCGACCCGGGACCCAUCAAGACCCGGCCUCAAACUCGUUGAUUUUUAUUUUUUAUUUUUUAUUUUUACUAAAACGACGUCGUUUUGAUUUUUUCAAAGAAAAAAUUUGACCCGGCUGACCCGGUCAAAACCCGGAACCCGGGCCUUGGACCGGACCGACCACCGAGCCGGGUCUUAAAACUAUGAUCAGUCUUAAAACUAUGAUCACAAUCAAUUGUCAUAAUUUUCCAUAGACAAAGUCCUCUCUUUACAGCCCCACCGCGCGACUUGGGACUAGGCUGGUAUGAGGUUGGAAGGAUUUUAAAUAAACAGGGGAAAUUAAAUUCCGGGUGAUUUAACUAGUUGUUGAGCUAGUUAAAAUUCACUGAUAAUUUUUUUUUAAUUAAAAUAAUAUAAUUUUAAUUUAUAAAAAAAAUUAAAGCUGAUUUAGGUCGAUCACAGGCGGGGUUGGAAAUCUGUGAUUGCCUCAACACACUUGAUGGGGAAAAUUGGCCCCCGUUAAUUUCUUUAACAGCUUAAGGAAACCCUCAUAGUUUAGUGUUAGUUUAGUUUAGCCCUUCAUGUUUAUAAUAAAUAGCCCUUCUUGAAAUUGUCCUCUUUUCUAGAUUUAUUAUAUUCCAAAAAUUAAAAAUCCAUAUCAUUUGGCGAAAAUUACAACCCAUUUAUGGCUUAUUUAUGUUUUUAAAUAAUUUUAGAAUUGCAGAAAUUUAGUAUGGAUCUUGCUAAGAUUUUUACCCCUCUAUGAUUUUAUUUUCUUACCAAUUUAAACCCAUAUAAUGGCAAACUAGAAAUAGAUCAUAGAUCUAGGGGAAAAGUUUUAAUAAGUUUUUCAAAAAGGGUAUAUAAAUAAAAUUAUUUAUGUGAUAAUUAAAGUUCUCUCAAUCAAAAAAUUUAUAGAGGGUGGUGACUAUCCCCUCCAAUUCUCCAAACUCACAUUGAACCCACUUAACCCUUGCUUUAUCCAUCAACACCUUUAAAUUUUUUUUUCAAAGACUAUAUCGUAUCUUAUAAAUUGGGUUGUUUUCAAGAGAAACGCACAAAUAAUUCAUUUAAGUUUUAUAUCAGAAUUUUUGUGACCAAUUCCUCUUCUUAUGGCUGGAUAUGAAUGAGUUUGUAUUGUGAUACGAAAACCCGGAACAUAUAGAAAAAAAUAAUGUUUUACGGUAUAUUAUUUUGCGUGUGAAUAUUUUUUUACUUUUUUUGUUUUCUACAAUAAUAGAGAAAUAGACAAAUUAAAUGGUCUUUCUAUGCAAUGUCUUCCCUACGGCAAAGAUAGUGCGCCAUCAAUAUCAGUCUUGUUAGUGGUCGUAGAAAAUGACAUCUCAACAACACAUAAACAAGUUGCUAUUUUAACUUUAAUUUAAUAAUAAAUAAUAAAUAUGAUGGGUACAAAGGGGAGAUAAACUUUUUUUGUUUUCCACAGUAAUAGAGACAUAGACAAAUGAAGUGGUCAUCGCAUGCAAUGUCUUCCCUACGGCAAAAACAGUGCCAUCAGUGUCAGUCUUGUUAAUGGUAGUAGAAAAUUCAAAGAGUCUAGCUACGAGUGAAAUCCUUCGCUUUGUGGACCAAAAGCUGCAGUGAAGAUUUUUAAAAUUUUAGAUGUGUUUAUUUUUUAUAAAGUGAUUUUUGAGAAAUUAUGUUUUUAAAAUUUUUUGUAUUUGUUUGUUAUUAAAAAAGAUGGUCAAUAAAAAAUACUUUCUGGUCAAUAAAAAAUACUUUCCACUUAAAAAAUUUAACUUGAUUUCUAUCAAAGUGUUUUUCUUUUAUUUUGAGUGGAAAACACUUUUUGAAAAUUGUGAAAAAAUUAGAAAUGUCAUAUUAUUUGCUGAUUAUAUCAAAUUUGGUCCUCAAACUUUUAAUUGCUAUAUAUAUUUUGUUUUGAAUAUUUGUUUUUUAAUUUCAUCCCUUAGAAUUUAAUUUUUAUAUUAACUUUGGUCCUCAUUUUUAUAAUUGCUAUUUGAUUUUCCCUUAUCAUUUUUUAAUUAAGGUUUUUCAUCUAUCAAAUUUGGUCCUCAUUCUUUUGAUUGUUACUUAUUCUAUUUGAAAUAAUUUAUGAAAUGUUAAUUAUUAUUAUUUUAAUUUCUUCAUCUUUCAAUUUUUUUUAUUUUUUAGAUUUGAUCUCUAUUAUUUUGAUUAUUAUUUAUUUUAUUUGAGAUAAUUUAUGAAAUUAUAUUUUUUUCAAUUUUAUUCUCAUUCAACUUUUUAAUUUGUAAGAUUUGUUUCUCGUUAUUUUAAUAAAUUUGAGAAAAAUAAAAUAUUAAUAAGUUAUUUUCCAACUCAUUUUCCAUGACAUAACCAAACACUGGAAAGUGUUUUCCAACUUAUUUUUCAUCACACUACCAAAUAUCAGGAAAUACUUUCUCGGAAUUCACUUUUCCGAAAUUCUCUUUCCUUGGAAUUCACUUUCCAAAAAAAAAAAUUACUUUCCAGCAAAUAAACGAUGCCUUUUUAUAUAUAUAUAUAUAUAUAUAUAUAAAAGUUCAGUCUAAAAUAGGUAUUAAAAUAAUAUGAUGUUGAGCCAAAUUGAAUUUAAUAAUAAUAAUAAUAAUAAUAAUAUAAUCAGCUAGUUAAUAUUGUAUUUUUAUAUAAAAUGCAUGUUUGAGAUUGUGAUGUAAAUUUUGUUUACUUAAAAAUAUAUUAAAAUAUUUUUUAAAAUUUUUAUAUUUUCAAUAUUAACUUAUCAAAUAAUAAAAAAACAAUAAAUUUAAAAUAAUAUGAUCUUAAGUCAAAUUGAAUUUAAUAAUAAUGUUAUAAUUAGUUAAUUAAUAUUGUAUUUUAAUAUAAAAUGAAUGUAUGAUAUUAUGGUUUAAAUAUUUUUUACUUGAAAAUAUAUUAAAAUUUUAAUUUAACAAGACUGGAACUUUGUCCUUGCAGCGAAGCUUUGUUUUAUUUUUUGUUUUAUAUAUAUAUUUUUUAUAUAUAACGUUUCUACCAAGCAAAGUUGAGAACGAAUCAUUUCUUUUCAUUUAUGCUUUGUAGAUUAGUUCCUUUACUAGUCAUAUAGUCCCAUUAUAUUAGUGUUAGAGGACGGUUUGAAACAUUAGUUUAAAAAAACAUUGAUGGUGGCUAUUAAGAGCAUGUUUAUUUUUUAUUUUUAAAAAAAAUAUAUUUUUUAUUUUAAUUUAUUUUUUAUAAUUUUAAAUCAUUUUGAUAUAUUAAUACUAAAAAUAAAUUAAAAAAAAAAAAAAAUAUUAUUUUAAUAUAUUUUUUAAAUAAAAAAUAAACUCGUGGAAUUCAAUUCCACGCUAUCGACCCUGUGGUUUGGAUGGAAUUGGUCGUCGUCAUCACAUGAUUUUCCAUAUGUAAUAAAGUCUUCUUUAUUUGGCUUUUUGUCCCAUUGAUUCUUCGAGGAAAUUCCCAAGUUUUUGCUUUACAUCAAUAUUAAUUCAAUGGCUGGUAACACACAUGACUCUCGUCUCUCUGUUACGUUCUUUUUACUUUUCGCUGUGGUUUUUGAACCCUAUCCAAGGUUGAUCUGCAGCAAAUCUUGGAUUGUGGGUCAGGUGAAACUUGAGAAGGUUAUUUAUCAAGAAAUUCUCAAAUCCUACCAAUGUCAAUUCUAACUUAGCAACAUCGUCUUUUUAUUUGUUAAUAAUAUAUUUAAAUAAAAAUCAAGAUUCAAAUUAAUUUAAAUAAUAUAGUUAAAUGAAAAGAAGAUUUCAAUUAAUUUCACUCUUUCUUUCAUUUUUUUUCUUUCAAAACCUUCACCAUGCUAAUCCUUCUGAUCAGCUAUCAUGUCUCCCUUCUUUGAUAUUGUUAUCAAAUAGCAAAAGUGCAAAUAAUCAUGCUCUUGGAGAUCAAAAUUAUCCUACAAAUCAACAAUUCCAUUCAUAUAGGAUUUUAAAUUUUCUUGUUUCAAAGUUCUUGUUCAAGAUUUUAAUGAUAAAAUUGAUAAAAAAAGUGUAUAUUUGAUAUGCUAGUGACAAAAUGUAUAGGCAAUUUUUAUAAUAUAUAUGUUGGUUCUUUAAAAAAAAAAAAACAAUUAUAAUAAUCUAGAAGAUGAAAUCCCAAUCCAGUUGUGCAAGUUAGAGGAAUUGAGUUUGAUUGAUCUGUCUCAUAAUAAUUUAUAUGGUCAUAUUCUUCCAUGCCUAAAUUCUAGCAGUAAUUGGCAGAGGGAACAUGAAGCAAUUUCAAAUCCUUCUGGAAUCGCUUCAGCACUUGAAUCGGUAAUCCUAUCCCCAUGGAAGACCCUUCUCUUCAGACAUCUUUAGAUUUUAAAACAAAGAGUAUAUGCUACUCCUUCAAGGAAAUGAUUCUCACUUACCUCUCUGGUAUAGACCUCUCCUGCAAUAAUUUUAUAGGCGAGAUUCCUUUUCAACUUGGAUACCUUAGCAAUAUCGAGGUGUUGAAUAUGUCCUUUAACAGUUUAGCUGGUCCAAUCCCACUGACAUUUUCAAACCUGAAGGAAAUUGAAAGCAUGGAUCUUUCCUACAACAAUUUGAAUGGGAAAUUCCUCGUUAGCUACUUGACUUGCAUUUUCUAUCUUUUUUUAGUGUAGCAUACAAUAACUUAUCUGGCAGAACUCUAGAUAUGGUUCCACAAUUCUCAACAUUCAACGAGUCUAGCUACGAGGGAAAUCCUUUGCUUUGUGGACCAUCACUCCCCAAAAGUUGCACUGAAGUGGUACCACCAUCAGCGUUGCCAAGGACUCAGACUGAUGAAAAAGAAGACAAUGGCUUCAUAGAAAUAGAGGCUUUCUAUGUGAUAUUCUCAGUGUCAUAUAUCCUGGUCUUGUUGGUAAUAGGUGCAGUUCUGUAUAUAAACCCACGUUGACGACGAGCAUGGUUUUACUUCAUAGAGGAGAGAAUCAAUAAAUGCUAUUACUUUCUGGUAGACAAUCUACCUGUGUCAGCCAGGUUCAAAGGAUUUCAGCCUUGUGUGCAAAAUGGUAUUGGCUUUAUGUGUAUUCUGUUUGGUGUCUACAUUUCAAAAUCAUGAUUGAUCAAUAAAUUAGUCUUAUAAUAAACGGAGUAAAUAAAUGUUCAAAACACUUUGCUCUUGCAGGAAAGCUCUGCUUUUUUUUUUUCUAACGUUUCUACCAAGCAAAGUUGCAACAGAACGAAUCAUUUCUUUUGAUUAUGCUUUGUAGAUUAGUUCCUUUACUAGUCAUAUAGUCCCCACCUUCCUUGGAAUUGAGGAUUUGUUAAAACUACUUACUUUCUGAUGUUUGAAAGAGAAACGAGUUCCAGGACCCAAAGGCAUGGACAAGACAACAAUGGUUGAUUUUUGUUGUGUGCUUUGAUGAACCUUGUGGGGCCCAGUAGCAACUAGCAGCUAUAUUUGCAAGAAAAAUAGAGUUUUGUACCUUUCCAAUGGUGCAAUUCUCUUGUGCAAUUUGGAGAUUUCUGUUGCAGAUGUGUGGAAUUUGCAGACAUGUGGGUGAUUGACAAGCUGAAAUUCAUGGGACAAUGUUAAAUCUCCAGAAUAUUUUGCUUCCGAGACUUAUUUGCCAGUUGUUAUUUUGAAAUUUAUGCUAGCUUAUAUUUCUUCAAUUUAUUAUUUGAAUCAAAACAGAAUAGAUUCCAUCUGUUUUUUGAAUUCAAAUUAAACAUAAUGCUACCUAUAUAUACCACUAGAAGAAUGUGUGCAAUUCUCAUCAUUUUCCUGAUUUUAAAACCUAUAGCUAUUAUACAAUUAUCUCUGCCACUCAACUGUAUAUGGAGCUAGGAAUGAAAGAAACAGCAGAGUUCAUGAUGAGACUAGCUCCAGAAGCUCAGGUCAAAUCGUGGGAGAUUCAAAUGGUUAAAUACACACUUCAAGAUUUCAGAUUUCCACUCUUAUGAAGAAAGCUUGUUCUAAGUACUCUAAACAUGAUCUAGUCAGCAGGAACUAAUCAGUUAUUUGUUUAUUUAUUUAUAGUUUUUGUGAAUUUUCUUAGUAGGUUAUUUUUCAUAGAUGUGAAACCUAGUUUGAUCUGAUAUAUUCACUUUGAAGUCCCAUUAUAUUAGUGUUAGAUUUGUUAUUGGACGGUAUGAAACAUUAGUUUAGUCAAACUUGAACCCAUUCAUAAUAAAAAUUUUAAAAAGCAUUCACCGUGGCUAUCAAGAGCAUGUUUGUUUUUGCAUUUAAAAAAAAUAACAGAGAGACCAAUAUGCCAACAAGCUAUAAUAAUAGAACCCACGGGUUGAUUGAUCAAACCCUGACACCAAGAUCUGGGGACUGCUGAAGAACACCUUGAAAAAUCUUGCAUUUUACUCUUACUUUUUACAAGAGACAGAUGAACUGGUCAUCGCGCGCGACGUGUUCCCUACGGCCGAGAAUAAUGCAGUGGCUGUCAGUGUUGUUAGUGGUUGUGGAAAAUUACACGCUAUGACGAAGAAGAAGGUUGCUGCAUUCAUUCAUCGCUUGACCUGAUGAUGGCCCGAUGGGUCUUUCCAUGCAAUGUCUUCCCUACGGCAAAGACAGUGCGCCAUCAAUAUCAGUCUUGUUAGUGGUCGUAGAAAAUGACAUCUCAACCACACAUAAACAAGUUGCUAUUUUAACUUUAAUUUAAUAAUAAAUAAUAAAUAUGAUGGGUACAAAGGGGAGAAUAUACAUGAUAAACUUUUUUUGUUUUCCACAAUAAUAGAGACAUAGACAAAUGAAAUGGUCAUCGCAUGCAAUGUCUUUCCUACGGCAAAAACAGUGCCAUCAGUGUCAGUCUUGUUAAUGGUAGUAGAAAAUUCAAAGAGUGAGUGAAAUCCUUUGCUUUGUGGACCAAAAGCUGCAGUGAAGAUUUUUAAUCAUUUAGGUUUCACUGAUCAUUUCUUUAAUUUUGCUGUGUUUGUUUUUUAUAAAGUAAUUUUUGAAAAAUUAUUUUUUGAAAUUUUUUAUAUUUUUUGUUAUUAGAAAAAUUGGUCAAUAAAAAAUAUUUUCUGGUCAACAAAAAAUACUUUUCAGUCAAAGAAAAAUUUGACUUGGUUUUCAGGAAAGUGUUUUCCUUUUAUUUUGGGUGAAAAACACUUUCCGAAAAUUAUAAAAAAUUUUAAAAUAUCAUAUUAUUUGCUGAUUAUAUCAAAUUUGGUCAUCAAACUUUUGAUUGCUAUAUAUAUUUUGUUUUGAAUAUUUAUUUUUCAAUUUCAUCCCUUAGAAUUUAAUUUUUAUAUUAACUUUGGUCCUCAGUUUUAUAAUUGCUAUUUGAUUUUUCCUUAUCAUUUUUUAAUUAAAGUUUUUUAUCUAUCAAAUUUGGUACUCAUUCUUUUGAUUGUUACUUAUUUUAUUUGAAAUAAUUUAUGAAAUGUUAAUUAUUAUUAUUUUAAUUUCUUUAUCUUCCCAUUUUUUUUAUUUUUUAGAUUUGAUCUCUAUUAUUUUGAUUAUUAUUUAUUUUAUUUGAGAUAAUUUUUGAAAUUAUAUUUUUUUCAAUUUUAUUCUCAUUCAACUUUUUAUUUUGUAAGAUUUGUUCCUCGUUAUUUUAAUAAAUUUGAGAAAAAUAAAAUAUUAAUAAGUUAUUUUCCAGUUCAUUUUCCAUGACAAAACCAAAUACUGGAAAAUGUUUUCCAAUUUAUUUUCCAUCACACUACCAAACAUCGGGAAAUACUUUUUUGGAAUUCACUUUCCCGGAAUUCUCUUUCUUUGAAAUUCACUUUCCAAAAAAAAACUACUUUCCAGCAAAUAAACAAUGCUUAUAUAUAUAUGCUUAGAUUUCCUCAGCUUUAUAUAAGCAAAUAAACAAUGCUUAGAUUUCCUCAGCUGACUUCGAGUCAAGGCGUAGAGCUUCAAUUCCACGCAAUGGAUCCUGUGGUUUGGAUGGAAUUGGUCGUCGUCAUCACAUGAUUUUCCAUAUGUAAUAAAGUCUUCUUUAUUUGGCUUAUUGUCCCAUUGAUUCUUCGAGGAAAUUCCCAAGUUUUUGCUUUACAUCAAUAUUAAUUCAAUGGCUGGUAACACACAUGACUCUCGUCUCUCUGUUACGUUCCUUUUACUUUUCAACAUGGUUUUUAAACCCUAUCCAAGGAGCUUAUAUGACCUAACAACCACCAUUUUGAUGCCUAAUUGAUUUACAUGAUCUACAUUUAAAAGGUUAAAAAAACCAAAUCAUCUAAACCAUGCAAGUCUUGGCUUAGAGCCAGUGACUUUAUAAACAAAAUAUGAAACACAGAAAAACCAAAUCAAAGGAUGCCAAGAUGAUUUUCAUUCUCAAAUUGUGUCAUGAUGGGGCUUAGUUCUAGGAAUAAUACUGUCACUCCAUCUAUUGGACAUUGCGAGCAUCCUCUGAGAAUUAAGUUGCAUCGGUUUUCUUCUGUUAUAUGCUCCAGGUAUUGAUGCUCGUAGACGGAGAAAACAUAUGCAUAAAAAGCAUAGCUCAUGUUCUGCCAAAAUGUCAUAUAAGAUGAUUUUCAUUCUCAAAUUUCAACCUUGCCAUAUUAUUUUCUGUAUCAAGCUUGUUUUGAGUUUUGAGAGGAACUUAAUGAUCAGUCUUGUUACUGGUUGUGGAAAAUUACACGUUAUGACAAAGAAGAAGGUUGCUGCAUUCAUUCAUCGCUUGACCUGAUGAUGACUCGAUGGGCCACCUGCUAUGACAAAAGAAAAGAAAGCUGUUAACCGUGGUCAAAGCAUGUUUUUAGUUUUGAGAGGAACUUAAUGAUCAAUUAGUCAAUUGGGGCUGAAAAUUAAAAUUGAAAGAACAAGGACCAUAUUUAACAAAAAAAACUUUAGUCUACCUAAUUUGAAGUACAUACGAAUCGUUUCAAAGCUUCAGUCUAACUAACAAUUCCAGAGCAUUCACACAAAAUAAAUUCCAGAGCUACUCUGUUCAAGUUGACAUCUCCAGUUAACACGGGCUAAAUGAAAACUUUACCAUUUUCUGCCAUAUUCAACAGAUACUCCUACAAAUAACUUGCUGAAUAAACUUACGAUUUGAAGGAAGAUAUAUGAGAAAAAACUUGCUGAAUGCUGAAAGCAAAAUUGUGGAAUAAUGAUUUUUUUUCAUUACAUUGCUAUAAAGAACACAGCUUUUCAGACAUUAUUUUUACUACUGAGAUGAGAUAAGAUUGACCAUCUAACUCUUCCCUUUGAGAUGUAGAAACAAUGCAAAGUUGAGAUUUAUUUAUACCAAAGGCUUCCAAACUCUGAUCGUGAAUGGCUUAAGAAGAUUGUCCGCAACAAAGUAGUAGCAAGUGUUGAUGCUCUUCUCAAUGAAAUAAAACCAUGCUCGCCGCCAGUCUGGGUUUAUGUACAAAACUGCAGCUAUUCCCAACAACACAUGAUGUACGUCACAACAAAGCUCACACAGAAAACUUGUGCAUCAAUGAUGACACUACUCUCUUCUUUCUCAUCAGUAGAAGGCCCAGGUGGUGGUGGUGGUGGUACUUCUUUGGUACAGCUGUUAAGCAGUGGUGGUCCACAAAGUAAGGGAUUUCCCUCGUAGCUACUCUUAUUGAAUGUUGAGAAUUGUGCAACCAUCUCAGGAGCCUUACCAGACAGGUUAUUGUUGGCUACACUAAAAUAGGCAAGAAAAUGCAAUUGUACAAGUUGAGGAGGGAUUUCCCCAUUCAAGCUGUUAUUGGAAAGGUCCAUGCUCUCAACUUCACUCAAAUUUGAAAGAGUUUGUGGGAUUGAGCCUCUUAAAUGAUUGUUGGACAGGUUCAAUACACGAAUGUGGUGGAUAUUCCAAAUUUCAGGAGGAAUCGCACCUGACAAACUGUUGCAGGAGAGAUCCAAUCCGGUCAUGUAGUACAAAAUACUUGGCGGAUAAGAAUAAGACAGACUCUUUGUUGCAAUAACCAAUGGUUCUCGAAGAUUACUGAACCAAAAAACGCUUUUAAAUCUUAGGCAAGGUAGAAUAUGACCAGAAAAAGUUUUAUGAGAAAGAUCAAUGAACAUUAAUUUGUUCAACUUGCACAAUUGCGUGGGUAUACUGCCAUCAAGAUUAUUAUAACCCAAGAGAAGAAAGCUUAGUUGGGAAAACUCACCAAUCCAUUUUGGAAUGCUACCAGUCAAAUGAUUAUGGCUAAGAUCCAACGUUAUUAGCUCCAAGGAUUUCUGAAAUGCAUGUUCUAGGGAUCCUUGUAGCAUAUUUCGUGACAGAUAAACAUGCAAGAGGUGUGAAGAGUUAAAGAAAGAUGGUAAGGUUCUAGAGAUGUUGUUAUUUGAGAGGUCCAAAACUUGAAGAUACAACAGAAAGUCAAAUGAAGAGGGAACGCGACCACUGAAGUGGUUAUCAGACAUGUUUAAAAAUGUUAAACUUGGAAAAUAUGAUCCUAUGUCUCUAGGAAUGUGGCUUUCGAAGUUAUUGUUAGAAAUAUCUAAUUCAGACAAAUUCUGAUGAGGAUGAAUUGGCAAUUGAAAAGUCCCUGAAAGAGAAUUGUUGACCAAAUGGAGUUCAUUUAGGUUUGUGUUGUUCUCUAACAACCAAAUAGGAAACCCUCCCCUCAAUUUCAGGUUAGAAAAAUGAAUUUCUUGGAGGCUGUAUUGAUGGAGGAGGAAUUUGGGAAAGGAAAAUGCUCCACCAUAUCCAUUGCCAGAUAAACUAAGAGGCUCUACUUGGAACUUUAGGGCCAAAUUAUGCCCCUCAAAUUCUUCAACAUAUAUUUCGUUAUUGCUACCAUUGAAAUACUUGAGUUGUGAAUGGUUGAGAAAUGAGCUCAAUGAGACGGGAUCUGAAAGUGGUUGUCUGAAAGUGAUAACUCUCGGAUGGAUGUGAGACUUGUAAGAGGAGAGAAGGAAAUGUUCCAAUAAAGUUAUUGAAGACAAUAUAAUCCUUGAAGGGAUGUCAAAUUUGCCAAACACCAAGGGCAAAGCACCACUGAGAUCAUUCCCGCUGAUAUCUAGAUUUUGGAGAUGCUUUAACUGACAUAUGGCCUGAGAAUUUAUUGAUUCAAAAAUUUUAGUCAGAGAAGAAGCAGAACGCCUAAGGAGGGAAAGGUGGUCAGACUUACCUUGGGCUUUAGGGAUGGAGCCAUUGAGUCGACACCUCAAGCUUAAACUCUUUAGAGUAGUAAUCUUCCCGACUUUGCAGAAAGCUAUUAUCGACAGUGGAGGAAACUCAAAUCCAACUCUUCUAAAUUCUUGAGAGAAGCCAAGUCUACAAUAAUCAAACCCACAAGAAAUUAUGUUCGGUAUUCAAGAGCCGGAUAAUGAUAAGGAAACAAGAUUAUGAAACCAACAAGAAGCUCCAUUAUAAUGUCCCUGCUACAAUCAAUUAAAUUGCUAUAACUAGGAAAAUAUGAUUUAAAGCACGUUUACAAAGAAAAAAAGAACAAUUAACAGAUAUUUAGGAUCGCUUUUAGGCAUCAGUACCACAAAUUACCUUUAUCUAAUGUUGUUCCGAAACUUCCUUCAAGAUUAUUCUCAGCCAAAGAAAGGGUCCUGAGGUUUGGGAAUUUCGUCAACGAUUGCAGCAAUGUAAAUGGAAGAGCUCUUCCAUUUGAGGUGCUAUUAGAUAAUGAAAUGCGGCUUACAUUUUCAAAACCUCUAGUAUCUAUAGGGGACAGCAGAAGUAAAACAAGUUUUAAAACCUUCUGAGCUUUUAUUCCAGAGCAAAAUCAUCCUCGAAAAUACAAUUCAAUUAAUGAGAUUUUAGGUUGAUCAAGAGGUAAAGCUACCAUCAAUCCGUGUGGAAAGCAAUCAAUACCUUUGGAAAACACAAAUUUGUCAAUCUCGUUUCCCGCUAGAUCCAGGCUCUCUAAGUUGAUCAAAGCAUCCAGUUCUAGGUUGUCGGAAAACAGAAAUUUAAUAUUACGUCACAACAAAAAUCACAUAUUGGUUUCUAGGAAUCGAAAAAGGUGAGGUUACCAGUCACAUUGAAUGAUCCUUUCAGUUGGUUGUACGCUAUAUCCAGGUAUUUAAGAGAUGAAAGACCCUUGAGGGAUGAUAAGGUACUAUCAUUGAAGCGAUUACCAUUCAAACCAAGUUCUUCCAGAUUUCUUAACCUCGGUAAGUCGUCACCAGUACCUAUAAAAAUACCAUAAGCUUUCAUGUAACCUGAAAGGAUAAUGGAGUACUUAUGUGUGAAAACAAAUGCUCAGUCAACUCACAACUCUUUCAUACCAUGAAUGGAUUUAAAGCUUUCAAUUUCAUUGCCACCAAACUCCAACCACCACAAGCUUGUUAGAUUAUUCAGUUCUGGCCAAAUAUAAUUGUACCAAGUACAACAAUUAAAAAAAGGGCAGUAAUUAACAUGGCUUUAUUUGAGAAAGAAAAGGAGAGAAGUGAUCAAGCUUAAUUACCAUCAACACUAAUUGCUCCUUUGAGUUGGUUACCAUAUAGAUACAGGGUUCUCAAAGAGGAAAGCCGACCAAGGGAUGAAAGGAUGCUGUUGUCGAAUUUGUUUUCGGCUAAAUCGAGAACCUCCAAGCUGUCAAGUCCUGAUAGUCUUUCAAAACUUGCAUGGGCAUUUCAAUCAGUAGCUUGAAAAAUAUAGAAUCUAUUCUUUUCUUUUUUUCCUGUUGAAAUUGCAUUAGCACGCAAACAAGAGAUAAACCUUCAUUCUCAACACAGCCAACUAUAAAAUUUCCACUUAAAUCAAGAGAUUGCAGUUCUUGGAAGGGACGAAACAAAGAGACAUUUAGGUACAAAUCUCCCAAUCCCUCUUCCCUUAUGCGUGAAAGAUCAAGUACGACAACUCGUCCUGUAGUGAAAUUGCAGUGAACGCGUUCCCAAGUACAACAGUCGGCUCCUUUUCCCCAAGAUUGAAGGAAGAUUGAGUAAUUAAAGGAGCUUUUAAUCCGCAAGAGAGCACUUCUCUCUUCGUCUAAACAGCCGUGACAUGACCACCAGCUUUCUGACAAAACCAUAGCAUAAAUCAUCAGUGUCCCUGCUAAAGAAGAGAACCUGUUUAAACCCAUAUGCACUUCUCUCUUAUGUACCGAUAUUUUUUAUUGUCAUUCCAAGGCAAAGUGAAAAGUAAAAGGAACGUAAUAGAGGGGGGCAAUAUGCAUGAUGACGGAAUUUCCUGGCACUAUGGAUGAUGAUCUUUCUGCUGUGUUCUCUCUUCCUCCAAACACAAAUGGCACCACCACCCUGGUAAUAAAACCAUGAAGAUCAGCUUUAUCACUACUACAGAGAACCUGCUUAACCCAUUUGAAAUACUUGAUGAAUUAAAUUGUAUUCCACUGGCUUUGUACAAGCUGCUCUUUAUACUAUAAGACGAAUCAACACACUCGAUCUUAUGAUUGUUGUUGCUGUAGUAGCAGAUCGAUUUAAUUUACUGUUGUCUUUUACAAUGAAAACGUUGAGAAAGUGUUCGUUCAUGAAUUGUAAUAAACAGCCCACUUGUAUGGCACUGGAAUUCAAUUCCACGCUAUCGAUCCUGUGGUUUGGAUGGAAUUGGUCGUCGUCAUCACAUGAUUUUCCAUAUGUAAUAAAGUCUCCUUUAUUUGGCUUAUUGUCCCAUUGAUUCUUCGAGGAAAUUCCCAAGUUUUUGCUUUACAUCAAUAUUAAUUCAAUGGCUGGUAACACACAUGACUCUCGUCUCUCUGUUUCGUUCCUUUUACUUUUCACCAUGGUUUUUGAACCCUAUCCAAGGUUGAUCUGGAGCAAAUCCUGGAUUGUGGGUUAGGUGAAACUUGAGAAGGUUAUUUAUCAAGAAAUUCUCAAAUCCUACCAAUGUCUAUUCUAACUUAGCAACAUCGUCUUUUUAUUUGUUAAUAAUAUAUUUAAAUACAAAACAAGAUUCAAAUUAAUUUAAAUAAUAUAGUUAAAUGAAAACAAGAUUUCAAUUAAUUUCACUCUUUCUUUCAUUUUUAUUUUCAAAACCUUCACCAUUCUAAUCCUUCUCAGCUAUCAUGUCUCCCUUCUUUGAUAUUGUUAUCAAAUAGCAAAAGUGCAAAUAAUCAUGCUCUUGGAGAUAUCAAAAUUAUCCUACAAAUCAACAAUUCCAUUCAUAUAGGAUUUUAAAUUUUCUUGUUUCAAGAUUUGUUAGAUUAGUGUUAGAUUUGUUAUUGGACGGUAUGAAACAUUAGUUUAGUCAAACUUGAACCGAUUCAUAAUAAAAUUUUUAAAAAGCAUUCACUGUGGCUAUUAAAAACAUGUUUGUUUUUGUAUUUUUUUUUUUUAAAAAAACAGAGAGACCAAUUUGCCAACAAGCUAUAAUAAUAGAACCCACAGGUUGAUUGAUGAAACCCUGACCCCAAGAUCUGGGGACAGCUGAAGAACACCUUGAAAAAUCUUGCAUUUUACUCAUACUUUUUACAAGAGACAAAUGAACUGGUCAUCACGCGCGACAUGUUCCCUACGGCUGAAAAUUGGAUUUCAAUAAAUAUCUUCCCUUAUAUAGUAAUAACAACAACUAAAACAUAUAUAACAUUCACUAUUUUAAAAAAUAGUUAUUAUGGAUUGCGUUGUUUAUUUUGAAUAAUGAUUCUUUUCCAGAGCAUUCACACAAAAUAAAUUCCAGAGCUACUCUGUUACAAUUGACAUUUCCUCGAAUUAUAACACGGGGUAAAUGAAAACUUUUCCAUUUUCUGCCUUGUUCAACAGAUACUCCUACAAAUAAACUACACUAAGUUGCAUGCCUUGGGUUUGUCUUAGGUAUAUCCAAACUACAUUUAUUUAUACCAAAGGCUUCCAAACUCUGAUUCUGAAUGGCUUAAGAAGAUUGUCCGCAACAAAGUAGUAGCAAGUGUUGAUGCUCUUCUCAAUGAAAUAAAACCAUGCUCGCCGCCAGUCUGGGUCUACGUACAAAACUGCAGCUAUUCCCAAUAGCACCAUGAUGUACGUCAAAACAAAGCUCACACAGAAAACUUGUGCAUCAAUGAUGACGCUACUCUCUUCUUUCUCAUCAGUAGAAGGCCCAGGUGGUGGUACUUCUUUGGUGCAGCUGUUAAGCAGUGGUGGUCCACAAAGUAAGGGAUUUCCCUCGUAGCUGCUCUUAUCGAAUGUUGAGAAUGCUGCAACCAUCUCAGGAGUCUUACCAAAGAGGUUAUUGUUGGCUACAGUAAAAUAGACAAGAUAAUGCAAUUGUACAAGUUGAGGAGGGAUUUCCCCAUUCAAACUGUUAUUGGAAAGGUCCAUGCUCUCAACAUCACUCAAAUUUGAAAGAGUUUGUGGGAUUGAGCCUCUUAAAUGAUUGUUGGACAGGUUCAAUACAAGAAUGUGGUUGAGAUUCCCAAUUUCAGGAGGAAUCGCACCUGACAAACUGUUGCAGGAGAGAUCCAAUCCGGUCAUGUAGUACAAAAUACUUGGUGGAUAAGAAUAAGACAGACUCUUUGUUGCAAUAACCAAUGGUUCUCGAAGAUCAAUCUCAUAAAGAUUUUCUCCACGGCGGAUGAACCGAAUAAUGCUUAUAAAUCUUAGGCAAGGUAGAAUAUGACCAGAAAAAUCAUUAUGAGAAAGAUCAACGAACAUUAAUUUGUUCAACUUGCACAAUUGCAAGGGUAUACUGCUAUCAAGAUUAUUAUAACCCAAGAGAAGAAAGCUCAAUUGGGAAAACUCACCAAUCCAUUUUGGAAUGCUACCAGUCAAAUGAUUAUGGCUAAGAUCCAACGUUAUUAGCUCAAAGGAUUUCUGAAAUGCAUGUUCUAGGGAUCCUUGUAGCAUAUUUCGUGAUAGAUAAACAUGCAGGAGGUUUGAAGAGUUAAAGAAAUAUGGUAAGGUUCCAGAGAUGUUGUUAUUUGAGAGGUCCAAAACUUGAAGAUUCAACAGAAAGUCAAAUGAAGAGGGAACGCGACCACUGAAGUGGUUAUCAGACAUGGAUAAAAAUGUUAAACUUGGAAAAAAUGAUCCUAUUUCUCUAGGAAUGUGGCUUUCGAAGUUAUUGUUAGAAAUAUCUAAUUCAGACAAAUUCUGAUGAGGAUGAAUUGGCAAUUGAAAAGUCCCUGAAAGAGAAUUGUUGACCAAAUGGAGUUCAUUUAGGUUUGUGUUGUUCUCUA